AUGAAUCAAUUGAAGAGGUACGAAGGUGAGGGACCGGGAGUUGACCUGACCACCGACGGCGAUGGCGACGAUGGCGACGACGGCGACGACGAAUGCGCUACCUUCGCCAUAGUCCCCUAGAGCAGUACAAGCUCCCUGUCUGUUCUUUCUGCGGUGGUGAACGAAGGGCAGUGCAGCAGAUCGAACUAAUUUGAGCUUCACACUAACACGGAGAGAGAGAUCCGAGACUUACCUAACCGGAAAAUCAAAGAAGACUCGCCGAAGAGUUAUGGGCUCCGCCAUUCUCGCAGAGGCGGGAGAGAGAAGACUGAUGUGUGAUGAUGGUGGUGUCCUCGAUCUGCUCGAGUCGAGCAGAUGGUGUUGCUGCGUGUGUGUGUGUCGUCACGGCAAGAGAGGGAGAGAGGUAAGAGGGUUUCGAACUUUCGAGAGAGAGAGACAGUGCAGAGAAGAGAGUGAGAGAAGGAAAUGGGGUCUCGGGGUAGGGGAGAGACCCACGUAGUGGGUUGGGUUCUUUGUAUUUUAAAAAGUUGUGGUCAUGUUUUAAUUAUGAAAACCCACGUAGUGGGUUCUUUGUAUUUUAAAAAGUUGUCCAAGUUUGAGAUCCACCCACACUACGUGCGUGUUUUAUAAUUUUAAAAGUUUGAGAUAUAUUUUAUAUAUAUAUAAAGGUUAUAUAAAUUUAAAUUAUGAAUUAUUUAGUUGAAAGGUAGGAGAAAACAAAAGAAGAAAAGGAAAAGGAAAAGAAAAUAAGAAAGAAAAAAAAAAAAAAAAAACACCAAGGGGAUUCAAACCCCUCCCUUUGUCAACCACACACCUAGACCUUAUCCAACUCGCUAUAGAUGUGUUUGUAAUUACAUAUUCAGCCUGUAAUAUUUAUAUGGUUGUUAAGAUGUCUGCAAGGCUUGCAAGCUAAUAUUUAUUAUCUAGGAUAAAUUUCUAUAUUUAAAAAAACACCAAGGGGAUUCGAACCACUCCCAUUUUACUCCUUCAACACCUUGACCACCAUAUCACUUAUGUUUUUGUGAAAAUAUGCUAAAAUACACUUACUCUACACAUAGAGAUGAUGAAGAUAGUGAAAAUUUUGAACCUCACAGGAACUCUAUGUGGUACUAAGUCACUCAUGUAUCUUACCAUGCAAUGUAUAAAGUGUAAAAUAUUGUACUAAUUCAUUAUAUAUAAAUGAUUAUGGUGUGUUUAAACUUCUUUCAUUAAUUACUACAUAUUUUUUACACUCACAAUGUUUGCCAGCUCGCUAUAUAAUCAACUUAAAUUAGUUAAAUCCAUCAUGCAAUGCAUUUCCUUCCAAUUUUUUGUGAUAAACUAAUAGAUAAUUGACUAAAUAAACAUCCUGCAAAGUUUCAUUAAAAAUUUCCAAGUUUUUCUUACAAUUUCCGUGGUUUCCAUGUAAUUUUUAUCGAUAUCGAUAUUAUCCCAAUAUUUCUAUCGAUAUUUCCGUGUUUUCAGACUACCGAUAUAUUUCCAAUAUUACCGAUAUUUUCUUCCUUGAGUCUAGCUACUAAAAUAUGCAUAGCAUUGAAACCACAUUUGGGAAAAAGAGUAAAACAAUAUAUUAAUCUUAAUUAACAUCCAAAACUUCUGAGUCACAAAGAAAUUUACCGCACAUAACAAGAAAGAGAUACGUAUGCCAUACCAUACAUUUAACUACCGGAUAAUGCUAUGUAGACUAAAUUUGUAGACGAAAUGAUAUGUUACUAAUAAAAAAUAAACACAUUACAAAAUUUGAUUUACAAAUUUAAUUUCUCUAGCAUUACCGUUAAUUAUAUAAUACUAAAAUUGUUUUAACCAAUUUACCUCAACAGAAGAAAGAUGACAAGAAACAAAAAAAAAACUAGGAUAACGCUAGAAAAACUAAAAUUUCACACCAAAUUUACAAAUCAAAUUAUGUAUCAUAAAUAAAAAUUAAUUAAGCUACACAACACUUCGAAGAUAACUCAAUCAUCUACACCCACUUCGUUUGGUUUAUAAAAUUUAGUUUAAAUUUUUGUCUUCCUAAUUUUAAUAAGGGUGUGCUUUCCACAUACCAUUUUACUUCCCACACACCUUUUUAUAAUUUUUAUCUGAUAAUCUUCUUCAAUUCAUCUAAUCCGAUGGUCGAAAAUUAAAAAGAUAUGUAAAAAGUAAAAUGAGAUAUAUGAAUAUCACGUCAUUUUUAAUAGGGAACUUUAACGAAAAGCUCCCGAUACUGUUUACUUUAAUGAAAAACCAUAUUUUUACACUAAAAAGUCAAUCCUAGUACUAUUCACUUUACUCUUUAUUUUGUCCUUAUCGUUAAAACUCAAAGUUUUCAAACCCUUUUCAUUAGUUUUCCUUUUUUAAUAUUGUUCCUACUUGCAAAUAUUUCCUCAAUUUUCUUGUUCAAUAAAUAGUAUCACUUGUUACUAAGAGCAGUUCCACCGGAGGGCUUUUUGCCCAGCACCCAGCUGAAAAAAUAGGCUAGCACCCAGUGAAUCCCCUCCAGCCGACGCAAUUGACUGGCGCCCAGCCCAAGCCGGUCUCUAGCCCAGUCCAAAAUUGACUGAGGCGUGGCCCGGUCCAUCUGACGCCAGCGUGGCGUCCGACGCCUGGAACCCCGUCCCGAUGCUUCGAACUCCGUCUCCGGCGAGGAAGACAGCUGGACGACGCUACCUUCGAGGACGAGGCUGCCGACCCGGAACUUCCUGUUGAGGACGAGCUGGUCUUGGAAGCUGUUGAGGACGAUGACAUCAAAUCCGGUGAUGCAGCUGAAGGUCAGGGCGUAGGUCCAGAGGCAGCGGGUUUGGAGCUGGCGAGCCCAGGCGCCGAUGUCGACUAGUUUGGGGCGGGUCAAACCGCAGAGGGCGGUGGAGAGGAAGCAGAGGGUGAAGGGGAGGUGGAGAUUUGAUGGAGGGUAGAGAUGGGGAGGGUGAGAGAGAUGGCUCACGGUGAUGGUGAAGGAGAGAGAGGGAGAGAGCUCACUGCCAAAUUAUUAUUUUUUAUUAUUUUAUAAUAAAAAAAAUAAUAUUUUAAUAAAAUGGACUAGGCUAUUUUUUGUUAGGAGUGGAGAUGCUUUGGCCUAUUACUGUUUAUAUGGGUUUAUUACUGUUCACUAGAGUGGAUAAAUGCGCUGAGUGCUAGCACAAAGUCCUUCGGAGUGGACUUGCUCUAAGGAGCGCGAUAGAAAUUAACAAUAAAAUAAAGCCUAGUUCGCUAUUUUAGCUUAGGAACUCAAAUUACAUCAAGGUCUUUAAUUUUUAGGUUUCAUCAAUAACUAAAACUACCUAUAGAGAGAGAGAGAGAGAGAGAGAGAGAGAGAGAGAGAGAGAGAGAGAGAGAGAAGACAAUUCUGCUAAAUAAUAUGUUGCUGCCAAAAUAUCACAAAAGAAAUUACUAGGCAGCUGCUACGACUAACUAAAGAUGGCAUCAUGAGUUAAUUCCAACUUGAAAAUAUUUGAUAUUUCAAUUGUUUUUCUCAGUAAGGAGUGCGAGAUGGAGGACCCCAAGCCAUGACUUGAUGAUAAUGAUCAGGAGGGCUAGUGUUCAUCUGGCACGUUGGACUCGCAACACCACUGCUCCGGCCACCGCCGCCGCCACCGUAAGUGUGACAACUUUGUUCAUUAAUGCAAGGCUUAGUAUCCUCCUCACCUUCAUAUUCACCGCCACCCUCAACCGGCAAAGGCAACCUCUGAAGGGUCGGAUCCAAAAACGUGGCGGCCACAACCAUCACAGUACUCGCCGCCACAACCUUGCCCCCAACAAUCCCUCCAAACACGUGCCCUUGCGCCCCCGCAAGACAUAUCGUGAACGACGAACAAGCCAGAAGAGAAUAAGUCCCGGACAUCGGUACUACGGCCGAACCACCACCACCACCAGCGGCGGAAGGAGAAGAAGAGCAAGCGAUGACGGCCGGGAAGGAGUCUAUGUAAGAGCCGGAGAGAGAGAGGAGGUUGAAUGGACCCUGAAGAGACAGUGACGGUUCGUGGGGCCCGGCUGGGUGUCUCAGCUUUACGUUCAACACCGCCCCUGAACCGCUCAACACACUGAUGCCAACCUGGCGCCUUCGGGCGUACUGUACAAUCGUCUCCACCACAUCGGACCCGGCGGAGAUCUCGAGGACCACCGCCUUCAUCGCUGACCCCGAGUCCUUGGUGAUGACGAUCGGGGGUUUGGGCUUGUUCUUGGACCCCGGCGGUCUCCCUCUCGGUUUCUUUGAGUUUGAGAUGAUAAUAUCACCCAACGGUGAUACCAUGUUCUUGUGUCCGGACGACGAACACCCUCCUCCUCCACCACCACUUGCGCCUCCAGAGAGUGUGGGGACGCUCCGGGGGCUGUGCAUGGAGUCAUCGUCGGAGGCUUGUUGAAGAGAAAUUGCUGCCGCGCCACCAGCACCAGUGUCUGCCAUUUUGAGAAACAAGAACAACACAGACACGAGAGAAGAAAUAAUUUGUUUGAAGGGCAAACAGUUUUUGGGGUUGUUUUAUAUAGAGCCAGUUUCAGGUACUCUAUCUGGGAUUGUCUGUGCUCAUUGAUGGACAAGUACUGAAGAAAGGAAGGAGGAGGGCCCACAGAAAAGUGGAUCCGAAAGAGAAACAAGAAAUUUUUAAUUGUAACGAUAAAAUAAGUGGUACAUUACGUAUUUUAAUAGAAUGAGUGGAAAAUUUUAUUUUUAAAAUUUUUAACUUUUUAACACAUGUAUCUCAUAAUUAAUUUAAUGACACGUAAUGUAUCAUUCUGUGUUCUAAUUACAUUGAAAAAUCUCUCAAAACAGAGAACAGAGAGCUUCUGGUUGGACAGAGAAACGGUGAUGGACGUAUGAUCCUCUGUUUACUGGUUGCAAGCUAGGGCUCCAAGUACAUUGUGGCAUUGUCCAUUUCCACGUACUGGACCCGCAAAUACGCCGAGGCCUACACCUGUCAAAUUUCUUGCACAACUGAACACGAAGCAAAAAUAAUAAGUUUCAUGUCAAUAUUAGGUCGCCGGUUUAAGAGUUCUUAACAAGUUUAUCUGUGAGUAAUCCAUUUCAACCCAUUAAAAAACAUUAAUUUGAUAAUUUUAAACUACUAAAAAAAUCUUACUAGCAACCGUAAUAGGCACAAAAUUUAAUCUUACAUAAGUGAGAUUCAAAUAUUCCAAAGUACAUUAAAAAUACAAAAACAAUUAAAAAUUCAUAAUAAUUAAUUUACAACUGUGCAAAAUGUGAAAAAAAAAAUUAUGCAAACAUUUGUGAUUGCAUCUUUUAGGCUUUAACGAUGGAUACAUUGUCAUUUGGAUUUUUAAAACCUUAAUAAACCCUCUUUAUUGAAACCAAAUUCGCGUACUGCUAUGAGCAGUGGAGAUGAACAAAUCUGAGAAACAUGUAAAAAGGAAAAAAACCGUGAGCAAGCCUAAGAUCCGGGGGGGGGGGGGAGGAGAGUGAGGGUCUGCUGGCCAAAGGCUCUCCGACAAUCAAGUGAGUAAGCAAAUAUAAGACUUAAGCAAUGAGCAAGAAAAUUAGAAUGCAUAGAUUGUGUUACCAGAGACGAAACCUAAAUACAUGUAUAUAUAUAUGUAUCAAUAUGGAGAGAAACCUUUUUAGGAUAGAAUCCUUGUUCUAAGCUGGGAGAAUCCUAGAGGAUAUCUAGAAGUAGAUAUUGCAUCAUCUUUCGGAGUGUGAUGUGGUGCACGCCAAUUCUUAGAUUGUAGGAACACCAAGAUUUAUCGAGAUACGGCUAAUUCCAUUCUAGAUCGAUCAAAAAUCCUAUGUCUUGUGGAACAAGCAUGGUCAUUCUAGCUAAGUUACUCAGACUUUGCCCAUUGCCCCAGAGCAUAGUGAUGGUGGCACUGCUGCUCUGUUUGAUCCAGCUCCAUUUAUAGCUAGUGAGUCCAUGACCGAACUUUUGAGGUAGCUAUAUCUCGAUCAGCCUUAUUUCGGCCCCACAACUACCCCUAACUAUGUAUCUGAAAACAACUUUUUUCCUUUAGGAUGGAUACUUAUCCAAAGACCAUGUUUUUCGGAGUAAGCUGGAAUACGUACCAUUUAAUCUUAUGUUUUCAUAUGGUGAUCCGACUCCUUGUGAAGUAAUGGAGACGUUUCGGAUUGAGACAUGCAGUCUUGAGUACCGUACUAUAAAUGGUGUAAAGAUGAUGUCUACUUUUGUUGCGUGUGCACCAAAAUAAGAAAUUACCUCUAAUACUCUUCAUUGAUUUUAACCGUCAGAUUUGUUGAUCCCAAGAAAAGCCAGUUCAUAUUCAAUAGCUAGAUGGCUUCAUUAAAUGCUAUCUAUUAACCUCGAACCAUUUUCUUCCUCUUUUAAAAAAUCCCUAAAUUGUUUAAGGAAAAAAGGCUCCAACUUUCUUCCCUUACUCAUUAAAAAAUUUCCUAAUCUUUUCAACCCUUUUCCAUGGUAUUUGCUAGCAAGACUUCAAAAUUACACAAGGUCUCACCUUACAAUCUUCCGCUAACGAGAGUCUAUAGUAGAGAAGAGGGCCAAGCCUUUGUUGAAAGUCAUCUAGAUAUCUUAAAUCAAUGUAAAGUUUGGUGGGAACCUAGCCAAGAUGUUAAUGUUAAUCUUCUUGUGCCAUUUGAUCCCUCUGUGUCCCUGCACCAAAAUUCAUCCAUGGUUCUUAGACCUAAGUCUAAGGUUUCCUCUACCUGACCUUCUAAGCGGCAUCUUGAUUAGCUACAACAUGGCUAUCUGCAACCAAACCCUAACCGCUUUCAUACUCAACACGUGCUUCAAGAUUCUAAAUCAAUGGUAUGGGGCUAAACUUGGCCUUCAAAAAUUUAGAGUGUUAUUCAAUGCAUGUAAAAACUUUGAUGGCCACAAUUACUUCAUGCUCAGACCCAGCCUCAUCUGGGAGCUAUACAUCUUGGAUGUCCCUUCACACGACAAUGAUUGGUUCAAAGACAUUCUUGCUGUUGACGGUGAUUAGGAGUGAGAUGUCACGGGAGUUAGAGUUAGGACUAUUCUUUCUCCCAAUUUUAAUUCAAUAAUGAAUUGGAAGACAUAGGGGUGUGUCGGCCAGAGUUGAUUAACCAAGCAAUGCAAAUUCCUGCCAAGUACCAUAACUAGAAAUGGUUGUUUUUCCCAAUUUGAUUUUCUGAUCAUGGGAAGAGUCGUACUAUCAAUAUUGCUCAAAGUUCUCCCAUCCUGAAUCCAGAAUGGAUUGGAGCAAAAAAUGCCCAUAAGGGGAUCCAUUUCUUUAAGUCCAAAAUAUCUCCAACUUCUGAGAAGAAAACCCGAAAAAGAUCUGACUCUGCGUUUUCAACACUAUUAGUUGCUCCUUACCAAACAUAUAUGUCGAUAACAGAUAUGGCACCCGAGAAUACGAAAACAGAGGAAGAGACUCCAUUGUUAAGGAAAAAUAUACCAACUUCCUCCAUCUUUCUCACAAAGACCAUUGCAAACUUCAAACCUGAUGCCCCACCGUCACAGUAGCAAAAGAUUUCACUGGCACAUGCUAGUGAAGUCCAGUCCCAGAAACUUCCUUUUACUCCAAUUCAGAAUCUUUUAGUGGCAAAAGGGAUUACCCAAACCUAUGGGGGCAUUCACAUGGUUGAUACUUCUUUACCUAUUGCUUUGCAUAUACUUGAAGAGAUGAUGUAACCUCUACUUGUGCUCAGACCGUGAUAAACCACAUUGUUUUCCCGAUGAAUGCCAGCGGUCUUCGAAACGCGGAUUACACUUGAGCUUUACUUGGUUUUGCGAUUGCUCUUGCAAAUUAAAAGAAGGUUCGCAUAACCUUCAAAAAUGUCAUGAUGCGAUGUCAUGAAAGCUGUUAUACGGUAAUUCAUCAUUCCUUUUUUUGCAAAAUGAUUUCAGUAAUUUUCGUCUUUUCCUUCUAACUCAUAUUGGUCAGGAUCACGUAUAGACGAAAGAGUCAUUCUUUCGACAAGUGGAGUAGAUUCGCCAUCUUAAUUGGUUUUCCUUACAAGAAUCAGAGGCUACAUUGAAGCUUGAGUAGCAAGUACAAGCUCAGUUGGCGAAGCUCAAAAUAAUGGAGAAGUACAUCGAUGAGGCUACCCUUGAGGAAAUGAAGAUGAGUAACAACAAAGCUGAUCUCAUUAAUGCGCAAGAUGAGCUAGAGCAAAAGCUUAAGGUCAAAGUUGAAUCGAAACGGGUACUAUCUUCAAAACGGAGUGCUGAGGAAGCAUACAUGAUGGCCUGUAGUCAGAGGUGGAGAAACUUCGUAACAAGGUUCAGCAAAAAGACAACGUUCAUUGUAUGAUCUUCAACAACUUAAGGAUUUGCAUGAGUUAGAGUUUGAGGCUUUUUGUGUUGCUCAUAGGAAGCCAAUUAAAGAAGAAUAUACCGAAUGGUACAACCUCGAGUAUCUUUUAGGCUACACGCGACGAGACCAUCUUGGUGGCUGGGACAUCCAUAAGAUCUACGAAGAAAUCGAAAAUACUAACUUCCUUAUGCUAGAAGACUUACUAAACGAGAUCUUGGAUCUAGAAGCAAAGCGAGAGGGAAAGUGUAGCUCUAGUGAUGAUCUAGUAUCCAAUGUGCCUACUGAUCCUUCGACUUCUGCUAGAGAAAAGGGUGUUGGUAAAAGAGAUUGACUUAAUGUUUUGCCAGGAUAGGAGCAUAUGUCUCUUCUAAGACUCAGAUUUAUUUGCCUCUGUAUUAAAAAGUUUUAUUCUUUCAUUAAUUGCUUCUUUGUGUGUGUAUAUGUUUGUCUUUUUAAAUGAACAUCGAUCAAGUUUUAGGAACUUCUCGUCAUUUGCUUCUAUAUUCGAGAAUAUAGUUUAAUCUGACAAUCGUUGACAAUCUUUUCGAAGUAAGCUAACUUCGAAGUAAUGAGUGACAGAGCGGAACACGAGUAAGUUUGUGAGCCAAGGAUAGAGCUCGAAUGCCUCCUUAGUAAUGCUGAUUCGAACAACAUUACCUAUCCUCAUCAUGAUUGCCAAAGUACCACCUUACUUUGGUACCGAAAUUAAACCCAUGAAAAAUAUUUACUCUACAAUUGCCUCAGUUUAUUGAUCAGAUUAAGGAUGGGAAAGUAACGUCCUGACUUUUGGAAUGGCUUCCAAUCUUUGUUUUGCUUGCCCCUGAUUCAUGGUUGAAGGUCUUCGUAUAUGUAAUGUGUAACUUAAGGAAGGUUUCUUCCUUAGUGAUAGGAGCAUAUUUAUGCGACUUAGUUAGCUUGUUUUCUUGCACUUUUAUAGUUAGUUUGUGGUUAUUAAAGUGUUUUAAGCUAUUUUUGUGUGUUUGUAGGUCUAAAUGACAAAGUUGGCAAGAAAGUGAAUUUUGGAGCAUUUUGGAGCAGUUUUGGGCACUAAAUGGAUAGCACAUGUAUGGGCCAAGAUGGAUGGACGAAUUUGGAGUUCAAAAGGCUAGGAAUCUGAUAAGAAGAGGAAGAAAUUAAAUUCAAGACAAAAAAAGAUAAGGAAUAAGCUCAAAAGAGGAAACAUUAUCCACAACCUUAUCCAACCUUAUCUUAUCCAAACCAACCUUAUCUUAUCUUAUCCUAUCCUAAUCUUAUCAUGUCUUAAUCCUAGCUGCAAGGGGACCUAAAUAUAUAUUUCUAGAACCUAUUUCUAGAAGAUUUCCCUUCUAGAAGUCCCAAAUCAGCCACAAAACACAUUGUUUCUAGAAAUCCUACAAAAGUGGCACCUAUUUCCUUUCUAGAAUGCUUUUGCCUUGCCUUGCAAGCUAUUCUCUUUUCCCUCCAAUGUGUGCCGCACCCUCUAUCCCUUUUCCUUGGUGGAUUCUGAUUUAUUAGGCCUUAUUCCUUGUGGAUUUGGGUUACAAGGAUUUGGGUUAUACAAAUCCUUUUCUGAAAUUAAGUGGGCUAGACCUUUUCCUUAGUGGAUUUAACUCCUUGUGCCGCACCCUAGGGCCUUAAUUCUCCUAAUGUGCUGAUUUCUAACCUUAAUUUGAUUUACCCUAGGGUUUUGUGGAGCCUAUAUAUACAUAUUUUUAGCACAAAUUCGUCACCACCUUCAUACAACUCAAAAAACACCUUUGCCGUAACCCUAACCACCAUUCUACAUCACAAAACACCAUCCUACAUCCAUAUACAUCUUUGCCACACCUUUUGGAGAAGAAGGAGAGCCUUGUCGUGCAUUCCAUUGAUGAAUGAGGGCCUUGUGCGCAAGCCAUCUGCAUCCUUGGGAGUUUUAAGCGUUCUUUCUUUCCUCGUUUCAAUUUCGAUGUUUAUUUUAAUUUGCGUUUCAAUUGCUAUGAACAUGUGGAAUUAAACUCUUAUUAGUUAGUGGUGAAUUUGAAGCCAUGGACAUAUGUUAAUAUGAAUUGAUUCCUUUCAGUUAUUGUUUCGUAAAACAUGAAUGCGAUUUACUUAUCUAUUUGAUUGAUAACUUAUUCUUGUGUGUUGAUUAAGGAGGCCUACUUAGUUUGCAUGCUUGAAUCUGAUGUUAAAUUAUAAGGGACUUUCACCUAAUCGUUAUAAACUUAUGAUUACAAGUAGUGGAGAUUGUUAGUCACAAUCGUAUUAAGUAGAUUCUUGGCAAAAGUAUCAUGCAGUUCAUAGUUAUAAUUGUCUUGUCAAUGCUUAUGAUUUCCAUGGAAUUUAAUGAUCUUUGAAUGUAUCUCUAUCAUGCUGUUCAUAUAGGGAGAUUGAGAAGAAUAAUUUGGGUUGUUGCAUGCAUUCAUCCAAUUCAAUGAAUUUAGGGAAAUCUGAUAGUUAAUUUGUGCAUUCACGAUUAAUUUGGGGCAUUUGUCGUUCAUGGUUUAAAGAAACAAUACUGGAAAUUGACUUAUGUUGCAUAUGUUCAUGUGUGGAGAAGGAUCCUCUAACUAGCUUUUCACCCUUGAAUUCAUCUUAAUUUCAUUUUAGUUUACUUUGAUUUGCAAUUUGUUUAGUUUUAAUUCAAUUUCGUCAGAAAUCAAACCCCAUUUUCUGUUUUAUGUUAUUAGGUCAGAAUCUGUCCUAAUUAGGUUCUCUAGAGUGUUUUGAGUCAAUAUAGGUUAGAAUUAGUCCAUAAACAUUGUUUGAGUCUUAAUUUAGUCUUAAAUUCGUCCAAUUUCAUCCCUAGAAUCUGUUUUGAGUCUAAUUGUUAGUAUUGUACUGUUUUGAGUCUUUUAAGUACAUUCUGAGUUAGUUAAGGUACAACCUGUUUUCUUUUAAUCUUUUGAGUCAAAGUAAGUGUUAAUUUCGUCCAAAGUACUUGUUAGGUCUAGAAUUGAGUCAAUUUCAUUUAGUUUGGCAGAUUUGAAUGUUUUAGGUCAGUUUAGAGUCUAGAGAGUCUAUUCUUGUGUUUUUAAGUCUAGUUUAGUGUUUUAGAGUUUGAUUUGAGUAGAUUAGCAGCCCUAGUUAAUCCUCGGUUUAGAACAAUCCCUACUUACAUCUUUGCUACAAUUGUCAUCAAUAGGGUUUAAUUUGUGUGUCAAGUAAUUUUCACAUCAAAUUUUGGCGCCGUUGCCGGGGAUUAGCAAACUUGCUCACUUCGAGAGUCAUUCUCUUGAGGAAGAAUAUUAAUGGCAUUCAACAAAGCCAAGGAGAGUCCUUUCCAGCAUACUAUGAGCGUUUUAAGGCUUUUGUUGCCUCAUGUCCUCAGCACCAAAUGAAAGAAGAACUUCUACUUCAAUACUAUUACGAAGGACUUCUUCCAAUUGAGCGACAAAUGCUAGAUGCUUCAGCGGGAGGUGCAUUGGUUGACAAAACACCAAUGGCUGCAAAAACCUUAAUUGCCAACCGAGCGCUAAAUGCACAACAAUACGAAGGGCUUGGACAAAGAGACCCCCUCUAACAGCAAGUUAAUGAGGUAAGUUCUAUGUCUGACAUUCAAUCACAAUUAACUAACCUCACUUCUAUUAUAUCUCAGAUGGCCGAAGGGAUGAAGAUACAAGGACCAAGUGUUUGUGGCGUGUGUUCUAUGCAAGGACAUCUUAAUGACCAAUGCCCUCAAUUGAUUGAGAAUGGAGGGUGGGAAUCUGCCAAUGCCGUGGGUUUUUAGAGCCAAAGUCAGCCACGAAACGAUCCAUACUCCAACACUUACAAUCUGGGAUGGAGAGAUCAUCCCAAUUUCAAGUGGAGAGAGCCACAACAACCUGCCCAACAAGGGGGAUUUCGGAAAACACCACCUGGAGUGUUUCAAAGGCUGUAUGCACCACCACAAUCUGCCCAACAAAAUUCAGGUUCGAAAUUAGAUGAUGAUACACUUCUUCAAUUACUAAGUUCACUUACGCAGGGCCAACAAAAUCAAGCUAAGGAGAUGAGUGAAGUGAAGAAACAAAUAGGGCAUAUUUCUGAGUUUAUGGGGCAGUUUCGUGAAGAAGGAAAACUCCCUAGUUCAACCAUUGUGAAUCCGAAUGGAGGUUUCGAAUCCGCUAAAGCUAUUACGUUGAGAAGCGGAAAAGAGGUGGGAAUCAAGCAAAAUACAUCCAAACAAAGUCAAAACAAGGAUGAAAAGUUGCUGAGUGAAGAUGAGGAAUUAGACAAAGCCACGACAAGGAAAGAAGUUCCAUUGCCGCAGCCAUCUAGUGCACCUAAACCGUCCAAUUCAGGUAAGGGUGAUGUAAUUGUGAACCAUUUUAACCCUAUUCCACCCAAUGCACCUUUCCUACAUAGAUUUAUGCAAUCAAAGAAGGAGGAGAAUGAGAAGGACAUUCUUGAGACAUUUAGAAAGGUGCAAGUGAAUAUCCCACUCCUUGAUGCAAUUAAACAAGUUCCAAGGUAUGCCAAGUUUUUUAAGGAACUUUGUGCAACAAGAAAGAGGAUUUCAAACAAAGAAGUUGUAAAGGUAAGUGAGAAUGUGUUAGCCGUUUUGCAAAGAAAACUACCACCAAAAUGCAAAGAUCCUGGUAGUUUUACAAUUCCUUGUGUUAUUGGAAAUACCAAGUUUGAGCAUGCUAUGUUAGAUCUAGGUGCAUCCAUUAAUGUCAUGCCAUACUCCAUUUAUGCAUCUAUGAACCUAGGAGAGCUUAAAAACGAUGGUGUUAUCAUUCAAUUAGCCGAUCAUUCUAAUGCAUACCCAAAAUGGGUUUUGGAAGAUGUUUUGGUGCAGGUUAAUGACUUAGUAUUUCCAGCGGAUUUCUAUGUGCUUGAGAUGGAAGAUUCGGGCCAUUCCACAUCCUUGCCGAUCCUCCUUGGAAGACCCUUCAUGAAAACAGCCCGCACCAAGAUAGAUGUGUUUAAAGGAACACUCACAAUGGAAUUUGAUGGGGAUGUUAUUGAUUUCAAUAUUUCUGAAUCUAUUAAAUAUCCUAAGGAUGAUCAUUCUUGCUUCUCUAUUGAUGUAUUUGAUGCUUUGGCACAGGACUACCUUGACUCAUUGGAGAGGGACCCUCUUGAAACCACCAUAGUACACGGAGUGGGACUUAACAAACCAAAGGCAGCAAUUGAGCACACUCACGGCAAGAAUGAUGAUGCCUAUGCCGUGCCUCCUAGUGCAGAAAUAUAGUGCAGAAAUAAAAGAGAUGGUUGCUGCCCUUGAGUCAUUGCCACAACAUCUUGGUAAGCCUCCUAACCCAAUUCCAAUUCCCGUUUCUACUAACAAGUUGUUACCUUCUGUGAUUCAGGCACCCGUCCUUGAGCUUAAACCGUUGCCGGACCAUUUGAAGUAUGUAUUUUUGGGAGAUGAUGAGACAUUGCCCGUCAUUGUUUCUUCAUCACUCACGGCAUUGGAGGAGGAGAAGUUGAUUCGGGUGUUGAAAAAGCACAAAACGGCAAUUGGAUGGACAUUGGCCGACAUUAAGGGAAUUAGCCCUACAACUUGCAUACAUCGCAUACUUCUAAAGGAAGGGGCUAAACCAACUCGAGAGGCUCAACGUUGACUUAACCCUCCAAUGAUGGAAGUUGUGAAGAAGGAGAUUAUCAAGCUUCUUGAUUGUGGAGUCAUUUACCCCAUCUCAGAUAGUCGUUGGGUUUCCGGUUCAAGUUGUACAAUCAGGAGUCACCGUGGUGAAGAAUGCAAAGAAUGAGCUUGUGCCUACACGUAUCCAAACCGGUUGGCGAGUGUGCAUUGACUAUAGGAAGUUAAACGCCACCAUAAGGAAUGACCACUUCCCUUUGCCGUUCAUUGAUGAAAUGCUUGAAAGGUUAGCUGGUCAUUCUUUUUAUUGCUUUCUAGAUGGUUAUUCGGGAUAUAAUCAAAUUGUUAUAGCUCUAGAUGAUCAAGAAAAGACUACUUUUACUUGUCCAUUUGGCACUUUUGCUUAUCGUUGAAUGCCAUUCGGGUUGUGUAAUGCACCAGCCACAUUCCAACGAUGCAUGAUAAGUAUAUUCUCAGAUUUUGUGGAAAAGAUUAUUGAGGUUUUCAUGGAUGAUUUUAGUGUCUUUGGUGAUUCGUUUGAUGGUUGUUUAGAUAAUCUCACUUUAAUCUUAAACCGGUGCAUUGAAACUAAACUUGUUUUGAAUUGGGAAAAAUGUCACUUUAUGGUUAAACAAGGCAUAGUUUUAGGUCACAUAGUUUCUGCAAAGGGAAUAGAGGUUGAUAAAUCAAAAAUAGAUCUUGUGCGUUACUUACCUUCUCCCACUACGGUGAGAGAGGUUCGUUCUUUUCUUGUACAUGCAGGAUUCUAUAGGCGAUUCAUCAAAGAUUUUUCCAAGAUUUCCCAAUCCCUUUGCCGACUUCUUCAAAAGGAUGUGACAUUCAAGUUCGAUGAUGAGUGUGAGAAGGCAUUCAAUCACCUCAAGGAGAAGCUAACUUCGGCCCCCAUCAUAGUCCCACCAGAUUGGAGCCUUCCCUUUGAGCUUAUGUGUGAUGCUUCAGAUUAUGCAUUAGGGGCUAUUUUGGGACAAAGAAGGGACAAGAAGCCACACGUCAUCUACUAUGCAUCCCGGACUUUGAAUGAUGCACAAUUAAAUUAUUCCACCACUGAAAAAGAACUUCUUGCUGUUGUAUUUGCUUUAGAUAAGUUUCGUUCAUAUCUACUUGGAACUAAAGUUAUUGUUUACACUGAUCAUGCAGCUUUGAAGUAUUUGCUCACAAAGAAGGAGGCCAAGCCAAGGCUUAUUCGUUGGAUGCUACUUCUCCAAGAGUUUAACGUGGAAAUCCGGGACAAGAAAGGAAGUGAAAACGUGGUGGCUGACCAAUUGAGCCGAAUGGUGCAUGAAGAAGAUGCCAAUGCCGUGCCCAUCCCAGAGACAUUCCCAGAUGAGUAGUUGCUAUCCAUUAAGGUAAGCGAGCCAUGGUAUGUCGAUCUAGUUAAUUAUUUGGUCACUAAGCAUGUCCCAAGCACCCUAAAUAAGCACCAACGUGAUAAACUCAAGAAGGAUGCACGAUUUUAUGUUUGGGAUGACCCUUAUUUGUGGAAACAUUGCCUGACCAGAUUCUACGUAGGUGUGUGCAUGAUUCCGAGUUUCAUUUGAUUUUAACUUUCUGUCACAUGUAUGCAUGUGAGGGUCAUUUUAGCACACAACGCACAGCACAUAAGGUUUUAGAAUGUGGAUUUUAUUGGCCUACAAUUUUUAGAGAUGCUAGAACCUUUUGUAUAACCUGUGAUCGUUGUCAAAGAAUGGGAAAUAUAACAUCAAAAGACCAAAUGCCGUAACAUCCUAUAUAUUCCGUUGAGAUUUUUGAUGUUUGGGGUAUAGAUUUCAUGGGUCCAUUUCCUUCCUCCCAUGGUUUUCUUUAUAUAUUACUUGUUGUGGAUUAUGCUUUGAAAUGGGUGGAAGCAAAAGCCACCCAUACUAAUGAUUCUAAAGUGGUUGCAGAUUUUAUUAGAACUAACAUAUUUGCAAGGUUUGGAAUGCCCAGAGUGCUCAUUAGUGAUGGAGGAUCCCAUUUUUGUAAUCGAACCAUUGAGGCGUUGCUCAAGAAGUACACACGCAUAAGGUUUCCACACCUUAUCAUCCUCAAACAAGUGGGCAAGCCGAGGUUUCAAAUAGGGAAAUCAGGCAAAUUUUAGAGAAGACAGUGGGACCAACUCGAAAAGAUUGGAGCUUGCGCUUAAAUGAUGCAUUGUGGGCAUAUAGAACGGCCUACAAAACACCAAUUGGGAUGUCCCUAUUUCGGCUCAUCUAUGGGAAACCAUGUCAUCUUCCGGUUGAGUUAGAGCAUCGUGCACAUUGGGCCGUCAAGACAUUCAAUAUGGACAUUGAUGCCCCUAGGAUCCAUAGGAAAUUGCAAUUAAAUGAGCUUGAGGAGAUUAGGAAUGAAGCUUAUGAGAACGCUUUCAUUUACAAGGAGAAAGCAAAGGCCACCCAUGACAUGAUGAUUCGUGGAAAGACAUUCUCUAUAGGGCAGAAAGUGUUACUCUUCAAUUCCCAUCUUCGGUUAUUUCCGGGUAAGUUGCGUUCUAAAUGGAUUGGACCUUUUGUUAUUACUAAUGUUUUUCCUCAUGGUGCAGUCCAAAUUCAAAGUUUGAAGACGGGACAUGAAUUCAAGGUCAAUGGACACCGUUUGAGGCCCUACUAUGAGACAUUUGAGGAGCAUACCGUGGAGGACAUACCCCUCCAUGUCGUGGGCCCUAUUCAAGCUUAAACAUAGGUAUCGUUCGGUUGGAAGACGUUAAAGCAAGCACUUCUUGGGAGGCAACCCAUGUGUUUCAACGCGGGAUUGAAGGGAUUCGAGCUCCAUAACCAGAUUUGCGUUCUUAAACCCUACCCUUUCUUGUUUUUACUUUGCCAUGUUUGUCGUGUUUGUUAGUUGUGUUGAUUGCUUGCAUCUGUGUGAGUCUAUGUUUGAAACAUUGAGGACAAUGUUUGGUUUAAGUGUGGGGGGGGUAAACAAGUGUUUUUAUUGAAAUUUCGUGGGAUUUUAUCACCCAUAACUUCCAAAGUUGUUCCUUGCUGUUUUUAAGUGUUUUUAAGCUGUUUUGGUGCAUUUUAGUGUGUUUUGACAUAUAAAUCCGAAAAUCUCAUAAAAAUUUGAAAAAGUGUUUUGAAAACCCAAAAAGAGUUGUUUUUGUGUGUUUGUUUGUGUCUUAGGGUACCUUUCAACACAAUGAUGAGGAUUUGGUUUUUAAUUGCAUGACUGUUAAAGAAAGUGACAAACAUGGAUGGAAGUUUGAUAUACUCUUUGGUUUAUGCUUGGUUGUAGUUAAAGUUUACGAAUUCACAUGUAGUCACAAAGGAAAAAAUCAGUUUUUGUAACAUGCUUGAAGGAAGGAACUCAAACUAACGCUACAACCUUGAGAGACUUGAGCCUAAACUUUAUUUGGAGAGUUAUUAAUCUGUGAUUUCUUGUUUUCUAAAGUCGUUGCAUGAUCUCAUUAUUCUUUGCUUGGUUGCUACUUAGAAUGCGUUUUAUCACUUUAGUUCCAAAUACUAGAACUCAUACCUGUUUCAUUCAAAACUUGAAAUUGAGUGCAUAACAUAUAGCAAGAUGAAGUUGUUAGUAGUUACCACUAGAGCCAAAAAGCCUUCAUCCCAUGCAUUUGUUUUGUAGGUUUAACCCCUUUGAGCCUUAAUUAGCCUAUUUUCUUUGUUAGCCACAUUAUCCUUACCUAGCCUAGAAUAGGACUAUCCACACCCUUGUUCUUAAAGUAUAGUGGAGCAAGACUUAGAGGGAAUUCCUUUUGAUCAACAUUGUUCCAGAAAACAAGCGUGGGGGAAGAGAUUUUUGUGUAUGUGUGCCAAAGUCUUAAAAGAGGCACGGGUAAAAAAAAAAAAAAAAAAAAAAAAAGAAAAAAAAAGAGAGAAAAAUUCAUCGAAAAUAAAAAAAAAAGUUGUGAAAAGAAUAAAGAAGAGCUAAAAAAUAUGUGAAAAAGAGUUCUAAAGUGUUGUUUGUUGAAGAAAGGGUCCAAAAAGCUUGAAUUUGACCCUAAGUGUUGCAUGAAUUCCCCCUUUGCGUUUAAAAGUUGAUUUCUGCAUUCUAAAGUGAACUCUAUGUUGAUUUCAUUACUUUGCUUACUAUUGCUUUAAGAACUUUUGUUUAUCCUUAACCUUUCAUUGUUAGCCAAUACCCUUAGCCCCGUUACAACCCUUAUACUUCAAUCUUGGAUGUUGUGUGUUUUAAUCUGUGGAGUUUGGGAUUGGUAUGAGCAUAUGGUAUCCCUGGUUCUCGCGUCUAAGUAGUGGCAUUCCAUUCAUGAGAUCAUAUACAUGUUUAUGUUAAUAACUCCAGAAAUUGCUUUCUUUGAUGAUGACAUAUGUGAGUGUUAGCUUUCAUGUUUACAUCAAUCUUCUCACAUAUACCUAGUAUAGGGAGUGUAGUAAGAAAUUCUGUGUGAAAAUAGAGUGUAUAUCCAGUGAGGAAUUGAGGGAAUUCUCUAAGGCGUGUUACUACAUUCAAAAUGUUGUUUUAUGUGAUUAAAUGCGAACUAGUAAGUGAUGACUGUGAUUAAGUAUGCGCUUGAGGGUAGGGAUAACUAAAAUCCAUGUGAGUAGUGAUUUUUAAUGUGUCAUGUUUCAUUGGAAAUCCUUGAGGCAAAUGUUGGAAGGUUUAGGUUAUUUUUUUGUUUUGUUUCCUUUGUUUUGCUCGAGGACUAGCAAAAGCUAAGUAUGGGGGAAUUUGGUAGGAGCAUAUUUAUGCGACUUAGUUAGCUUGUUUUCUUGCACUUUUAUAGUUAGUUUGUGGUUAUUAUAGUGUUUUAAGCUAUUUUCGUGUGUUUGUAGGUCUAAAUGACAAAGUUGGCAAGAAAGUGAAUUUUGGAGCAUUUUGGAGCAGUUUUGGGCACUAAAUGGAUAGCACAUGUAUGGGCCAAGAUGGAUGGACGAAUUUGGAGUUCAAAAGGCUAGGAAUCUGAUAAGAAGAGGAAGAAAUUAAAUUCAAGACAAAGAAGAUAAGGAAUAAGCUCAAAAGAGGAAACAUUAUCCACAACCUUAUCCAACCUUAUCUUAUCUUAUCCUAUCCUAAUCUUAUCAUGCCUUAAUCCUAGUUGCAAAGGGACCUAAAUAUAUAUUUCUAGAACCUAUUUCUAGAAGAUUUCCCUUCUAGAAGUCCCAAAUCAGCCACAAAACACAUUGUUUCUAGAAAUCCUACAAAAGUGGCGCCUAUUUCCCUUCUAGAAUGCUUUUGCCUUGCCUUUCAAGCUAUUCUCUUUUCCCUCCAAUGUGUGCCGCACCCUCAAUCCCUUUUCCUUGGUGGAUUCUAAUUUAUUAGGCCUUAUUCCUUGUGGAUUUGGGUUAUACAAAUCCUUUUCUGAAAUUAAGUGGGCUAGACCUUUUCCUUAGUGGAUUUAACUCCUUGUGCCGCACCCUAGGGCCUUAAUUCUCCUAAUGUGCUGAUUUCUAACCCUAAUCUGAUUUACCCUAGGGUUUUGUGGAGCCUAUAUAUACGUAUUUUCAACACAAAUUCGUCACCACCUUCAUACCACUCAAAAACACCCUUGCCGCAACCCUAACCACCAUUCUACAUCACAAAACACCAUCCUACAUCCAUAUACAUCUUUGCCACACCUUUUGGAGAAGAAGGAGAGCCUUGUCGUGCAUUCCAUUGAUGAAUGAGGGCCUUGUGCGCAAGCCAUCUGCAUCCUUGGGAGUUUUAAGAGUUCUUUCUUCCCUUGUUUCAGUUUCGAUGUUUAUUUUAAUUUGCGUUUCAAUUGCUAUGAACAUGUGGAACUAAACUCUUAUUAGUUAGUGGUGAAUUUGAAGCCAUGGACAUAUGUUAAUAUGAAUUGAUUCCUUUCAGUUAUUGUUUCGUAAAACAUGAAUGCGAUUUACUUAUUUAUUUGAUUGAUAACUUAUUCUUGUGUGUUGAUUAAGGAGGCCUACUUAGUUUGCAUGCUUGAAUCUGAUGCUAAAUUAUAAGGGACUUUGACCUAAUCGUUAGAAACUUAUAAUUACAAGUAGUGGAGAUUGUUAGUCACAAUCGUGUUAAGUAGAUUCUUGGCAAAAGUAUCAUGCAGUUCAUAGUUAUAAUUGUCUUGUCAAUGCUUAUUAUUUCCAUGGAAUUUAAUGAUCUUUGAAUGUAUCUCUAUCAUGAUGUUCGUAUAGGGAGCUUGAGAAGAAUAAUUUGGGUUGUUGCAUGCAUUCAUCCAAUUCAAUGAAUUUAGGGAAAUCUGAUAGUCAAUUUGUGCAUUCACAAUUAAUUUGGGGCAUUGUCGUUCAUGGUUUAAAGAAACAAUACUGGAAAUUGACUUAUGUUGCAUAUGUUCAUGUGUGGAGAAGGAUCCUCUAACUAGCUUUUCACCCUUGAAUUCAUCUUAAUUUCGUUUUAGUUUACUUUGAUUUGCAAUUUGUUUAGCUUUAAUUCAAUUUCGUCAAAAAUCAAACCCCAUUUUCUAUUUUAUGUUAUUAGGUCAGAAUCUGUCCUAAUUAGGUUCUCUAGAGUGUUUUGAGCCAAUAUAGGUUAGAAUUAGUCCAUAAACAUUGUUUGAGUCUUAAUUUAGUCUUAAAAUCGUCCAAUUUCAUCCCUAGAAUCUGUUUUGAGUCUAAUUGUUAGUAUUGUGCUGUUUUGAGUCUUCUAAGUACAUUAUGAGUUAGUUAAGGUACAACCUGUUUUCUUUUAAUCUUUUGAGUCAAAGUAAGUGUUAAUUUCGUCCAAAGUACUUGUUAGGUCUAGAAUUGAGUCAAUUUCAUUUAGUUUGGCAGAUUUGAAUGUUUUAGGUCAGUUCAAAGUCUAGAGAGUCUAUUCUUGUGUUUUAAGUCUAGUUUAGACUUUUAGAGUUUGAUUUGAGUAGAUUAGCAGCCCUAGUUAAUCCCUGGUUUAGAACGAUCCCUACUUACAUCUUUGCUACAAUUGUCAUCAAUAGGGUUUAAUUUGUGUGUCAAGUAAUUUUCACAUCACUUAGGUCGAAUUGCCCAUCAUUUCUAGUGAAUCUUAAAUGAAAGUUCUUUAGGGACUUAGCCGUUGGCAUUCGGGUCGAAACACCUUUGAAAUCCUUUUGUCAGACCCUAUGCAUCGAACCUGAAUGUUUCCGAUUUGAUUACCUUGGCUGACUUAGCAGAAGAAUUUUUGUGUUUGGAACAAAUUUCCUCUUGGGGAUUGCCUAAUCUUAUGCCCCAUUCGGACCUAUUGAACACAUGGUGUCGCAUAAUAUACUUGACUUAAGAUGUUGGUUCGGGAUAGAAGUAGUCGUACUCGAGGUUGGAGUUCAGAGCCACUCUCAGAUGAUUUCUAGAUCACCCUUUCAACUAUUCCCUCGAAUGGCUAGAGCCCAGGUUUGAAUGUUAUAACCCACAACCUUAUCAGUUGCAUAAACUUUUCGGAGGCCAUAUGGUGCAUUGAACUUUCACAUCAGGGCACCAUGUACCAGUGUCCGUAGCCUGCCAAUCCUAACCACACUUAUUAUGGUUCGAGUCUCCCACUGCUAAUUAAACAGUACGAAAUAGGCUAAAAGAGACAUCUAACAGUGUUACUUUGGACAUUUAGACCUGCAAUCAUGCGAAGUUUUUUAUGCUUUAUUCGAGUGAAUGAGGUAUUCCCUACAUCACUGGAAAAAAAAAAGAAAAAAAACAUUGAACAUGCGAUAAACUAACUUCAGAAUCUUUUAUGGUAGAGGAAAUAGGGUUGUUUGAUAAGGGGUUGUGAUUGAAUUCGGGUUAGAUUGCAUGCAUAUCUCCUGGAAGGAGAAUCAAUUGACUAGUGUAGUUCUAAGAAAAUAUGAUAUAAUAUAAGAAUUACAACAGGGAUUAUUGUUUACGAAAAGCCUAUGGUAGGGCAUUAAGGAUAUAAGUUCUUUGUGGAUUUGUCUUCGCGCAAACGGCGGUAUUGCGAUUAAGUCUAGAAUGGACGACCUACAUAUCCUGGGAAAGGAAUCAAACUGCGUAUAAUUCGGAGGGUGUUUGAAAGUGAUCUAGAGAUGUUUGCAGGAAGAGGUUGGGGUCCAUUUUCUUGACGUUGAUCUUUCAGCUUCUCUGCCUCUUCAGUGUUUCGCCCCUUGUAAAUUUUGAUUGGGGCUGGAUAACGAGGCAACUAGUGGUUGGUUGGGUGGACAGUUCCCAUGCUGUGUGAUAGGAUUUUUAUCACCUGCAAAAGUAGGGAUAAAAACAUUUAAAAAUACUUGCAAGAGAGCAAGGUUGUUGUAGUAAGAAUGCUCAAUGCAAGGUCGUUCCUAUAGGGAUUAUUUGAAAUAAUUUAUGUAAAAACCAAAUCUUAAUUAAUUAUUUAAGACAAAAUUUUAGAAAAGGUUGAUUUUAUGAUUAAAAAUAAUAAAAACAAAUUUCGAUUAAAAACAAAGUAAAGAGAUUGGCAAAUAAAAGAACAAAAGAAAACAGUUAUACAAAAUCAAGUUGUAAAAGCACUAGGGUUCCACUGUCACCUUAGCAAUAUACAUAGUUCUUCUAAUUACUUAUGACUUAUACAUGCAUAUUUUGAAGGUUAGGUUUUCCUAAAAUAUGCUCCACUUGGAUGCCCAAUCUAGAACGUAUAUCAAACAUGCAAUCCGUCUAUGGUAUUCAUAUCAAAUCUAAACAUGCAAGAGUCAUUAAGCUUUAUGAAACCCUUUGAAAACCCAUACAACCUUUAAGACAUGGUGAUUAAUAAUUCAAGGACAACACUUCAACCAAAGUUGCAUCAAAUUACUUUUCUAAAUAUCCUAAUGGUGGCUAAGCAUUAAGACAAAUAGAUAGGUUCAAACAUGGUGAUUAAUAAUUCAAAACAUGCAUGUAUAAUAUCAUAAGUAAAUUGAAAAAAAAAACUACAUAUUCUUACUAAGUCUCGUGGCCUCACCCUAAAAAGGAGAAUUAGUUGCACAUAAUCACAAUUAAAUAGCAAAAUAUCAUUAAGAAAAUGAUUGAAAAUACCUUGUAAAAUAAAGCUAAAUCUUCAAAAACUCUCUAAGCCAAGUUCUCCAAAGCAGUGUGUAGUGAACCCUAAUGGUUAACUAGCCUUUAUUUAUACUACUACAAAAUGAAAUCCUUCCUCGAAAAGGUCUUAGAAUAAAACUAGGAAACAAAAUAAAUUAAGAGAAACUAGGAAACAAUCUCCUAGUUAAACAUGGAGAAAUCUGUCAGCAAACUGAUCAGCCACGUUCUAGGUUGAAAACAACUCCAAAAAGGCCCAAGACAACUUAUUUUAAAGAUUAAGAUGUCUUGAAAUUAUCUCCCAAAAGGGCCCGAACCCAAAAAAAAAAAGUCAUUUUGGAUGCCAAAAAGCCCAAAUAAGCCCAAAACGUCACUUUGACAAAUUCGCGCACUAGUCUUUUAUUCCAUUGCCAUAAAAUAAUUGCUUAGUUGAAAAAUUGGAAACUUUGAUGCGAACAAGUUGAAAGACUCACAAAGAUCUUCUAAUUGGAAUCACUCCAAAAUUCAUCAAUUUGAUCACUUUUUGCUCAAGAGAAAGUCGCAUGUCCUACGUUGGAAAUGUAAUUCAAAGUAUCAAAAUUUCACCAAAAUAAUAACCAAAAUAUACUAAAAAUAAGGUAAAAUAUAUCAUAUAAAAUCGACUCAUCAAUGUGAUACCAAUUUCGGCCUAAAAUGGCAUUUUAAAGAGGAAGGCAGUCCAUAACAUGGAAAGUCACCAAAUGGUUGCAUGGUUUUGCCUGGACUGUCAAUUUCAUCGCAUGGUCUACAUUACAACGCCACUAAUAGAGUGGAGGGUAGCUCUCCUCUUGUCGACGUCAUCAGGAUGCCCACUCAUUCAGUCGUACCGCGAAAGAAGACACUGACUAUUGAUCAAUUGUCUAUUAGGACUCGACUAACCAUAACAUUGGAGAUCUACUGUCUGAUGACAAGAGUGUUGUCGCGAGGGGAGUAAGCAACUACCAAAUCUUGGUUGGAAGGCAUCUGGGCAUUAUGAUAGAUAAGUGGUUUGUUGGCCGGAACCGUUGUUAGAGGUUUCCCACGUGCUACCAUUUCAUCAUUUCGCUUCCUCCUAGGCGUCCCUGGUUUCUGCUUAUGCGAUUGAUUCUGGAUAAUAGUCUUUUUUUUUUUCAAGCAUCGAGUAAGAAAAGGUUUCUAGCCCUACAGGGCCUUUUGCGUUGUGUUCCUUGAACAGAUCCUUAAAGUUACGCAUCUGGGUUUAGACUAGCAGUUCUUAUCAGAGCAUAGGCAGGCAUCGGCUGGACAGUCAGCUCUUCGAAGUGGGAUACGAUGUCUAUAAGGUCCUUACUUGUGUCUCUAGUCUGGUGAGUUUCGCUCAUUUUUUAGCCUAUGAACUUCUUCAGAAAUCCUUUACAGAUCCAUAACGAAAUCGUUUUCGUCGAAUAGGGCGAUGGUAUGGUCACCGCGUGAUUGCUCGACAAAAUUUUCCAUUAAGGUAAUGUGAUUUGGUCGAGAGAAAUAUGAGUUCACUUUCAAUGAAAGCAUUAAUUAUUAAAACCAAAUUCAUGCACCACAGUGAGUAAUGGAGAUGCACAAAUCCAAGUAACUUGUAAAAGAGCAAACAACCGUGAGCAAGCCUAAGACCUGGGGCGAGGGUGAGGGGUGUGCCAACUAAAGGCUCUCCAGCGGUUUAUUUAGUAAGCAAGUAUACGACUGAAGCAACGGUCGCGGGCUAACCGUACACUUGUUAAACAAUCCAAUGGAAUUUCCAAAAUUAAGGAAGCCUCACAGGGAGGAAAAUGAUUAGAAAUUAAAUCAUUGUUCCAAAGAUUCUUACGUGGAGAAAUUAACGACGAAACAAACUUACUGAUAGAUUUUCCAAUACUAACUUGCCAACAUGAACCUUAUUCAAGAACCACUUUAGCUGCCAAUAUAACAUCCCAACAAGCAGAUGCGCACAAGCCUAAAGUAGAUUCCCUUAAGGAGUUAUGGGGGAAGUACUUAGUCUUCAAUAGCCUAGCUACAAGGGAGUAGGAUUCUCUCGCUUCCUAUUUUCAUCCCCUUUUCCCCCCUCCUUUCUCACUUUGCUUUUUGUCUUUUUGCCCUUAUAAAAUAUCAAUAUAAGAUGUUGAUGGGGCUCAAUCGUAAUGGUUCAAGUAGGAGGGGAGGGAAGAGGAAAGAGAUUAGGAGGGAAAAGAAACUAACACACCUCGAUCCGGAAUGUCCACCUGGACUUCUAAUCGAGCUGUGCUAGCCGACACCUAGGGGCUGACGAAGCCAUAAAGUGUAGUGAUGUGCAAAAUGUGAAUAAAUUUAAACCUAAAAGUGCCUAAUUAUAAUAGUGUGCUAUUGAGCAGGAAUGAACCCAUUUCACAUGUGAUGUCAGAGCAAUGUAAAGUACAGUAAAGUAGGAUGAGAAUUAUACCAUCGAAGGUAAUCUCUAAUACCAAGAUUUGCCAAGAAUCCUCGUCAACACGAAAGCUCUACACUAAAACCUGGGGGAAAAAAAAGGGUGAGUGGGCCUAAAAACAAAGCUUUGUAAAAAUCUUUUCACAAACAUAAUAACCCUUUGCCGUAAAACAAGUAUAGUUUCCAAAAUAUACAUACUACGUAUAGUAAGAAAAUACUUACUGUAGCCUGCAAUAUCUCAAGAUUCAAUAAAGCACAAUAGCAAUCUAAGACAGGAUUGACACCUACAAUGGAUCCAAAGUGAGCGUACGGUACGAUAUGCACAUACACAUGAAAGACUGGCCCUACCUCGGAUGAGUACUAACACCGGUGCAGCAAACGAUGAGCAAAUAACAUAAAUGUAGCCAUGCCACAAUGAUUUGAUAAUUCUAGUCAACAUAAUAUUAUUCAUAGCUGUAAACUUAAUUAAGGCAUCCCGUAAGAUUUAUAAUGAUUUCCUAAUUUUCACCGUUACUAGAUGUAUAUAUCGAAACUAAAUAGGUAUAUAGGUGUGUAUAUAUUAUAUAUAUAUAUAAGAAAAGACCCAUUCACAUAUCAUGUCGUUGAGUCAAACCCGCCUCGUAGCAUCGAGAGUCCUUGCGAUGCGUUUCACCUAGAAACGAAAUCAUUUAUGUAAAUACGUAACGUACUAACGUACAAACGCGUUUUCGUACAAAGUACUACUAAUAAGAAACUAUUUUAAAACGGUCGAAUUUCAGAAAACGGACGGCGGAUUCGGGUUCGGCAUGUCGAGAAACCUAAGAAGGGAUUUCAGAUUCCUCCACGCACCGCCAUAUGCACCACUCGCAGUAGCUCCUUCACGUGCGCCCACAAGCUUGCGAGUACAAACGUACUCACCUUCUUCACAAUGACCUGCGUUUUGCAGGUUAAACCACCAACUUCCAGAGCUCUAAAAAAGCUCAAAUCUCAACCAAAAUUGAUGAUUCAAAAACCUAAGUGAAGUAGGAAAUGCAAGGAAUAGACCUAUACCGGAGUUGGCCGAAAAAAUUCUCUAAAAAUGGCUUACCGGCCACGGUUCCAAGCUUCCAAAAUUUCUGGGGAAAAUUUCCCCAAGGUGUAACUGCACCAAGACACAUUCUCAAGGUUUUGAGCAGAACCAGAACAUCACUAAGGUUUAAUGGAAGGAAAAACAUAACUUACCUAAUUCAGAAAACUGAGAAAUCUUGUCGGAGUUCCAUGAAAGAGAUGAUGAAUAGUGGCAAAGUUCUUAUGCAAUGUCGGGCUCCACGUCUGGGUUGAUGCUCACUAUCUAAGCUUACAAAGAUAGGAAAGAACAAGGAAUGGUGCUGGUCCGAUGGUCUAACACGCGCGGAGUAGUCAAGUGAUGGUAGUUUGGUGUUACUAUGCAUAGCGAGUGCAUAGAGUUUUGGAUGAGAGAGUCUUAGAAAGUUUGAGAUGGGAGACAAGUUGUGGCCAUCGGCGAUGGUAGCUCCUUGAAAAGGGAUCUCGCCGGAGUGGUCGUGUUUUGCCGGUCUCUGUAACACAGAGGAAUAAGGGAGAAAUGCGAGAGAGAAAGGGAGAGAAAGUCUUAGUGAGAGAGAGAGAGGGAGAAUUUGAAAAUAAGAGAAAUAAUGGGAGAGAGAGAGAGACCGAGAUCUCUGAAGGGUGAAGAUACGGGAUAGGGUAGGAGUAGGGUGUGGGGUGUGGGGCCUAUGUGCCUAUAAUAAACUCACGUCAAAAUACAUAUAUAAUAACGUAAAGUUAAAAUAAUUGUACUGAAAUUUAAACUGUACAUAGAAAGUUCUUUUUUUUUUUUACACCUACGCACAAUCGUUCCGUCACGUACUCCAAAGGUAAGUGUGUAGUAUCCUUAGGUCAAGCCCAAGCAAUGAAUAAAUAACUAAAAAUGCUAACGUAAAAGGUCCUACUUGUCCACUUGAUUAACGAACCCAACAAAUAAAUUAUUGAUAUUAUAGUCUGUAGCCCGCAAUAACGACAACUCACUGUUGUCACGAUAAGCAAGCAACAAAUUCCCAAUGAUGCAAUAUUACCAUCUUGCCCCUCAUUGGGAAAUACAUACAAAUCGUCUUAUUAGCGCCUCGACCGCGCUCUCGUACCACCCUCUCGGGUGACAACGCAAUUAGCACACAAUUUCCUAAAUUGUAAUCUCGAUUAUUCAAAGACAUAUUCAUAAUACUCCUAUGUCAAUCAUGUUCUAUGCAUAAAAUCUCCAUUCACAUUUCAAAUGGUGUCAUACUCAAAUCAAAAGUGUAACCGCAAUUACACACAACUCUAACAAAGAUAAGUGUCAAUCAUAACCAUGCUGAAACUAUAAAACAUACAAAAGCAAAAUAUUCUCUAAGAUCCGGGUAGUUCAUUCAAACUAGCCAUUAGUCUAAGGGUGAAAUGUGGUGUUAGACAAAGGCUUAGUAUACAUGGCCUUCAAGAAGACUUCCCAAGACUUGGAAGUAAAAUGUGCAUCACAGUGAGACACAUUAGUGACAUGCACACCAUGUAGCCAAACAAUGUAGUUCACAAAUACCUUAGUGAGCAGUUUCAUUGUGAAUUUCCCUCGGGUUUAGCGAAAAACUAUGUCGAGUAGGAUAAAAGAACAUUCAAGAAUUUGAGGUUCAAAAUUGGUUCAUCAAAUCUAGAAUACAAGAUAACUGGAUUGAACAUAUAACAUCUUGUUAUAACAGUAGCUUCAGGAAUAUUCAAUCACCAACGGUAAGGAUUCGUUCAGUAGAGUAUUUAGUGGGUGAUUGAGGAAUUGAUGGUCACAACUAGAAUUUCAAAGUCCGAGCGAUUCACCUAAAUGGUAUGUCUGCUUCAAAAAUAAUAUGAAGUGUAGUAGGGUAAACACGUGCCUAAAGUUGUCUGGAAUGUCUUCUAGCACAAAAGGUGAAUAUGGAAUUGCAAUCAACAUAGAUGCUGAUUGAAACGCCAGAAAAAUAUGAUAAAUUCGAGUAUGAGUAAAUUUACCAAAUGGUUUAAAAUGUAGUCUUCCCAGAGCCAACGAAAUGUGAGUUAACUUGUCAAGCCGGUUGAUAAUCGCCAAAACAUCAUCAUAAUAUUCACAUUGUACAAAAUACCUCGUAUCGAGAGUUUAUGGUGAUAUUUCCCAUCUCUAUUUGCAUACAGAUGGUGAUUAUAACCACUCAAAUGAUUUCUUGAUGAUUUGUAAGUAACGUCUAACCAAUACCCAUGAAUUCCAACUAAAACAGAAUAGGACCAGCUGAAAGUAUUUCAAGGGUAGAUAAUGUCUUUUUCUACGGUAAGCAGUAAUUACGUUUGCACAACCGGGGUGAUACACGAUAGUGCAAUCAUAGAUGUUGGUUUGGUUUGUUCCUUCCACUACCAUUGCCAGAAAUUUAGUUUAUUUCCAAUGCGGAUGUAUUUGAGAAGUCUAAGAUUAAUAAAGGUCCUAAACACGUUUCUCCACCAAGAAGUGUCAUUCGGUUUUCAAAUGAAGAUGAUAACCGUUAACUUUAAGUCAUAAGUAAGAUGGUUCGUUUCCUACGAUCCCAAACGCGGGGGAACACGGGGGAACAAAUGUGGUACUCUAUUAUGUUGCAUCUACACAACCAAAACAUCCAAAGAAAACAUCAUCUUGGAUCUCCAAAAUUAUUGAUGUCAUCGAAAUGUACGAACAAUGGUAGGAAAUAGACAACACUUCAGUUGUCACAACUUUAAUUGUAUUUCAUGUCUCAGCUAAACUUAUUUUCCCCCGGCCACGUGGAAAGGAAAAUUACCACCGCUGAAAGUCACUAACCACAUGCCGAUAAAAUCAACAACGCCAAGGAUAUCACAACUUCACAACUAUUUGUGGAAUAUGAAAUUUUCGACAUUUGCAACCUUUUGGAAAUUGACAAGAAUGUCAUUUGCUGAGAUCACAUCUCCCAAAAAGUACCAACUAAACAAAGGUAAUAUUUGAGGAAUUUUAUAUAAAGCUAAAUGUUAGUGUAAGGAGAAUUUAAUCUCGUUGCUGAGAUAAGUGAGAAAGUUAUCAGUAAGACCACUACUAAUUCGACAAGCUACAGAAGAAAACUCGAGUUCCAAAAGUUGGUCGGUAGACCAUCGAUUCGAAGUAUGGAUUAACAGUUUUAAUCGUCACCCGAUGGAGUUGUUAAAAUUUAGGUACGAUCCUAAGGUUUAGUCUUUCGCCAUCUCGAACAGGUUUGGGAUUCCCUAGAUAAAGUGUUUGGUUUGAUAAAUUCCUAAUCAGUAAGCCUUUGUAACUAAGUUCUCUCAAUGACUUAGGAAUUGAUCCAAAAGACUCAAGGAAAUUGGUGUAGUACAAGAAAGUGGAUUGAUGGUGUGCUUCACUUCACCAUUUGGUGAUAUCCCAGAUAAAUAUUUUAGAAAUGACGACAGAUGUAUACAUCCUCGAAACAUACCAUACUACUUUAUUUCUAUACACCACGUACUAAAAGGUCUUCACAAUUUUCUCAAUGCUCAUUUCGCUGUUACAGUGGGAAAAUAAUUCAUGCCUUAAUUCUAAUAUUUGUUUGUGGAAGUGAUCAGAAAAGUGACUGGUCGAAGAGGUUUUAGUUACCUAAAUGGGUAAUAUGGUUAACAUAACCAUGAGUUUAUGGUCCUCCUACAAAGCUUGCCCUUAAGUUUCCAUGAUUUUAAUUUCUUCAGCUUAGAUAGCCUCUGUUACUCAGCCGUGCCGCUAAUUAACACACUUAUGAUAUUUUAAUAUUGUUCGUUACCCUGAAAUUGUAAACCAGCAUUCUGACAUAAGGGUAGGAUACUAGCAUAUAUGCCCGGUAUCAGAAAUCAUACUGCCUGAAUACUGGUUGAUAGUUCCUGGAUAUCAGAUAAUAUCGUCAAUUAUCAGCCCCACCAUAGGCUAAUUAUAGAUUAGAGCUCGCUUAAGUGGAUGGUUUCAAAUGGAUGGUAAGAAAUUGGUCAUUUGAGGUGGUUUCAUUAAUUCUAAGGAAAAUACUUACUAUUUCGGGGAUUUCUACUUACCAUAGGUAUAACAACUCGUACGUCUGUGCCUAUACUCAUCAAAUUGAAGAAUACAAUGUCGAAAGGAAAUCUAAGACUAGUGUUGGUUGGAGUGUCACUAAUGACAUUUUUGGAAAUUUUGACGAAAGUACAACUUCGUAGGAAUUCCGAUAAAUGGUAUACUAAUGGAUACUGCCAAGGAAUCAAAACUAUUAUUGGAUCCUAACUCGAAAGGAUUGAUAAUGAUAACAAGAUAAAUGUAAUGGAUUUGAUUGGUAAAUCUUUGGUGGCACACAAUUAUCAAUACAUUAGCCCUGUUUUGGGGCUUUCCACUUAUACCAAAACGGGAUUUUCCUUGGUAGGCGAUUUCUUCAUUUAAUGUCUAAAAGUGUUCGCCAAAAUGAUGUUCUAGAAUGUCGAUAAGUCGUCCAAGUCAUUCAAAACUUAGAAAAAGUUAACACAUUUUUCGUGCUCGACACGAUUGACACGUCCCGACCCCAAUAUUCUCUGAAUACCCGGAUAGGCACGUGCUGGCCAACACUUGAGGGUGACGAAAGCCAUUUAUUGAUUACAAGAGUAAUGAUUAGGAGGAACAUAAGCAUAUCGGGGUCGGGACAUGUCAAAUUUGGUAUCAGAACAUGGUUAGGGUUCUUUCCACCAAUUUGGUAAAUUUCAGUCUUUCUAAAUCUUGUUGUCUUUGUCAGAAUCAUGGCUAAUCCUGGUAGGAAUGUGCCUCGACGACCUCGUUCUUCUAUAAUGGGGGGAAUCCAGCAGUUUACCAUUGCAUUAAUGAAUGCUUUUCCGAGUCAUAAGCUGAAUCGGACGUAUUUAGAAAUUGCUAGAAGUCAUGGGGUUACUAAGUUGAAAACUAUGGGGAAUUGUGAGGAGACUGAGCAGUGGUUAGAGAAAAUGGAUGAUACUUUAGAGGCGAUGAAGUGUCCUCUAAAUGAGUGGGCAAAUACUGCAGGUUUCUUUAUUUAGGGUAAUGCUAGGAGUUGGUGGAAAUCAACAAAGGAAUCUCGUCCACCUGGUUCUCGGAUGACAUGGGCUACCUUUAGAAAACGUUUUAUUACUUACUUCCUAAGCCCCAGCUACAGAUUGAGGAAGAGGCAGGAAUAUUUAGAGUUCCGACAUGGUGACCUCAGCAUCACAAAAUUUGAAAGUACUUUCAGGCGUUUGGCUAGGCAUCAUGAUGAGACUUAUGAUAAUCCACAAGCACAGAUGGAUCAGGCGAUAAUUGCACUGAACCAGGAGUACCGUACAUUGGUAACUGCUCAGAGAACCAGAACUUAUGAGGAAGUAAUCAAGAUAAGUCUGAAUAUAGAACAGUCUAAGUGGCAUACGGAGAUGCAUGAUCAACCUCAGACUUGGAUCCAGUCCCAGAGAUAGAAUAAACAGCGGAAUCAGAAUCAAAUGAGUCAGAAUUUUCGAUCACGGAUUACCAAAGAAUCAGUGGGUCCCUCCAAUUAUGUAGGUCCCAGACAUUCUUUUUCCUUUAAAUGACCAGGUUGGGAUUCAGGGUCGUCCAGUGAAGGCUCAGGCAACGAGUCGGUGAGAUGAUCUUUCGAUCAUUUCACUCCAAGUUAUAUGGUAUGUAAUCAGUGUGGGUUACAUCAUCGAAUAAGUUGUGGAAUAACUGUUGUAGUUUGUCACAGGUGCGGUGGUAUCGGGUAUUUUAUUCAUGAUUGUCCUUCAGCACCACCGCUUAGUGAUUUUACCUCUGGCUCAAGCUACAGUGGAUAUCACCCAGUUCAGAAUUUUAGCGCCCGACAGAGCUAUGAUGGCGGUGGCAGUAGUAGUCGGAGUUAUGGUAGCAGUACUAAUUAGAACUACAGGGGUAACAAAGGUCUGCAGUUGGGUGGCAAAGGUAGCCAGAGUUUUAGAGGGAGUGACAACAGGAGUGCUCAGUUUUCGACCCAGUAGCAGGCUGGAACAUAUUCUGGUAACAGUAAUCAGGGGAACAGAGCAGGACGUGGUUCCAGAAGUCGUGACGGUCGGAACAAUAAUGUGGGGUAUCAGGUUCAUAGACGUAUGAACGUCAUGACUCAGCAUGGGGCUGAUCAGGAUCCUCGAGUUAUCACCGGUAAGUUACCUGUCUGUAAUACUUGGGCUAGAGUUUUAAUUGAUCCGGGUGCUACACAGUCUUUUGUUUCUUCAUCUUUUGCUCGGGUUAUACCUUCUCAACCUCAGCCACUAGGUUUUGAUAUGUUGAUUCAAAUGCCAAGUGGUGAAUUGUUUUGUGCUCAAUGGCAAUAUCAAAAUUGUCAAGUUAUUGUGGAAGGGGAAAACUUAGAGAUUGAUUUAAUUCCUUUCAAAUUGGCAGAGUUUGUGUCAUUCUGGGAAUGGAUUGGCUAUCUAAGCACCAAGCGAAUGUUGCAUGUUGCGAGAAAAUCGUGACGUUCAAUUGACUAGGACUUCCAGCAAUUACAUUUAUGGGUGAGCGACGUGUCCUCCCCAAUAGUUUUAUUUCUGCCAUUCGAGCAACUAGGUUGCUGAAUAAGGGUUGUGUAGGGUUUUCAGCCCACGUAGUUGUGAAGGAUGAACCUUCUUUACGUCCAGAAAAGGUGCCAGUUGUUAGGAAUUUCAUCGAUGUGUUUCUUGAUGAUUUACCGGGGUUGCCACCUAUGAGGGAAAUUGAGUUUACUAUCGAUUUACUCCCAAGUACAAAUCCUAUUUCCUUGGCACUUUAUCGAAUAGCACCAACGGAGUUGAGGGAAUUGAAGAUCCAACUUCAGGAAUUGGUAGACAAAGGUUACAUCCAGUCGAGUAUAUCCUCGUGGGGAGCUUCUGUUCAUUUUGUUAGAAAGAAUGAUGGAUCAAUGAGACUCUGUAUCGAUUAUAGGCAACUGAAUCAGGUGACGGUGAAGAAUCAUUACCCUCUGCCUCGGAUCGAUGAUUUGUUUGAUCAAUUGAAAGGUGCUCAAAUAUUUUCAAAAUUGAUCUUCGAUCAGGUUGCCAUCAAUUGAGGAUUUACGAGGAUGAUGUCCUGAAAACUACUUUCCGUACGAGGUAUGGGCAUUAUGAAUUUCGUGUCAUGCCUUUCGGAUUGACAAAUGCACCUGCAACAUUCAUGGAUCUGAUAAACAGAGUCUUUAGACCGUAUCUGGAUCAGUUUGUGAUUGUGUUCAUUGAUGAGAUUUUAAUUUAUUCUAGAAGUGUGAAUAAGCACAAGAAGCAUUUGAGGCUAAUGCUGGAAUGACUGAGGGACAACCAGCUUUAUACCAAGUUCAGUAAGUGCUAGUUUUGGUUAACUCAGGUUGGUUUUCUUGGACACAUAGUUUCUGCUGAAGGAAUCAGUAUGGAUCCCUAAAAGGUGUCAGCAAUGUCUAACUAGGAACAACCGAAGAGUGUCACUUAAAUAAGAAGUUUUCUGGGUUUGGCAGGGUAUUAUCAAAGAUUUAUUUAGAAUGUUUCUGCAAUUGCUCUGCCUCUUACUAAAUUGACUCGUAAAGGUGUUCAGUUUGUGUGGGAUGAAAAUUGUGAACAAAGUUUUCAGGAGCUUAAGCGACGCCUUACUCAGGCCCCUAUUCUCGCUUUUCCAUGAUGUUUCUCUAUCAGGUUUUGGGUAUGUACUGAUGCAACAUGGAAAAGUUAUAGCCUAUGCUUCCAGACACUCAAAACCCAUGAAAGAAAUUAUCCCACUCAUGAUUUGGAGUUAGGAGCUGUGAUUUUCGCUUUGAAGAUUUGGAGGAACUACUUAUAUGGAGAGAAAUAUCGUAUUUUUACGGAUCAUAAGAGUCUUAAGUAUGUGUUCACCAAGAAUAAGUUGAAUUUGAGACGGAUAAGGUGGAUGGAGCUUAUCAAUGAUUAUGACUGUUUGAUUGAGUACCAUCAUGGGCAUGCUAAUGCCGUGGCUAAUGCUCUUAGUCGGAAACAUCACGAGCAGCUUGCAUCACUUCAAGCUGUACACAUUCUGUUACUAUUUUCUUUUCGGGAAACUGGUAUUAAUUUGGAACCUGAUGAGCAACUUGGCUAGCACAUUUUCAGGUUAGACCUAUCUUUGUAAACAUGGUCAUAGAAGCUCAGGAACUUGAUCCAGAAUACGCCGAAUUAAAGGAACAAGUGUUAAAAGGGAAUAAUGAUAAAUUCAUCAUCCGUAAAGACGGAGCGUUAUUGAAAGGAACUGUUUGUUCGUGCCUAAAGAUAAUGAAGCUGUUAAGAAGGAAAUUCUUGAUGAGGCUCAUACUUCAGCUUAUGCUAUGCAUCCAUGAAGUACUAAAUUGUAUCGCACCAUUUAUCCUUUCUAUUACUGGGAAGGAAUGAAGCGAGAUGUAGCAGAGUAUGUGAGCAGAUGUUUAAUUUGUCAACAGGUUAAAGCAGACAGACAGAGACCUGAGGGACUGAUGCAGAAUCUUUCGAUACCAGUUUGGAACUGGGAGGAUAUCACUAUGGACUUUGUGUAUGGGCUACCUAGAACACCGGCAAUGUAUGAUGGUAUCUGGGUAAUUUUCGUUGAUAAUAUUGUUCGUCUACAUGGUGUAACCGUCUCCAUUGUGUCAGACAGAGAUCCCAAAUUUACUUCCAGGUUUUGGAAAGCCUUAAUGCCGCUAGGGGUACUCAGUUACUAUUCAGCACUGCUUAUCAUCCACAAACUGAUGGUCAGUCCGAGCGGACGAUUCACACUUUAGAGGACAUGUUAAGAGUGUCUGUAUUACAGUGGAAAGGCAGCUGGGAUAACUAUUUGUUGUUGGUGGAGUUUGCUUACAAUAAUAGUUAUCACUCGAGCAUUGGUAUGGCGCCUUUUGAAGUACUUUACGGGAAGGCAUAUGGGACGCCAUUAUGUUGGACAGAGGCAGGAGAAAGGUCAUUGGUAGGACCAGAGAUUGUGGAUACCACCAACACUAACAUCCUAGUGAUUAAGGUAAAUUUGAAAGCAGCACAAGACCGACAGAAAAGCAUUGCAGACAAACACUCCAAAGAUCGUGAGUUUACAAUGGGUGACUUUUUAUUCUUGAAAUUGUCUCCCUAGAAGGGUGUUGUUCGUUUUGGUAAGUGAGGAAAGCUAAGUCCUCGAUACGUCAGUCCCAAUCAAAUUAUUAAGAGAAUUGGUGCAGUUACUUAUAGGUUGGAGCUACCACCGGAGUUGUCACUGAUCCAUAACGUUUUCCAUGUUUCCAUGCUUCUGAAAUAUGUACCAGAUCCCUCUUAUAUCAUCCAGAUAGAGCCAUUGGAAGUAAAUCCUGAUGCUAGUUAUGUAGAAGAACCAAUGGCUAUCCUUGACAGACAGGAUAAAGUGUUGCAGAACAAAGUUAUUCCUUUGGUAAAGGUACUGUGGAGGAACCAUGAAGUUGAAAAAGCUACUUGGGAAACAGAGGAAUCAAUGAGGAACCAAUAUCCCUUUCCUUUUGUGUAAAUUCGCAAUUUCAAGGACGAAAUUUCUGUAAGGGGGUAGAUUGUUACAACCACCCCCAUAUUUCCUUGUUAUUUCUAUGUUCCCCUAGAACAUUUUUAAAUUUAUCAAUUUAAUCCUUUAUUCUCUUUUAAUCUUAGCCAUUGAUCUAGAUUCUCUAUUAUUCCUAAACUGCCAUGUGGUAGCUCUUUGACUCUCUUCUCUUCCCUCUCUUCCCGAAACAUUUUCUAAUCUCAGACAUCUCUCUCUCUCUUUCACGGAUCUCUCUUCUCUCCCUUCACUCUCUGCACCAUGACCUGCCAAGCAUCCUGCAUGCAACUCUAUUUAGACCAUAUUCAUCAUCAUCUCCCUUGCACCGUGUCUCUCCCUCUCCGUCGCAGUGAGGUUGAGGAACUCAGAGAAGGGACCUCCGACGGAUUUCUCCAUUUCUUUCUACUAGGUAAGUUCAAUUACCUUUUUAAUUUACCAUUUUGGUUUCUGGACAUUGUGUGAUGAAAACCAUGUGGUUUUUCCAAGGUUUUGUGGACGGGAACAGCACGGGGGAAAUUCAUCCAUAUUUUUCGACGAACCCGUGACUUUCGAGGUUUCUUUCUGAGCUCUCAUAGCCGUUCACGGCAAAACUAGGGUAUGGAAAUUACUCCACUCUCUUUCCUCUUCAUUUUAGUACUUGUUUUGAGUAAUGGUUUAAUUGUUCGCCGUCGACCGGAGCAUUUUCCUUUCCGGUGUUCUUCCCCGAUUUGCACCCGAGCACACCCAAAGCCACCAGGCCAUCCGGCCUUCUCGAACAUCACGGGCCUUAGCCCAGUCCUAAAACUAGCCCAUUUUUCCCUUUUAAUUUAUUGGCAUGCGGGCCAUGCCCUGCUUGGGCCGUGAGUGUGUGUAGAGUGUGUGUGUGUGUGUGUGUGUAUGUGUGAUGUGGGUCAUGCCCUGCAUGGCCCAUGUGUGGUGUGUGUGAUAUGCAGUGCGUGUGUGUGUUGUGUGUGUGUGUGUAUACCGUGAGUGUGUGUGCAUGUCGUGCAUGCUUAUGCAUGUUGUGCAUGUGUGUAUGUUGUGUGGUGUGUGUGUGUGUUGUGCACGUUUGGGUGUGUAUGUAUGUGUUGUGCACGUGUGUUUAUGUGGGCUGGUGCGUGUGUGUGUAAGUGUGAUUUGGGUUAAGCCCAAACCAUCCUUCUUCACCCUAAACCCUUUUAACCCAAAAACCUUAGGAUCCUAAAACCCAUUAGACCUUAACCCAUUCAACCCAAAUCCUUUAUUUAAUUUAGUUCAUGUCCAAAUCCUUUAGAAAAUCCUUUUGUUAUUUAUUUCAUUUUUUUGUGCUUAGGUGAAGUUGCUAGUGAGGGAAUUCGUAAUCCUUAUCCGCACAACUCUACUGCUAAGGAGUAUCUGUGAGUGGACCCCUUCUAAAAUUAUAUGAAUUUAUGGUUUAAUUGCAUAAAUGAAUAGCAAGCCUUACGAAUUAUUAACUGAAUUUAUGUUAAGCAGAUUUAUGAAAUAUGUUAUUUAUCGUCUCGUUUUUUGUGAGGAAUUAAUUGUUGGCCUAUAUUGAGCUAUAUUUUAAAAUAUCGUAUUUUCUAGAAAAUAUAUAUAUAAAAUAAAAAACAAAUAAAAAAAUAAAAAAAACAUGAACUGGUAGACUAUCUAAUGGAUGACGAUAGGAUGGUAGAACAUGUUUUAGAAACCGCUCUUUAUAGUAUAGACGAUGGAUGACUUUAUACUGUGAAGUGGUUAUUUAAGAAAGACGUAACUAUUUGUGAGUACCUAGUGGACACUAUGCCGCCUAGGGCGAGGAUCUGGUGUUGGCAGAUAGGCCAGGUGAAAUAAUCCCUAGCUACGGGCUGAGGGACACGGAGCAGGCAUUGGGCCGAAAGUUGGUAAUCUCUGGCUAUGGGCACAGAGACCACAGUGCUAGCAUAGGGCCGGGAAAUAUAUAUUUAUUCAGUGAUCUUACUAGCAGUACAUUAUUCUAAAAGACGAUUUAUGAGACAUUUGAUAUUUUGUGUUUCACGAUAUGACUUUUGAGAUAUUUUUGGCAUGCUAGGAUUUUUAUUAAAUCCAUAACUUAUUAUGCUAGUAGUUUUCUUUAUAUAUAAACUGUGGGGGUUAGUAUCUUAAUAACUGUUUUAUUAUUGUUGUAUAUAUAUGAACUUGGUUCACUCACCUUUGUUUUGCGCAUUCAGGUCUUUGAAACGAGGACUACGACACAAUAUACGAGGCAUUCCCCUACCAGUAGCAAUCUAUCACUCACUUGUGUGAUAUCUUGUAAUGAUCCUUCCUUUUUGUGAUCUUGUUUUAGAUUGUGUUCUGUGCACUCUAGACACUUCCUUAAACUUUGUUUAUUACUCUUGGAUUCUAAUGAAUAUUCAUGCUUAUGUUCCUCCUAAUCAUUACUCUUGUAAUCAAUAAAUGGCUUUCGUCACCCUCAGGUGUUAGCCAGCACGUACCUAUUCGGGUAUUUAGAGAAUAUCGGGGUCGGGACGUGUCAGCGGUGGCAAUAUUCAAGAAUUAUGCUCAGGAACCAAGAAUGCUUACAUCACGCGUGAGAUGAACACAAUACUGCCCAAACUUAUGCUCUGAUACCAAACUAACACACCCCGACCCAGAAUGUCCACCUGGACUCCUAAUUGAGUUGUGUUGGCCGAUACCUUGGCGGUGACGAAACCAUAAAGUGUAGUGAUGUGGAAAAUGUGAAUAAAUUUAAACCUAAAAGUGUCUAAGUAUAAGAGUGGCUAGUGAGUGAGAAUGAACUCAUUUCACACGUGAUGUUAAAGUAUAAGUAAAGUACAGUAAAGUAGGAUGAGAAUUAUACCAUCAAGGGUAAUCUAUAAUACCAAGAUUUGCCAAUAAUUCUCGUCGACACGGAAGCUCAGCACUAAAACCUGGAAAGGCAAAAAACAAGGGUGAGUGGGCCUAAAAACAAAGCUUUGUAAAAACCUUUUCAAAAACAUAAUAACCCCCAGCUGUAAAACAAGUACAGUUUUCAAAACAUACAUACUACGUAAAGUAAGAAAUACUUACUAUAGGCUGCAAUAUCUCAAGAUUCAAUACGGCACAAUAUUUCGUAAGUAAACGCAUGACGUCCGUAAUCAACAUAAUCUCGCAUAAGCAACCAUAUCAUGUCAAGUGCUCAUCAACACAUGUUGACACACGAGUUCAUGCAGAGGUAUUCUGACAUGAACAGGACUAGGUGUAACAAUCAUAUAUGCUCUAGUACUACAAUCACGUGAAGAUUGACGCUAUUUUCAGCAUAUACAAGCCAUAAUUGCCUAUAGCAAUCUAAGCCAGGACUGGCACUUACAAUGGAUCCAAAGUGAGUGUACGGUGCGAUGUGCACAUACACGUGAAAAACUGGCCCUGGCCCGUGCAAGUACUAACACCAGUGCAGCAAACGAUAAGCAGAUAACAUAAAUCCUGUCACAGUGAUUCGAUCAUUCUAGUCAACAUAAUAUUAUUCAUAGCAAUAAACUUAAUUAAGGCAUCCCGUAAGAUUUAUAAUGAUUUCCUAAUUUCACUGUUACGUCAUCUCCUAUAAAUAUUAAUUUAAUUACGGCAGUCAUAGAGAAAAGCAAGAUUGUGCAACAAAUGCCACCCUUGCUCAGCAAGAAGAGCAAGAUUGAAGUCAUAAAGCAAUCGAAAACCCAACCUCUUCAAAUUUAGGCCAAUACGUAGACCCUCAUGAGAAGAGAAAAUAAAUUUUUUGUUUCAAUACAAGUAUCGAUUUCCGUUUUAGACAUUAUAAACAAUGAAAAUCUCUUCUACGGAACUUUUACAAACACCUAUUAGGAGCAAGUAGUGGAUUGUCCUUAUAGAUAUUACCUUCCUCUUUAGCCUAUUUCGUUUCAGAUUCAAGCUCCUCCCCAUUCGCGUAGUUUAGAUGAAUCUAAAUCAUAUUUGUAACCCAACUAAUUCCUCUCAAAGCCUUAUGAAAUUGGGGGGCUUUAAAAAAAAGGUUCUUUGCAUUUCGAUUCCUCUUCAUCUUUAUUUGUAGUAUGGCUGUCUUUCUCCAAAGUAUCUCAUUUUGUAUAUUCUAAUUGGGUUUUUAUCACGUAUGGUCUUUGAGAUUGAUCAAACUCAUCAUUUUGGUCUCUCACUUUCAAAAUCAAUCAAUGUCGUCCCUAACAUUCACUACCACGCAUCAAUUUGGUCAUUCCAUUUAGGUUUUGUCAACUAUUAUGUUAGUUUGUAUGUGGGACCCACAAACCCAAUAAAAUUGAGACACGUAGAUUGCACAAAAUAAGGGUUUUUAUCGCAAAUAGUACCUGACAUUGAUCCAACUCUUCAUUUUGGUCCCUGAGUUUCAAAAUUUGAUAAAUUUGAUCCUUGUCUUUCACUACUGCACAUAUAUUUAGUCCUUUCCUUACAGUUUCGUCAAUAUUUUUUGUUAUUGUGAUGAUAUAGUCCCUCUAAUCCAAUCAUAUGGCGCAACGUGGAUUAACUAUAAGAAACUAGUUUUUUAAGAGUAAACCAACUUAUGAGUAUUCCGCGCUGGCAUUUCUCUUGCUCCCACAAUCCCAUUUGGAAAAAAAUUCAAUCUAAAUUCGAUAAAAUUGAAUCCAAAUGUAAUUCGAAUUUGAUAAGAUUAUAACCAACUAGAGAGAAUGAGAAAUGAGUUCAAGGAGGCCAAGUGCUUUAGGUGUCAUGGUGCCUUCCUUUUCUUUUUGAGCAUACCCAAAUGAAGAGGAUGAUGUCUUUUAUUUGUCUUUUAGUUUUGGUUUUUAGUUCAUUAUUUUACUUUUAGUUUUAAAUCUUAAAAAAAAUAGUUUCCUAUAGUUAAUCCACAUGAUGUCAUAUGAUUGGAUUAGUGGGAUCACAUCAAAACACUAGCAAAACAUAUUGACAAAACUUUAACGGAGUGACUAAAUUUAUGUGCAGUAGUAAAAGUCAAGGACCAAAUUUAUCAAUAUUUGAAACUCAAGGACCACUUGCGAUAAAAACCCUUAUUUUGUGUAAUCCACGUGUCACCAUAUUAUUGGGUUUGUGGAUUCCAUAUACAAACUAACAGAAUAGUUGACGAAAUCUAAAUGGAAAGACCAAAUUGAUGUGCGGUAGUGAGUAUCAAGGACGACAUUGAUUGACUUUGAAAGUAAGAGAUCAAAAUGAUGAGUUUAAUCAAUCUCAAUGACCAUUUGUGAUAAAAAAAAAAAAACUCAUUCUAAUUUAAUAUUUGUAAGGUUGGUGCUUGUAUUGUAUUCUUGGGAGUGCAAACAACGGUUUCCAAUUGGUUGGCCUUGAAUUCGUGACUUCUGGUUUGGUAUUGCUAUGCUUUUAAAAAAAAAAAAUUGCUUCUGCUGUGCUGUGAGAAUAAGCAGCUGUGAAAUAAAGCAGCAGAGUGUUUGGUAAACUUUUUUGUGAAAGUGCUUUUGGAAAAAAAAAAAAAAAAAAAAAAAAAAAAAGCAGUAUUAUAGUGUUUGGUAAACUUUUAUGUAAAACAGCUGUGACUGUGAAAAAUAGCCAAAAAGGGUAUAAUACUGGAUGUGCCAUUAAUUUAAUUUUUUUAACAAAUAAAGGUGAAUUACUAAAUAUAUUUUAUUUUUAAAAGAAAAAUAUUUAUAAACUUUAUCUUAAAUAUUAAUUAGUAUGACAAAUUACUUCAAUUGAAAUAUUUUACACUGUAUAGCUAGGAUUCAUUAGUACAAUAUUGUUAAUGUACUUGAAAGUAGUAUAAUUAGAUGCAUUCAUCAAACUUGCCGCUAUUCUAUUUCUUAAUACUUUUAUCUAAUGUGAUCCUUCAACUUGAUAAUUUUAAUAUUCUUCAUCAUCAUCAUCAUUACUAUCACUCUCUUCACAAAAGUCUCUGGGGUCAUCAAAAUGACGAUCACGUUUAGAAUACCUCCGAAUCCAUGGGUUUGAUAAUAUCUAUUGCCAUCAUAUGAUAUCUAACAUAUAGCCAAAAUAUCUACUAACAAUCUCACCAGAAUGUUGAAAUCUCUCUUGCGCUAAUUUAUUUUUUCACACCAUGUCCCAACAUAUACAAGAACAUUCCUAAUAUUUCAGUUGCAUUCAUUCUCCUUGAACCUUUCAAUCCAUAAUUAGUUUGCAAGUCAUUGGAUAAUCUAUAAAAGACAUCUUUGUUCAUUCUAAACAUUCUAUAGCAUCACACAUUAUUUCCUUGUAGUAUUUCCAUCAACCAAAUAUUACUUGUAUGGGAAGAAUUCAUACACGGAGUUUUGUGGACAUAUUUUAAAUAAUAUGUUUCAACAGCUCUCGCUACAACGCAUAUAAUUACACCAUCCUCCAAAUCCUCAACAUCAUCAUCAAACAAUCAAAAUAAAGAACAAAUCUUGAACAUAAUUCAAAACAAAAUUUUAAAAAGAACCGAGUAUAUAUGUGGUGCCUCAAAACUGGGAGCUCGGAACCCCAGAGAGACCCCUUUAUCUAUCCUAAACUCAUCUUACAAUGCCAGAAUCUCACCAAAUGCCAAAGUAGAUAUCAAAGUGGCGCUGGAAGUUCUUUCCUUCAAGUCCCUGAAUGAGUAGCAGACCCUUGAUGUCACCGUUGUUGGGAGCAGUUUGCAAUUCGAAUCACGAGUGUCUGCUGCCCUUGUUUGGUCUGAUGGAAAUCAUACCGUUAGAAGUCCGAUUGUAGUAUACACAGUGAAUUUGCUUAUGGAUAUGGACAUGUCAACCCUACAAAAGCUCUAAAUCCCGGGCUAGCAUUUGACGCUUAUAAAGAAGAUUGACAUAAAGUUCAUAUGCUAAGCUAUAAUUAGGCAGAGUUUAUACUGAGAUUGCUAAUAAAAUCAACUAAUUCACCAAAAUUGCUAUAUAAUCACUUACAGUAUCAUUAAUUUUAAACUGUGCAAUAAAUACAUUCAUCAUUUCUUGCAUAUACUUCCAACAUAUACCAGACACUCUUAUACCAGACAAUUCUUUUGCUUAACCAAAGAAACAUAAUUACAAAAUACGGAAGUAGAUGGUGUUCAAAACUUCAACCAGCUAAAGGGCAGCAGAAAUUAUGAUUUACGACAGCAGUUCAGUAUUCGAAGAUUCGGGACUCGAGAAAGGAAUUGCAUAGGCUUGUUUAAACUUCACGGAACAGUUCUGACUCAAUAAUUUGCGAUAAAUACAAUCAGAAAAUUCUAAAAUUUAGAAGUCAGAAAAAACUGGAUCUUUCUGCUAUAGCAAUUAGCUGACUCCUCAUUCAAAAAGAUACUGAAUUGCAGAUACAAAAUAUAUCGAGCAACGGUUCCUAUUUCAACUUUUCAAGAGCAUACAAUUUCUAGGCAGGAUCAAGCUGCUAAGCAAGAUACAUACAGGACUUGUGUGCUCGUUUGAAGCAAAAGGUGAAUUGUUUCUGGGUUAUACCAAAAUUCAUAAUUAUAACAUCCAACAAAUCCAUUUGAAGAUGCUUUCAGUUUCAAAACAAGCGAAGAAAACCAUGCUAAUAGACUCGGUUCGAGCGGCUUGAACGACAAGCUUCGUUGCAGGCAGAGAAGUAAUCAAUUUUUCUUACUUCUCUCUCAAUUUUUCUUCUUUCCUCCACAAAACCCUAAUUUUUCCCCAAUUUAUUUUUUCACUCUGCUAUCCCUAAAUUUAACAAUCCAAACAAAUAAAUAACGAAAUUUUAGACAAGAGAAGCUUACCAGAGGAAGGACGUCGAGCCGGAGAACGUGACCUGGAGAACGAGAGAGAUCGCUGGGAGGAAGGAAGUUUCAGGUUGGCGGCUGCUCGGAGUGAAAAUAAGCACCUUCUCAGCUCCCAAAACGGAAACCUUCAGAAGUAGCUCACGCUUCCAACUCUCUCUGUUUCACGUGAAACCCAGAAGCCAGAUCCGCUUCCUUCAAUCUCUGGAUUCUAGGAUUUUUGCGGCGGUGGAGGAUUUGCAGCUUAAAGUGAAGACGGGAGGGAGAGAAGUGAGACGCGAGGAGUAGCAUCGCCAUUUGAAAACUUUCUUUAAACGUUACUGUUCAUCCGCGUUGCUGCGAUAAAAAGCCGGUUUUUGAAAGCAGCAAAUAGGUGCUUCCCAUUUCCAGCUGUUUCUCACAGCAAUUUUAGAAAUAAGUGCUUUCUUAUUGAGUUACCAAACACAAAUAUGAACUCAACUUUUUUUCAUCUCAGCUUUUAAAAAAAGUUAAGCAGUACCAAAGUAGGGCUUUGUAUAAAAGAACACUGUUUGGUGGAGAGCUUAAUUAGACAAAUUAAGUAACCAUUUUAGUUCGAAGUGUGGGAAAAGUAUAGUGCUAUGACUCUUCUUUUAAAAUUAACAGCUGGUGUGCUGCUGCCAAUGUUUUCAUGCCAUGAAAUCAGCUCUAGUAUUUGAAGGUUUGUUCGUAGUUGAUAAAUAUUUGUCAAAUACUCGUAACGUUUUGUAAAACAGCUUUUCGUUUUAUAGAUAAAAAUAAAUAAAUGUAAAUUAGUAUGAUGUUUUUAAAGAAUUAACUCAGGUAAAAAACACAAAUUACAGUAAUUACAUCUUGUUUGGUAUUGGGCCUUUAAAUAAUUUCAAUUUUUGUGAUUCCUUCUUUUGUUUUUUUUUUUUUUUAAAUGACAUUACUUAUCCUUCUACUUACAUUGUAUUCCUUGUAGAACAAAGUGACUAACACGACGUACCACUACAGACACAAAGCUUACACAACCACUGCCUUACCACAACGUUGUUACCACCACUACCACCACAACCACAACCGCCAUUGCCACCACUACAACCAUUGCUACCUCUUCACCUAAACCACUACCCUACCACCAUAUCCCUACCAUUGUCGCUACCAUCACCACCCGCCCACCACCAUCAUCACCACUACCCUCACCACCAUUAUCGUUGUCACCACCCCCACCACCAUGUCCAUUUUUUUUCAUUAUAUAUAAUUAUAUCAAUUUUACAUUAAAAUUUACCAAAGGCUUUUACAUUGGUUUUCAUACUCACAUCACUCUUAAAAGUACAAUUUAUCAAACUCUUAUCUGCUUUAUUUUACACAUGAUUUUUUUUUAAGCACAACAGAAGCAAUUUUUUUUAAAUAACAGUAAUCCCAAAUUGGCUCAUAGCCCGCGUCAGUUUGUUCUAGUAUAACCCUUCUAGGAUUUAGGUACCUACAAAGAAUAUAAUAAUUGCAUGAGCCUAAUCCGAUGAACCGACAAUUUUAAUCCUAUUUCUAGUUUAAACACUCGCACUGUAAUAUUAAAACUCAUGAAGUAAUCACAUCAAAUUUUCAAAAAAAAUGCACAAACUUUUGGUGAAGUCAUCUUGUUAGAUUAGAUACAAUAAAAAGAACACGUAGUGUAAGAACUUGAGUAUGAUCUGGAUUGUUAAGUCAUCUCUAACCAAGGGUUAGGUCAGACAUCUCGUGGGCCCCACGAAAUCUGAAAGGGCCAAAGGGCCGUUGGAAUUUUUUUUAAUGCUAUCAGUUUUGAUGUCGAUUAUAACUGACAGAAAUAAAAGAAAUAGUAUCGGUUAUAACCGACACAAAUAGCAUGGAAAAUUUUGAAUAUAACGGCUAGCCGUUUUUUUUUUUUUUUUUUUGACAAAAUUUUUUAAAAUUCUAUUUUUUUUCUUAUAACUUCCAAAGUCAUUAUACAAUAUUAAAUUAAAUUAAGUAACAUGAAACAACAUUAAAUAACAUUAAAUUUAAGUUGUAGUUUUUAAAUAAUAAAUUAUGUUUUGCCCUAUAGCCCUUUGACCCUCGGUUGGAGACGAUUUUUUGUGACAGGGCUAAAACGAGCCUUAUGGCCCUUUGGCCUUCGGUUGGAGAUGGAAACAAAUAUGGUCAUGUACUGUUCAUUAAAAUAUUAAUUUCUUAGAGGGCCAGAGGGCUAAAACGAGCCCUCUGGCCAGCUCUCAGUUGGAGAUGGCCUUAUAAACCGACUGUGGUUCAAAUAAAUGCAGCAAGUCUUGUAGAAAAAAGGUUCUGGUUUUGUUCCAGUUCAUUUAGGAUUAGAAAAUGGGUUUUAAUCAUGUGUUGCAAUUUGCACUCACUAUUUUUUUUUUUUAACAAAUGAUAUUAUCUACAAUAUGAGGGUACAGAAGUAGACUAAGCCUCACAAUAUGCUAGUAAUAGUGUAGAUCAAAUUCACCUUUAACGAGGAUCGAACCUUAGAUCUCUCACUUACAAAUGAAAAGAAAUAUCACAAACCGUAGUACUAAGUGAUCACUAUUAGACAAGCAUUUUUUGUUCGAUUUCUACUUGGAUUCUAAUAGGAGAGUAAAUGCGUAUAGUAAAAAUAUGAUGGUUUCGAAUUACUUGUUAAUUUUAAUAACCGAACCCAAUUGUAUAUGUAUACAUUCGGUUCGGUUCACGGGUUAAGUGAUAAACCGGGACGAACCCACCCUAAUAAAUAGUGAGCCUGAGUCCUACAACUAAGUUGAUGCCGCUAAGACCUGACCUAAGAGACCUGCUGGAGCUAACAAGAAUUGAGGAGCUUCCCAUGUUGUUGGAUAAGGCGGCAUAUGAUAUUAGGCCAAAGUCUUUUUCUUGUUUUUUUUUUUGGAAACAGUCUUUUCUUGUUUUGUAUAGCAUUUGGAAGACCAAAGGAAAUUUCCUGACCAAACCAAAUGAUGCCCAUUUCAAAGCAGAAACUGCACAACACAAAUGAAAAUCACAUUGACUUGACUUUUUAAUCGAAAAUGGGGAGACAUGAUUCGUACUAGAGUGCAAAGGCAGGAGUCGAGCAUGUUGCUCUAACCAAUUUGGCUAUGCCCAAGUACACUACCAUAUAGUUGUUUUAGUUUAGGCAGCAAUAAAUGUACAUCUGAAUUUGAACUCUGAAGCAACUAUUCACAUCAGAAAUUAAGAGCAACAAAUUAAACAAAGACUAAAAGGAAGACGUACGUUCCACAAACGUAAUGCAUCCUAUAAAAAUUAGUUCGGAUAAAUUAAACUCAAAUCUUCUGCUAAAUAAAUUUAUACCGUCAAACAUUGCAGCAUUUGAAUUAGCAAUCAGAAGAAGGCACGGCUGCCAUAGAACACCCGCGAUCCGUCCUUUUUUUUAUCAACUUCUAAACUCUUGUUGCUAUGGUUUGGAAUCACUUCGCUGCGGUCUUCACAUUCUGCUUUAUCAAGAUCCAUCGGGAGCUUCAUCUUCGCCAAAGACUCGGUGAAUUGCUGCAUGCUUCUCAUGUACAUGUCCACUAUUUGUUGCUGCAUUGCAGAUUGCUCCGCCUCCAUGUUUAUAUUCCCAAGUGGAGCAGAAAAUACUUGACCAAAUUGACCAGAUCCAACUUUCUGUUCCUUGUUGCUCUCCUCUUCCUUGCCUGACAAGUUAGACUCCUUUUCGUCUCUGCCUUCUCUGCCCUUUCUUGAGGUUGGGGUGUCUGGACAAGCAGCGGAACCUUGAUUAGCUGCUCCGGCGGUGACAGAAGCAUUGAGAGAAUUCGACGAUUCACCAGCCACAAGAUUCUUCUUGUCGAUUGAAUCAGCGGAGUUUCGAUCAUCGCUCAAGCUAGUGGUGGUACAACUUAAGAAGCCGGAGUUCUGGAUGCUCCCAUUGGGAGAAACAGGGUCACCCUGAAUCCCCUCACAUGAACUUACAGUCAUUUCAUAGUCAGGAUCAGCAGCAGGCUGAGGAGAUGCACCGAGAUGAAGAAACGAUCCAAGACCUUCGGGACCAGGUCUCCAAGCACAGUCACGCCUUGCCAAACUAAAAUACUCGGUCACCAUUUGUUGAUUCUUACUCGCCACAUCAAUGUCUGGGAAUUCCAUCCUCGAAUACUCAACCGGGUCUAACGCAACUUGAGAUAUUUUUCGAUCAAGCAAUACAACUUCGGAGGUUAUGGAAGAGUUGGCGGAUGAUUCCGACAACGAACUAGUGGAGGGUUUAACAGGCAAAGAAGUAUGGAGAGAAAGAGUUAGUUUGACAGUUCCAGCAGGGGAAUGGAAGAGAUCAGUGGAAGAGAGACUAUAAUCCUGAGUGACCUUUCCCUUCCCAGUCACUUGAGAAAUUGGGACCAAAGUGAAUCCCAACAGCUGGUCUUCCAUGUAGUUUCUUGCCCUGCUCAGCAUCCAAAUCUCGCAUUUGAGGACUGCAUCCAGUUGACCAAUUUUGAUCCUCAAGCUUUCGUUGAAUUCGGGGUUCUUGCCACCUCCAUUGAUGACCCUAGUGGUGAGCGUCUCGUCUGGAUUGUACGUAAGAGAGAAUUUGGCGUACACAUCUUGGUUUUCAUAGAUGCAUAUGUUGUGAAUGUUCCUAGCAUGAUGAGCAUAGAUUUCAAGAAUCCCUGAAAACUGAUCGGAAACGCUAUUUUCAUCGGCUAUUGUGUUUGAAUUCAGGUUGUACCGGAAUCCGGCUGUUGGAUUGAAUGAUUCCAUAGGAAUUUAGAUGCACUUGGAUGUUCUAACAGUUUUUUCUGUUUGGUAAGCAAGAAAGCCACAAGAAAAAAACGGAUACAGAGUUAGAUAAGGGAUCAAUCUUUAGAUUCAAGCAAAGAAAUUUCACAAAAAAAGGAAGGUUGUGCAGGAGAGGGAGAGAGAGAGAGAGAGAGAGAGAGAGUUACAGUGGAAAGAAAAGAAUUUUUGGAGGGUUGCUUAGUGGUGGGUGAUGAUGGUAGGUGGGGUGGGAAUGGAGAGAAGAAAGGGAAUGAAGAAAACAAAGGGAAUGGAAAGAGAAAAAUUGAUGAUGGAAAUAUUUGCCAACUUUUAUUUUCGGAUGGGUUGGAUUGGGUUGGGGAGGAGAAACUUUUCAUAGGAUCCGGUAUUCAAGCAGAUAUAUCACGUGUUAUAAAAUAAAUGUAGAUGAUUAUUAUCAGCAUUUCAAAAAUCUUAUUCUAUACUUCAAACUUUCUAUAUUAAAAAAGAAAAAUAUACUUGUGAAAAGUGUAAAAUGAGAUUUUUGAAAUACCAAUAACACUUCCCUAAAUGUAAUACUACUAAAAAAAAAAUAUAUAUAUAUAUAUAUAUUGCUUACAUUAAGAUACAAGAAGAUGAAGUACCGUUUGAAUACCUAGCAGUUGGAAAAAUGUGUCGCUGGGGAGGUGGGUGAAGGAUAGGGAUUUGUUGGAGUUGCUUUGCUUUGACAUUACAGCUUCCACUUGUAAAGUCUCUAAUUUGCUCCACUGAGGUAAUUGCGGGGCCCCACAUGGCCCCACUCUUCAUUAUCAAUCUUCCCCCAUUUCUCUCCACACUGAGAGAAUCUGUCGGUCACCUAUGUUAGUAGACCAAAACUCUCUCUCCCUCUACUCUCUACCAAGAAAUCUGAAAUGUCUUAAGAAUCCCAUAUCAUGGAGAUAAUGGCGUUUUACAAAUUGAAAAUGACUCAAAAUAAUGGAUAUGGCUGGUAUGAAGCAAAGAGUAGGAUAUGGCUGAUAUGAAGCAAAGAGUACUCUCUGUAAUUCACUUAUGUUUCUUUUGGUCUUUAGGAUUGAAUUGAAAUGGUUUGGAAAAUAUAUUGAAAUUAAAAGUGAAAAUUUUGUGUCAACUUGACAGUAGAAGAAGUGAGGAUUAGAAGGGACAAGAACCCCGUUCUAGUAUCUCUCUAAAUGAAAAAUCAUUCGCCUUUGUCUUUAAAAUCUUUCGAAUUCAAUAGGUUAUCAAUUUUAUUGUAAUCUAAUACUAGAGACCAAACGAAGCUUAAUACAUUUGCCGUUGUCUUCAAAGUAUUUCGAAUUUAAUAGGUUAUCCACCUUAUUCUAAUACAAUCCUAGGGACCAAACGAGACUUAUUAUUAAAGUCAUAACAUAAAUGAAAAGGUAAAUUACAUUUUACCAUUCAAGUUUGGGUGCAAUUGCAACCUCAUACAAUAUCUUUAAAACAUUUUAAUCUCAUACGUUACUUAUCAUUUCAUUGCAAUUUCAUACAUUCGUUAAUCAAACUGUCAUGCAAAUACAAGGCCCACAUGUUUGACGUGGCAAAUAAAAAUAUUAAAUAUUAAAAAACAAUUAAAGAAAAAACUAAACUAAAACAAAGUGGGCCUCAACCACCUUCUUCUCCAGGGACCUUAACACAUAGAUAGAGGAGAGAGAUCGCAUCCACUUACUUUCAUUGCGAUUUUAGCGGGGCAGCGAGGUUGGGCCCCCCUUUCUAUUUGGUUCGAGCCGUCGUGACAAACACAUAUCAAAAACACUAAGGCAAACUAAUGAAAAGGGUUUGAAAACUUUGAGUUUUAACCAAAAUGACAAUAAUGUGUUGUAAGUGAAUAGUACCAGGAGUGACUUUUUAGAGUAAAAUUGUCCUUAACAUUAAAAGCGAACAAUACCAGGAGUGUUUCGUUAAGACUCCCAAAACACUAAUCUUGAAACAAUAAACAACCUUGAACCCAUAUAUCAGAAACAACUUAAAGAACCCAGAAAAGACUAUCACUAGAAAGAUUACUUUGUGCCUUUAGAGCAUCUCCACUAGAUAAUGGAGGGUAAUGGCAAUUGGAAAUUUGGAAGGCAAGGGCAAUAAAAUUGCCCAUACUUUUCACUCUAAACAAUAAUUGCCUUUAUACAAGUCCACCAGUUUGGGAGGAGGAAGGGCAAUGGCAAGAGUGAUUGUUGUUCACAAAUAUAUUAUUUUUAAUUUUUAAUGAAUGUGGGCAUUACAAUAAACAUAAUUAUAGUCUAAUUCCAAUAAAUAAUUUCAAAUACAACAAAAAGUCAUCGCAUUACAACAAACAUAAUUAAUUUUAAACUAGGGUAUAAAAUCAGUGUGGCUCAAUCCAUCUUCCCUUGGAGUGUAUGGAACUUCCUCAUCUUCUAGGGAAAACCUUUUUCUCAUGACACAAAUUUUUUUACUUCUCCAAAAACGUUUUGAAUUAGGAGAUUCACUGUCGAGUAGGCCUAGCAAACGGGUCGUGUCUGUUGUGUUCGUGUCGUUUUUGUAUAACACAUGUUAUCUUAACGGGUCGUGUCGUGUCACACCUGUUAUCUUAACGGGUCAUUAACAGGUCGGGUCACUUUACACCCGUUAUGACCUGUUAAGAAAAAAAAUAUUCUUAAAUUGCACAUACCACACAUUGCCACAUAAAUAUUACUUCAAAACAUUAAAACACAUUUGUCGUUUAAGUACUACAUCUACACUCGAAAAUAAGAGCCUAAUAAAAAACCAUUCAUACACUACUAGUCUAUUACAAAAUAUUAAAUGUGCAAGGAUAUGCAAAAUGAAAGAGUUUUUGUUUUCAAGGUUGUGAAGCCUUUCUCAAAAGUUUAAACCUUAUCAAUGGAACUCAAAGCUUGCAUGUUAUUUCUUCUACAAAAUCCUCAAUUUUUAUCGAUCAUCAUAAGGAAAUUGUAUUGGAAUUUUGGCUUGAUCUAUUGCCUUCAAGAGUUAUGUCGAUGAUGUUUUCAGUAAGGUUUUCCACAUCAGAACUCUCUUCCGCAUAAACUAAUUACAGAAAAACCAGACAUUAAAAAUCAUUCAAAUUAUGAGAAGUUUACCAAAAUAAUUAUGAAAAGAAAUAAAACAAUAGUACUAUACCAUAUAAAAAUAUAUUACCUCAUUUUCCAAAUAGCCAAUCUCGUGUGCACAACAAAGCUUGAACUGUUUCUGGUAACAAUGAACGGAGGAGGAUGCCAGAGAGAUGCGAAUUAAGAAGACAGCACGGGAGUAAGUCUGGACUGAAGAGAUCAGAGUGAAUAAGAGAGAAGAGAACAAUAGCCUUCAACCUAAUUUUUUAAAUUAUUUAAUUUAAUAUAUAUAUAUAUAUAUAAUUAUUAUAGUUUUUAGGGGUAUAAAAUUGUUAAAUUAAUAUAUAAUUAUUAUAGUAUUUUUUAGGGUUAUAAAUUAUUAAAUUAAUAUUUUGCUUAUCGUGUGUCAUGUUACCCACGUGUAUACCCAAACAAGCCCGUUAUCUUAACAGGUGCUUAACGGGUUACCCGAUAACGACCCGAUUUGUUAUCGUGUCGAUCCGAACACCUGUUAAUUUCAUGUUGUGUUGGAUUAUCGAGUCGUGUUAGGAAUUGUCAGGCCUAUAGUCGAGGCGUCAAGACAUGAUCUAAACCUUGUCCUUUUGCCUUGCCGAUUCAACUCUCUUUCUCCGCCUUUGCUUCAUCUCUAGCCUUGACUAGCUUAUAUGUUAACCUGUCUCGUUCCAUAUUCAAUGCAUGUUGGCGAGCCAAUUCAUCAACGAUUUUUGAAUAAUCAUUAUUCGAAAAACUUCCACUUGCAGCUUUUUUCUUAGCAGCCUUCUUACGAAUAAGCCUCAUUGUUUCUUCAGUUUCUGUGACCGAUUCAAUAGGGGUCGUAAUGGUGUCUCCAAUGACAACUCUUCAGUAGUUCAUUCGUGCAAUGGAGUCUCACUUAACUGAACCUGUGGACCAAUAGGCAGAACUUUGUAUUUUGGAGUUUGAUUCACAAUGUUCCAACAUUUGUGCCUUAUGAAUGAUUACUUGUUAUCAAGAUUGAAUCACGUUUGAGCUUGUAGUUGCUAAAAAAAGUGUGGGACAGCAUAAAGAUUUAAUAAUAAAAGUACCUAAAAAAACAUAUUAAUUACAUUUUUACGAACAAUAAAUAAUAUUACAUCAGCUAGAUUAGUGCCACUUUGAUAAAUUUCUUCUGCUUUUGCAAGGACUUUUUACCAAGCUUUCAAAUCUUUAUGCAGAUGUCUGUAUUUACUCGACAUAGAUUGCUCACUCCGAGAUGUGCCUUGAAUCAGCUCGAUAAAUUGUGCAUAAAUCUUAUGUCGCAUGUGUUACAUUUUCAUCUCCUGGUGCAAAGAAAGGGUGCCUACCCUUGCAACAAUUGGUAAGGUAGUUGCCAUGGUGCCUCUACCCUACCUUUGCAUCAAUUGCCAUCACUUUUUACAACUGCUGGAGCAGUUUUUAAUGGGUUAAGGGGGCAAUUAAACCUAAUUGCAAAGGCAAUUCCUAGCUGGUGGAGUUGCUCCAGAAGCCCAUUUCUUUGAUAGACUAAUGCAUUCUUGUAUGCCUGGCAAACGGGUCGUGUUUGCUGUAUUUCGUGUAACACAUGUUAUCUUAACGGAUCAUGUCGUAUCACACCCGUUACCGUUAUCUUAAUGGAUUCUUAACAGGUCGGGUCACUUUACCCAACAGGUAAAAUGACCUGACCCGUUAUAACCUGUUAAGAUUUUUUUUUUCUUAAAAUUGCACAUACCACAUUACCACAUAAAUAUUACUUCAAAACAAUAAAAACACAUUUGUCGUUAAGUACUACAUCUACACUCCAAAAUAAUUGCCUAAUAAAAAAGCACCAAUACACUAAUAGUCUACUAUAAAAUAUCAUAUGCGCAAGGAUAUGCAAAAUAAAGGAGUUUUUCUUUUCAAGGUUAUGAAGCCUUUCCCAAAAGUUAAAACCUUGUCAAUGAAACGCAAAGCUUGCAUGUUAUUCCGUUUACAAAAUCCUUCAAUUCUCAUCAAUCAUCAUGGAAAAAUUGUAUUAGAACCUUGGCUUGAUCUAUUGCCUUUACGAGUUAUGUUGAUUAUGUGUUUUCAGUAUGGUUUUCCACACUAGAACUCUCUUCCACAUAACCUAAGUAUAAAAAAACCAAACAUUAUAAAUCAUUCAAAUUAUGAGAAGUUUACCAAAAUAAUUGUGAAAAGAAAUAAAACAAUAGUACUAUAACAUAUUAAAAUAUAUUACCUUAUUUUCCAAAUUUUCUAAAUUUAGUUUAAUAUAUAUAUAUAUAUAUUAUAGAAUUUUUAGGGGUAUAAAAUUAUUAAAUUAACAUUUUGCUUAUCGUGUAUCGUGUUACUCACGUGUAUAUCCGGACCAACCCGUUAUCUUAAUAGGUGUUUAUCGUGUUACAGAUAAUGACCUGAUUUGUUAUCGUGUUGACCCAAUAACCUGUUAAUUUUAUAUCGUUUCGUGUCGAGUUAAUGAAUUGUGUCAAAAAUUACUAGGUCUACCUUCGUGGCUUUAAUACUCAACAAAUCAAAUGACAUUGCUUCGUACCAUGGUAUUAAAUAUCGAUAAUAUCGGCGAUAUUUCGCCGAUAUUAUCGUUUUUCUGAGGUACCGAUAUUUUCCCACAUAUCCGUAUCAUUAUCGUCAAAAUAUCGCGAUAUUAUCGAUAAUAUCGCGAUAUUUUCGAUAUUAUCGAAAAAAUCGUCGUGGAUCCGUCAUCGUCGUCCCCCCAGCUGCCCAGAUCUCUCUGCAAUCCAUGCUCAAACCCAAGAUCUGCGCCUCAACGACGCCGAUUCCCCUGUUGUUGCCGAUUCCCCUGCCGUUGUCGAAGUCACAACUCGUGGUCUGUCCCCACGGCGAAGCAGGCGUGGUCUUGGGUUGAAGCAGACGUGGAACAGAGACGGAGGCGAGCGCGGCGCCGGCGGGGCAGGCUCCGUGAGGAGGAGGAGAAUGGGUGCCGAUGUUCGCUUCUCGCUAGCGUCGUGGUGGUGAGGGUGUGGGACAAAGCCGUCGUCGAAGCGGGUGGGGUGGAGGUGGACGGGGCGGAUCUGGCUAAUCUCGGUGACGAUGGUGACGAAGCCGGAGGAGGAAGAGGAGGAGGGGAGGCGGCGGAGGGAGAAGGAGUAGGAGGAAACGAAGAGGGUUUUGCAGGGCCUUGAUGCGGUGGCGGAGAUUGCGAAGAGGGAGAGGAGGGCGAUGAGGAGGAGGGAUCGUUGACUCGUUGACGCCAUGGAUUACUAGCACAAAGGAAGACGGGGAGCCUCUCGUUCUCUCUGUCUUCUCUUCUUACGCUUUUCAAUUGGCACUUUAGGGAUUUAACCAAGUUUCAGGCCCCAAAUUUUUUACUCCAUUCUGAUUUUAAAGAUUAUAAUAGAUUUAAAAAUUUAUGAAUUUUGAUGAAGUUUAAUAAUUUUUAAAACUUUUAUGUAAAAUUUUAAGUGAAUUCCCUCAAAUUUUCAGGAAGCGAUUUGAGAAUGUUUAAAAUAUUAUGUGAAAUAUUUCUAAUUUUUUCGAGUUUCCCAACUUUUUAAAAAUCUCUUCGAAUCAAUUUCUAAAUGAAUACAUUUGGAAUGUAUGAAUUUCUUAAAAAUCAUGAUCGAAUACCCCUUAAACUUUAAAGAAUCACUUAAAAUCCUUAUUAAAUGCCCUUAGAUUUUUAAAGAGAAUUAAAAUGUUUAUAAGCCCCAAUUGGAUGUACCGCUUAAUUUAACUAAUUGACACAACACAACAAACCAGUUAAGAUUACAAAUUAACACAAAAAGACGACUUGAUGCGAUGUCAUAUCUAAAAAACUUGCCGCAAUAAGCCCCAAUUGGUGUGUUUAAAUUUCUUUCAUUAAUUACUACAUAUUUUCUACACUCACAAUGUUUGUCAGCUCGCUAUAUAAUCAACUUAAAUCAAUUAAAUCCAUCAUGCAAUGCAUUUCCUUCCAAUUUUUUGUGAUAAACUAAUAGAUAAUUGACUAAAUAAACAUCCUGCAAAGUUUCAAUAAAAAUUUCCAAGUUUUUCUUACAAUUUCCGUGGUUUCCAUGUAAUUUUUAUCGAUAUCGAUAUUAUCCCGAUAUUUCCAUCGAUAUUUCCGUGUUUUCGGACUACCGAUAUUUCCGAUAUUACCGAUAUUUUCUUCCUUGCUUCGUACCUUAAAGAUUCAACAUAUCAACUGAAUUGGCUUGUGCCCACAACAACGCACUAAUUGAUUUGCACAUUUUAAAGAAGAAAACUUUAAUGAAAAAUUUUCGGUACUGUUCAAUUUAAUGAAAAACCAUAUUUUUACACUAAAAAGUCAAUCCUGAUACUGUUCACUUUACAUUUUAUUUUGUCCUUAUCAUUAAACCUCAAAGUUUUCAAGCUAUUUUCAUUAGUUUUCUAUUUAAAAAAUUAUAGCAUGCAAUUCUUCAAACAAUUCAGAAAAAAUGUAACUAAAAAAAUAACCUUCACAAAAAAUCUUAAAGCUCAGCAUUUUGGCAAAACACUAGGAGUGCAUACAGUUCUGAACUUUCCUCCAUAUAGAACAGAACACCGAUCAAUAACCGAACUCAGAGAGCUAAGCAUUUCGUUACAAACUUGGAUUGUACGAAGGUUCCGAAUUUGGGGAUUGAAUUUCGGGAAAGUAGAAGACGAUAGAAACUAAAGAAAAGCAAACAGAAAAAGAGACCACUAGAAUCCAUAUAGCGAGCUCGCCGACCUCUUGGAACUUUGCAUCGAAUUCUCUGCAGCGAAAUGCGGAGGGAGCUGAAGAGGCCAGCGCAAUAUGCCCAACCUCACCCACUUCUCAUUUACAACUCCCCCAUCUCGUGGAAUUCCAUUGUCGGACCUCGAUUUGCACCCUGUUCUUGAUUCUGCGAUCGACAGCACCGACGAGGUCGAUCUCCACCUCAAUGUAGGCCUUCCAUGAUUUUGGUCAGAUGUGAAAUCGGGGUGGUAAACAGAUACCGAUGCGAGCAGACGAUUUGAUAUGUGUCUCGGGGUCGGAGAGCUUCGAGAGGGGGAUGAGGAUUCUUUGCUUGAGCUUCACCAUGGCCAGUUGGGUUGAGAGGUAAGAAGAAGCGGUAGAAGAAGUGGAAGAAGAUUUUUUUUCACUUUUCUUUUUUACUUUUUUAACUAAAUUCUAUUUUUAAUAUUUAUUUAUUUGUAUUUGCCAUAUCAUCAACAUAUGUGGGCUUUAUAUUUGCGACGUCAUUACCCAACAGUUAAAUUGACUAAUACAUGUAUAAAAUUGUAAUGAAAUAAAAAAAAUAUAUGAGAUUAAAAUAUUUUAAAGACAUAUGAGGUUGCAAUUCGACUCAACCUUGACGGGUUAAAUGUAAGUUGCCCUAAAUAAAAUAAAUAAAAAAACCAACAGCACAAUGACAUAACAUGAGUUACAAAGGAAAUACAAGCCUAGGAAACACCAGUAUGCAACAAGGAAAAACCACAUGAGCCAAGGAAGCCUGAACUCAGGAAUUUGAGGAAAUUACAAAUAAAUACCAAUUAAGAAACAUAAAUAAAUAAAUACUUCAAGUAGUAAUGAAUAAACGCUCACUUAGUACAACUGUCUAAUGAUAUUUCUCUUUCACUUGUAAAUGAGAGAUCUUAGGUUCAAUUCUGACUAAAAGCGAAUUUGAACCACAUUAUUGCUAGCUCUUUGUAAGGCUUAGCCUGCCCAUCCUUUUUUAUGCACUGCUUUACCUUGAAAGGAAAAUUUGCUUUGCUCCUCAGGGCACUAGGCACUCCCGUGGUUCGCGAGAAGGAAAAGUGAUGAAUUCCCUUACCCAUUUAGUGUGAAUAAUAUCGUUAAUUCAAAAAUAAAAAACUAAUAAACUAGCCGAGUUUAAACCAAUCUUUGAAUUAUCUCAAGCUACGUACGAGCUUUCUAAGCAGAUUUAAAAGUUUGACAGCUUUUAAUAACGAGCCUAAUAUUUUGUUUAAGCUUUGGCUCAUUUUCCUACUAACCAAUCUUAAAUGGAUAAAAAAUGAAUUGGACACUACAAGGAUGACAUUGAUCCAAUUUCCGCUUAAAAAACUAAAAUUCAAAGAAAUAUCAAUUUCAGGGGCCACUUGUAAUACAAACCCAAGAGGGCUUUAAUUGACACACCCCGAUCCAGGAUGUCCACUAGGACUCCAAAUUGAGCUGUGCUGGCCAACACCUGGAGGGUGACGAAGCCAUAAAGUAUGAUGAUGUGGAAAAAAGUGAAUAAAUUUAAACUUAAGAGUGCCUAAAUACCAAAAUGCGCUGGUGAGCGGGAAUGAAAUCACUUCACACGUGAUGUUAGAGCAUAAGCAAGUACAGUAGAGUGAAUUAAGAAUUGUACCCUCAAAAUAUUCUCCAAUACUAAGAAUCGCCAUAAAUCUUCGACGAUAAGAAAGUUCAGUUGAUAAAACCUGAAGGGUGAAAACAAAAAUAAGGGUGAGUGGCCCUGGAAUUAAAAUUUUAAUAGAAACCAUAUAAAACAUUAUAACCCCUCGCUGCAACACUUGUAUAGUUUCCCAAAAAAUCAUAAAUAUACCAACACAACAUCUCAUCAGGAAUAUCAAUAAUCAUGUGAUUAAUAACCCAUACAAGCACGCAAGUCUGAGUCACCUAUGGUGACCUGUAUGACUGUACCCAUAUCUCAUCAAUCAAUGUUAACUCAUAAGUCGGAGUCACCUAUAGUGACCUGUACGACUUAUCCAUAUCUCAUCACAUAUGCUAGCUCAUCACAUAUUGCAUCACAUAUGCUAGCUCAUAAGUUGGAGUCAUCUCUAGUGAACUGUAUGACUUAUCCAUAGCUCAAUAAGUAUACCUGCACACGAGUCGGAACCACAUAAAGUGGUCUGUACGACAGAACUGGGUGUAAAUAAAUAAGCUCAAUUGCUACGUUCACGUGAAGACUGUGCGAAUAAUCGCGGGUCACCUACGAGUCAAAACCACAUAUAGUGGUCUGUACGACAGAACUGUGUACCUACCUUGGAUCCAAGGUGAGCGUAAGGUGCGAGAGGUGAACAUCACGUGAAGGAUUAUGCCUUGGCCACAGGCGGGAGCACUAACACCGAGGUGCAGGUUUAUUAGCUCUAACUGUAUCUAUUGUAACAUAUACGAUUCAUGGGCAACCUAUAAGAUAGUGUCGGAGUUGCCUAUCAUUGCAACCUAUACGACAAGGUCAGAGUUGCCUAAACAUACAUGUAGUCAUGCCAUAACCCCAUCAUUUCAACUAAUACCAUAAACUCACCUGAACUUAACUGGGUGUCCUGCGUUCACCUUUGCACUUCAAAGCGUUCGUAAUAAUUGUGUGCAGGUAAUAUACAUAUAGAUAAACCAUGAUGAAAUCUAAUAUUCAACCACGUUAUAGCAUUUCCAAUUAUAUACAUACAUAUAUAUAUAUAUAUAAUGUGGCAUAAAAAUGCAUAGGCUGUAACGCCCUACUCCCGAAUUAUUUAUUUUCGGAAAUAAUUAUCGGUGAUAAGCCCAACUAGACACUAGUUUAAUUAAUUAUCAUUACUUACGCUACCUUACUUCAAAUUCUUGAUUCUUCACACAUUAAUUUAUGACCAACAUUUAACCACCAAAUCAUAAGGUUAAAUCUCAUAUUUUCCACCAAUGUCUCUCACACUGCUUAAUUCCCUAAACAAGGCUAUUGUCUCAAUUAUUGUAUGGAUGUAUCUAACGUCUCGUUAGACUGCCUACGUACCCUAAACAGGGAUCAAGCUGUUCGUAGUUCACAUUAGUCCUCCUAAGCAUUCACAGAAAUUAUAUGAAAUAUUCAAUUUACAAAUGUUUGUGGAGAUGUAAAUCUUAUAUAUAUACACACACACGAUAGAAGGGAAAAGACCUACUCACCUUAGGUUCUCGCUACGACUCCUCGCACGAAUAUCGAGACAUCACGAACUAUCGUCACCUGUGACCAAUUAUCAAAUCAUGUCUCAAAGUUCCUAUCGAUAGAGUACAUAAUUUACAUAAAACAUAUCCUUAAGGACCUUCAAGAAUAAUUUGAGACCUAUUGACAAAGAGUCAACCGUCGAUCAAAGAUCGACAGUUGGGUCCACAACCCUGCAAAACUCGAUCCAGAAGAUCCGAAUCACAUAUUUCCAAUCCGUAACUUCUCAUAAUACAAAAUAUGCUUCUAGAACAACAUACUUAAGUUUCAUUACGAUCCAACGGUUGGAUCUCCGCUAAUUUCCAAAACUGAUUAGCGGUUAAAGUUUUAUUUUAUUCGGGAAGAUCCAUAUGUCGGAUUCCAAAUCCAUAAGUUCCUACAUUCUUCAAAUAUUACGUACUAAUUUAACAAUGUUUGGUGACGAUCCAAACCCUAAACCCUAAACCCUAAAUUCUCUACAAUACGUUAAUAGGUAUUUAUGUGAAUCGACGAUCCAACGGUUGGAUCGUCGAUUCACAUAAAUACCUAUUAACGUAUUAUAGAGAAUUUAGGUUCCAACAAUCAACCUACAUCAUUCAAAUAUCAAAAAUGAAUUCAAGACAUUUAACAUAGUCUAAAAAUAGCAUUGGCGGCCCCCUGGCCAAGCGCCACCGUGGGUGGCGGUCGGCCGCCGCGAUUCGCCGGAAAAACUAUCUCAAAAAAUUACCAAAAUUUACAUGAAUGAAGAUCUCAACGAGUAGGGCAGCUUUCAUACAUGUGACCAAGGCCAAUUUGGCCUGGAAAAUCCCCAAUUUAGCUAAAAUCCGUCAGAACCCUAAGUGUGGGUGUGCUUCGAUUCUUCCUCCUCGAUGAUCCGCCGCCUCUACAACUGAUUAAGCUUUGUUCCAUACCUCAAGGGAAGUCUAAUGGUGGUAGUAAUUGAUUCAAAUAGUUUCAUAUUUAGGGGAAUUCGAACAAGGAGGGUCGCGGCACCCACAGUACAAUCUUCAUGAAAUCUUAACCAAGUCAUGUCUAUUUUGGCUAGAGUGGAACAAUGUGAUGUUGGUAUGAUGUUUAGUGGUGAUGGGAGGUUGUAACUCGCCGAAGAUUUGGAGAAAAACCAUCGGAAAAACACACGGGCGUUUGGGUUUUAAAACGGGUCACACGGGUUAGAAACGGGUCAAGGGGAAGUAGAUCAUGGUUAGGUGCCUCUCACCUUCCUCAUUUCCCUCCCUGAUCUAUCCCUAAUUUGUCCUCCCAUCUUCCUCCUUUCUGAUAAGGCAACAACCCUCUCAUCUUCUCUCCUCAGAUUAGGCAGCUCCGCCCAAUCUCCUCAUCUCUCCCUUUUUCCACCGGCCACACACGCACAUAUAUCAUAAAAAUCAUUUAGUAAUAAUAAUAAAAAAAAUAUAAUGUAAGAUAAUUAAAAUAAUGAUUCAUUCCAAAUACUUUCGAGUUCGUAAUUCCACGAAACUUUAAUCGUAACCUCAAUUUCACUUUUACUUGUGCAUACGCGUCCGUAAGAUUGAGCUCUAUCCAAAUAUGUCAAGGAAUAUGACAAAAUAUACGAGAAUCACAUGCGUCCUAAAAAAUUACGCUUUGCCCUUAGGGUAUUCCCGUAAUUUCACGUAAUAAAAUUAUAAAACAAAUUAUACUUUUUUAGGGACGGGCUAUGACAUUAAUGAAACGGGCUUGAACUAAAUUUAAUUUAACCAAAAAUCACUCUAAACUAUUAUUUAAGGAAAAUGACUUAAAUUUUAGGGGGGUGUAUUCAAUUGAGAUUCUGAGAGAGUUUCAAAGAAUUAAUAAUUCUAGGGGUAUUCAAUUAGGAAUUUAAAAGACUUCAUAAAACUUUAGGUGUAUUCAAUUGAGAAUUAUAAACACUUUUUAAAGUCUCUAGAAAUAUAGAUGUAUUCAAUUGAGAUUUCUAGAGACUUUUUAAAAAUUCCUAUAAAUCUAGGUGUAUUCAAUUGUGAUUUGUUUCAAAGUCUCUAAAAAUUUAGGUGUAUUGGAAAACAAAUUGAAUUUGAAGGAAUUUGUGAAUUGGUGGAUUUUGGAGGAUUUCAAGGUGAGACCUAUAAAUAUAUACCAAAGAGCUUGGGAAAUCUCACCUCACCCCUAGAAAUUUUGAGCGACUUUGUGUACUGCUCUCCUCUCCAGAGACUACGACACCUUCUGCUCCAAAAACAAAGUAGCUUGAAGGUAAAACUUUUCACCAUGCACAUGUUUUCUUCGGAUUUUUCUUGUUUGGAUAUUGUAAUCUUGUUCUAGGGUUAGGGUUUUCUAGUCUAGGGUUUAUCAGGAUUUGAAACCCUAUUGUUGAAUAUGCGUGUGGGUUUAUGGUUUGGUGUUUUGUUGAAAUAUUUUCUACUUUUGAUUGUCAAAAAGAUCAACUGGAAUCCACAAAGAUGGUUUUAGGGUCCAUAGAAAUUUUGAAUUUUGAAUGGAAACUUGUUGUUGGAUAUCGAAUUGAUGUUUUCUUUUAAUUUGAUGUCAAAAUUGGCGUCAAAGAGUGACACACCCCGAUUGAGAUCAAGGCAUGAUGGCCAUCACGUGAGUGACGUAGCCAUGUGCACAGUGCGCAAGCAAUAAAGAUAAGAAUUAUACGAAUAAUUAAAAAUCGAAAUACUAGAGUUCACUACUAAACAGGAAGUGAUAGGAGUUAGUUACAAUAGUAAACACUCAUAAUCAGAGCAUAUUAAGUCUAGGUGCAUUCCAGUAGGACAAGUACUAAUUAUACAGUACCAGGAAUGUCCUACUAUUAUUUAGAUAAGUCAGAAUCGCCGACGUCCUCAAGCCACCAACAGCAAGCUUACUUAAAACUUGGAGGGGCGCAAAAUAGAAACCGUGAGUGGGAAAAAACAAAUGUUUUACAAAAUCAUUUUCUUUAUCAACAUAUCUAACCCCUCGCUGUAAAACAUGUAUAAUUUUUCCCAGAAUCAGAAUAUAAGCAUAUACAUAAUAUAUAAAUAUAUAUAUGAAAUCAUAUCAAUUCAAUUCAUGCUUCACAUAAUCAUAUUCAAAUAUAUGCUAUGCUAAUAUAUAACAGAGUAAGCAAUUCAGGUAAGAAUAAAUUCAUAGAAUAUGAUAUGUUAGCCGAAACCCAUGUGGUAGUCUGUACGGCUGAAUUCAUAGUUCAAAGUCAAUCUAGCCGGAGUCACUACAAUGACCUAUACGACAAUAUACUGCACAUAAGUUGGAACCCCUAAAAAGGUCUAUACGACAAGAUUGGGUGUAAUAUAGUUAUGCUCAAUUUUACUCUCUCAUAAUAGUCGGAUGAUAAAUCGCUAGUCACCUACGAGUCGGAACCAUAAAUAAGGUAUGUACGACAAGACUGUACACUUAAUUUGGAUCCAGUAUGAGCAUAUAGUGCGGGAGGUGACAUAAAUAAACAGGCAUGUACUUUAUAUCUCUGGUUAAACCACAAUCACCCUAGGUGCAGUUUUAUGAGCUCAACAUCAAUCAAUCACUCACAUAUUACAUCAUCGAUGAUUCACAUAGCCAAACAUAACUUAACUGAACUUACAUGUGCCUCCACAGCACCACAUUUAUAUAUAUAUAUAUAUAUAUAUGCAACCAUGAAAUGCAUAUUCAGAAUAUAAAAGCAUUUGGCAUAUUAUUUCGAAGCAUACUUUCCUUAAAAAUGCAUUUCUGGGAAAUAUAUCAAGUAUAUAAAUAUAUACAGAAAACAAAAGCCCACUCACUGGUAUGUCAACGAGUCGUAACCCUCGAGUCGCCAGUGGAUACGCUCGUCAUCGGGAUAAGUCUCACCUAUAUGCGAAUUAACUAUAAAAAUGUUAUUUUAAAGCACAUAGACAAAACUAGCUACUAACUUCUCAUACAUUGCUCAAAAUGGGUAUAUGAAUAUACCAUAGUGACCUACACAACCUCAGGAUCAUCCCCAAAUUUUUAGAUAAAUUUUUUGAGCUCCCACACGUCGGCAAGCCCAUGGUAUAACGCGCCCCCACACGCGGCCAAACUUGAUGGAUUCCCUAACCACCGUUAGGGAAUAUUCCGUUAAAACUGACUGAUAGCGUCAGCAUAUUGUGUCCAAACUGACGGAAUAUGCCGUCAUCUUCUUCGGCGAGUUGCCGGUCGCUAAAAAACUGGGUAAAACUUUAAAACGUCUAUUCUCGCUCAUUUCUUAACCAUUUUUCAUGAAAUUUAUACCAAUAGAAAGCUGAAGAUGAGUAGAACAACAUUAUACCUGUUUAAAGCUCCAAAAAUCAAGAAAUCUCGCUAGAGAAAUUCGAGGAAACCAGCCAACUUCGAAACUAGCUAUCCCGACGUCUAAAUUUUUCCAACGAAGCACUCCGAGCCUCCUUAGAACCUCCUAAAGCUUUCUAUGGUCUUGAAAUUCAAUAAAAAUCAACAUUUUAUGUGAGCAUGAAUAGUACCUCAAAUCGGGGUUAUGGUUUCGACGUGAAAACGAUGGAGUUCUUACCUGGAACGUGUACCCCAAGACUCGUAUGGUCCUCACGAACACAAUGGUGGUCUUAGAAUCCUUAAUCCGUCACGAUUCAAAGGGUUUUGGGUUUGAGUCCGUACAGGAGGGAAGAGAGAGAGAGUCUGAGAGAUAGAGAGAGGACACGGGAGGGAAGAGAGAGAAAGUUAUGGGUGUGUGUGUGGUCUAAAGUCACGAAUCACAACUAAUAAUUUUCUUACUUCCAAUUGGGUCCAAAAUAAUAGGGACUUAACACAUUGGUCCUCAGCCACACAUAGCCCCACGAUGUCACAAACGCUCAAGGGUAAAUCUGUCUUUUCACAACCACGAUAAAUAAUUUUCAGGACGGUCAGUGACAAUCUCCCUGCCUUAUAAAAUUUCAUCCUCGAAAUUACAUACAACCAAUACAUCCAUUAAUAAUCAUAAAACAAGCAUGGAUACAUCUCUCUCAUCCGAUCUUCUGUCUCCCAAGUAGCUUCUUCCAUUGAAUGAUUUCUCCAUAAUACAUUCACUAAAAGCACAGUCUUGUUCCUUAGUUCCUUAUCCUUCCAAUCCAAAAGAAUCACUGGUUCCUCAUCAUAAGUCAAAUCGGGAUUAAUUUCCAAAGGUUGAGGAGGAAUCACAUGUGAAGGAUCUGAAACAUAAUGUCGAAGCAUCGAAACAUGAAAUACAUUAUGCACCUUAGACAACUCUGGAGGCAACUCAAGCUGGUAAGCAACCUCACCGACUCGCUCGGUGAUCAUAUAUGGUCCAAUGUACCUAAGACUCAACUUUCCUUUCUUUCCAAAUCGUACAACACCUUUCCAAUGUGAUAGCUUCAGAAAUACCCAAUUGCCUACAUCGUACUGCCGAUCAGUGGCAUGCUUGUCUGCUAAGCUCUUUUGUCGAUCUUGGGCGGCUUUCAGGUUAUACUUAAUUACCUGAACAUUUUGAGUAGUCACAUCCACAAUCUUAGGGCCCACUAAAACUCUUUCGCCAACCUAUGACCAACAUAGAGGCGUACGACAAGAUUUCCCAUAAAGUGCCUCAAAUGGUGCCAUACCAAUACUCGAAUGAUAACUGUUGUUGUAGGCAAACUCCAUCAAAUCCAAACAAUCAUGCUAACUAUCUCCAAACUGCAGCACUGAAGAUCUCAACAUAUCCUCUAAUGUCUGAAUGGUUCUAUCAGAUUGUCCAUCUGUCUGAGGGUGAUAUGCCGUACUAUAAAGCAAUCUCAUACCAAGAGCUUCUUGAAAUGCUAUCCAGAACUUGGAAGUAAAUCUGGGAUCCCGAUCUGAGAUAAUAUUAACUGGCACACCAUGAUACUUCACAAUCUGCAAUAUAAAUAACUUAGCUAAUCAGCUUAACGAAUACUUCUCCCUCACUGGAAUAAAAUGUGCUGACUUCGUAAGCCGAUCAACUACCACCCAAAUGCCGUCAUAACCAUUCUGUGUACGAGGGAGCUUGUACACAAAAUCGAUAGUAAUAUUUUCCAUUUCCACUGUGGAAUGGGAAGUGGCUGCAUCAACCCAAACGGCUUCUUCCUUUCCGCUUUAACCUUUGGCAAAUGGCACACCUACUCACAUAUUCGGCAAUUUCCCUUUUCAUACCUGGCCAAUAAUAAAAUGGUCUAAUGGUAUGAUACAUCUUAGUGCCUCCUGGAUGCAUCGCAUAUGCUGAAAUAUGUGCUUUGUCCAAAAUUUCUUUCUUUAAUUCUGCAUUAUUCGGCACAUACAUUCUGUUUUCCUGCAUAAGCAUACCAUCAGAUUCUCGAAUCCCGAAAUUUCUUUUUGCCUUAAUUUCUUGCUUGAAUUAUUUCAUGGGUCUCUUCAUCAAUCAUCUGAGCCUCAAGUACACGGUCAAAUAAAAUUAGCCUAACCUGAAAAUUAGCAAGCAAGGCUUCUUCUCGAUCUUCCACUCCUAGCUUCACUCCAGUGGACCUCAAAUCUGUUAGAAGAAGGACAUGACAAUCAUAAAUGGCAUUGAGUCUGGCUGGAGUCUUCCUACUAAGUGCAUCCGCCACUGCAUUUGCACAACCAGGAUGAUACUCAAUCGUGCAGUCAUAAUCACUAAGCAACUCAAUCCAUCUCCGCUGCCGAAGAUUAAGAUCUCUAUGAGUAAACAGGUACUGAAGACUCUUAUGAUCUGUGAAGAUCUUACAUUUCUUGCCAUAAAGAUAAUGCCUCCAAAUCUUCAAAGCAAAGAUGAUAGCCGCUAACUCUAAGUCAUGUGUAGGAUAAUUCUUCUCAUGAGCUUUCAACUGUCUCGAGGCAUAAGGAAUUACCCUACCAUGUUGCAUCAAUACACAACCCAAACCUUUCAAAGAAGCAUCACUAUAAACCUCAUAAUUACCGCUAUCAUCUGGAAGUGCUAGAACAGGAGCAUGAAUGAGAUAGUACUUCAACUGCUGGAAACUUUGCUCACAUUUAUUAUCCCAUUCAAACUUAACAUCCUUUUAAGUUAACCUCAUCAAUGGCAAAUCAAUCACUGAAAAAUCCUUAACAAACCAUCUAUAAUAGCCUACUAAGCCAAGAAAACUCCGUACCUCAGUGACGGUUCGAGGUUGCUCCCAAUUUUCUACAACUACUACUUUUUGAGAAUCCACUUGAAUGCCUUGAGCAGAAAUGACAUGUCCCAAAAAUGCCACUUGAUUCAACCAAAAUUCACAUUUGCCAAACUUAGCAUAGUUGGUGUUCCCUCAAACUGCUUAACACCAACUUCAGAUGUCUAGCAUGCUCAGCCUUAGACUUAGAGUAUACCAGAAUAUCGUCAAUGAAGACAAUAACAAACCUAUCCAAAUAUGGCUGAAAUACUCGAUUCAUCAAAUCCAUAAAAGUUGCUGGUGCAUUAGUUAACCCGAAUGGCAUCACAAGAAACUCAUAAUGACCAUAUCGAGUCCUAAAUGUGGUUUUAGGGACAUCUUCAUUUUUAAUCUUCAACUGAUAGUAUCCCGACCUCAAGUCAAUCUUAGAAAAUACGUAGGCACCUCUGAGUUGAUAAAAUAAAUCGUCUAUACGAGGCAAUGGAUAACAGUUCUUAAUGGUUACCCGAUUCAAUUGCCUGUAAUCAAUGCACAGCCUCAAAGUUCCAUCUUUCUUCCUCACAAAUAAAACUGGAGCUCCCCAAGGUGAAGUACUCGGUUGAAUAAAAUCUUUAUCCAUUAACUCUUGCAACUGGACUUUCAAUUCCCUUAAUUCAGCAGGAGCCAUUCUAGAAGGAGUUAAGGAUAUGAGAUUCGUACCUAGAAGCAGAUCAAUACAAACUCCACCUCUCUAUCUGGCGGCAAUCCAGGCAACUCCUCAGGGAAUACAUCCGGAAAAUAUCUGACCACCCGAACAUCCUCCACACUACUAGGAACAUCAUCAUUCAACACCACAUGAGCCAAAUAUCCUUGACAACCUUUCGAAAACAAUCUCUUUGCUUUCAUGGCUAAAAUAAUACCAUGCCUCACCCCACUAAGCUCUCCUACACAUGUAACUUCAAGUAAUCCAGGACAAUGAAACGUGACUGUCUUUCCAUAACAAUCUAUCUUGGCACGAUUAUAGUGCAACCAAUCAGUGCCCAAAAUCACAUCAAAAUCCAUAAUAUCCAACGACAUAAGCUUAGUCGGCAUAAUAAUAUCCUCUACUAUCACUGGACAUCCUAGGUAUAUCCGAUCCUCAAAAUAUAUAUCCUCUAUAGGCAUAGAAAACUCUAAAUUAUAUCCUAGAGGUGUAUGAUAGGGUUGCGUCACUUGAGCAAAUGUAUGAGAAAUAACAGAAUGUGUAGCACCACAAUCAAUCAAUAAUCUAGCAAAAUGACCAAGAAUAUUUAACGUACCCAUGAUUAGAUCUGGAUUAUUCUGGGCAUCUUGCAGUGACAUGUUGUGGAUACGUGUCUGGUUUUGCUGUCGUCCACCGCGACCUCUGUUGGCAUGAACACCACGUCCCUGCCUCUGCUAACCCGAUUGCCUUGAAGAUCCUGCACUACUAGCAGCAAUCUCUCCCUGCUGGGGUUGUCCCCUUUGGUACCACUGAGAUCCUCCGGCUGAAUGUAGCUGAUACGACAUAGAUCAUCCCUGAUACUGAGGGUACCCACUCUGGUACUGAGGAUCCUGAGAAUACUGCUGCUGCCCUUAGGUGUAGGGAAUGGCGUCGCCCUAAUAGUGGUAGGCACCUCAUCGUCCAGUCUGAGUAUAACCACCAGAUCCUGAAGCGUGCUGGGUAGGUGCAGAUGGUGGGAAGGAAGGCUGCUGGUGUCUCUACUGACUCUGAGGGCAUUGAGCAGCCCUAUGACCCAUCUGACCACAAGUGAAGCAACCAUUGCUGCCUCUCCUACACUCCCCAAAAUGCCGAUUAUUACACCUACGGUAUAAGGGAGCACCAGAUCCACCGAACCACCAAAAUCUCUGCCUCUGGAAUCUAAGGCCUCCAGUGAAUCUACCACCUCUCCUCUGCAUAUUAGUACUCAAUCUUCCGCUAGAAGAGCUGGAAUUGCCACCACUCCUCUUAAAGUUUUAGGUCUUGCGGGGUCCCUGAAAUGCUUGCCAUUUUCCUUUAUCGUCUUGUCUCUGGCCCCCAUUCUUUCCUUCCUCAUCUUCACUUUCACUAGGUAUGUUCUCUGAGGCCUCAAUCUUAAGUAGAAUCUCAUAAAACUCCUGGUAAGAGGCACAGUGAGUCGAUGUCGCUAUGGAACGCCAUUUUUUCUUAUUACCCAAACUGAAACAACGAAGCAUCUCUACCAGAUUAGCAGCAACCUCCGGAUCAUAUCUCGACAGAUCAGUAAACAUCCUGUAAUACUCAUUAGUGGACAUCUUUCCUUGCCUCAGAUAAGUAAACUCAUGUUUCUUACUAUUGAUAUACGCAAGAGGAAUAAACCUUUUCCGAAACAGCUCAUUAAGCACUCCCCAAUCCACAAUCUCUGUUGGGGUCAACUGGUAAGACUCUUGUUUCCACCAGGAUGCAGGCUGUUCUCCCAAAAAUUAGAUAGUCAUCUCGACCCACUUAUCAGAAGAAAGACUCCCCUGACUCUACAUCACCUGAAAGGUCUUCUCCACAUGAUUCAGCCAUUUUUCUGAUACCAAACUGACACACCCCGAUCGAGAUCAAGGCAUGUUGGCCGUCACGUAAGAGUGACGUAGCCAUGUGCACAGCGCAAGCAAUAAAGAUAAGAAUUAUACGAAUAAUUAAAAACCGAAAUACUAGAGUUCACUACUAAACAGGAAGUGAUAGGAGUUAGUUACAAUAGUAAACACUCCUAAUCAGAGCAUAUUAAGUCUAGGUGCAGUCCAGUAGGACAAGUAUUAAUUAUACAGUACCAGGAAUGUCCUACUAUUAUUUAGAUAAGUCAGAAUCGCCGACGUCCUCAAGCCACCAAAAGCAAGCUUACUUAAAACCUGAAGGGGCGCAAAACAGAAAACGUGAGUGGGCAAAAAAAAAUGUUUUACAAAAUCUUUUUCUUUAUCAACAUAUCUAACCCCUCGCUGUAAAACAUGUAUAAUUUUUCCCAGAAUCAGAAAAUAAGCAUAUACAUAAUAUAUAAAUAUAUAUAUGAAAUCAUAUCAAUUCAAUUCAUGCUUCACAUAAUCAUAUUCAAAUAUAUGCCAUGCUAAUAUAUAACAGAGUGAGCAAUUCAGGUAAGAAUAAAUUCAUAGAAUAUGAUAUGUUAGCCGGAACCCCUGUGGUAGUCUGUAUGACUGAAUUCAUAGCUCAAAGUCAAUCUAGCCGGAGUCACUACAAUGACCUAUACGGCAAUAUACUGCACAUAAGUUGGAACCCCUAAAGUACAACAAGAUUGGGUGUAAUAUAGUUAUGCUCAAUUUUACUCUUUCAUAAUAGCCGGGCGAUAAAUCGCUAGUCACCUACGAGUCGGAACCAUAAAUAAGGUCUGUACGACAAGGCUGUGCACUUAAUUUGGAUCCAAUAUGAGCAUAUAGUGCGGGAGGUGACAUAAAUAAACAGGCAUGUACUUUAUAUCUCUAGCUAAACCAUAAUCACCCUAGGUGUAGUUUUAUGAGCUCCACAUCAAUCAAUCACAUAUUACAUCAUCGAUGAUUCACAUAGCCAAACAUAACUUACCUGAACUUACAUGUGCCUCCACAACAUCACAUUUAUAUAUAUAUAUAUAUAUAUAUAUAUAUAUAUAUAUAUAUAUAUAUAUAUAUAUAUAUAUAUAUAUACAACCAUGAAAUGCAUAUUCAGAAUAUAAAAGCAUUUGGCAUUUUAUUUCGAAGCAUACUUUCCUUAAAAAUGCAUUUCUGGGAAAUAUACCAAGUAUAUAUAUAAUCUAGCAAAACGCGUCCCCACGCGCGGCCAAACCUGACGGAUUCCCUAACCACCGUUAGGGAAUAUUCCGUUAAAACCUAACAGAUUCUGUUAAAACUGACUGACGGCGUCAGCAUAUUCCGUCCAAACUAACGGAAUAUGCAGUCAUCUUCUUCGGCGAGUUGCCGGUCGCCAGAAAACUGGGUAACACUUUAAAAUGUCUAUUCUCGCUCAUUUCUUAACCAUUUUUCAUGAAAUUUAUACCAAUAGAAAGCUGGAGAUGAUUAGAACAACGUUAUACCUGUUUAAAGCUCCAAAAAUCAAGAAAUCUCGCCGGAGAAAUUCGAGGAAACCGGCCAACUUCGAAACUAGCUAUCCCGACGUCUAAAUCUUUCCAACGAAGCACUCCGAGCCUCCUUAGAACCUCCUAAAGCUUCCUAUGGUCUUGAAAUUCCAUAAAAAUCAACAUUUUACGUGAGCAUGAAUAGUACCUCAAAUCGGGUUUAUGGUUUCGACGUGAAAACGAUGGAGUUCUUACCUGGAACGUGUACCCCAAGACUCGUAUGGUCCUCACGAACACAAUGGUGGUCUUAGAAUCCUCGAUCCGUCACGAUGGAAAGGGUUUUGGGUUUGAGUCCGUACAUGUGGGAAGAGAGAGAGUCUGAGAGAUAGAGAGAGGACACAAGAGGGAAGAGAGAGAAGGUUAUGGGUGUGUGUGUGGUCCAAAGUCACCAAUCACAACUAAUAAUUUUCUUACUUCUAAUUGGGUCCAAAAUAAUAGGGACUUAACACAUUGGUCGUCAACCACACAUAGCCCCACAAUGUCACAAACGCUCAAGGGUAAAUCUGUCUUUUCACAACCACGAUAAAUAAUUCUCGGGACGGGCUAUGACAAAGAGGUUUUUCGUGCUUUAUGGUUUGGUGUGGGUUUAUGGUCUAGGGUUUAUCAGGAUAUUGAAUUUAUGUUUUCUUUUAUUUGUUUAACAAGUUUACAUGAAUAUGUCCAUGACCUGCUGUGCUUGAAGUAGCCAGGGCAUUUCACAGUGGUGUUCCACGACCAAAUGUGCUAUGUGUUUUGUUGAAAUAUUUUCUUAAGAAGUCUUUUAAAAACUUGACCUAAUUUUUUUGUUUCCGUUUGCAAGGAAAUGUGAUCUAACUGUGGGGUUCAUUAUGUGUUUGGUUAUCAUGCUUUUAGCAUCCGUUGAUUUUAUGUCAAAUAAGGGUGAGAUUUUAGCAUUCGGUCAAAAUGUCAAUGUAACUAGGGUGAGGCUUGACUGGUCUGUUGUUCAAUUUCUUUUGUUCAAUUUUUCCUCUUUGCAAUCCUAUGCAUGUAGUUCAGUCUUUAUUGUGUGCAAUCCUAUGCAUGUAGUUUCUCAUAACAUAUUGGUAAGUGGACUUUGCAAGGCCAAAAGAGUUUCAAAAGCCAAAUCUCUUUUGGAUGAGAUGGUGAUGAAGGGUCUUGUUCCCUCAGUUGUAACCUACAAUCUGUUGAUAGAUGGAUGGUGUAAAAUAGUUAUGUUGAUAAAGUGAUACUUUGCCUCUCCAGGAUGUUUAGUGAAGACAGAGAACCAAAUGUGAUUACCUACACAACAUUAAUAGACCGGUUGCUCAAUGCUGGAAGGGUCGAUGAUGCUGUUGUGCUUUGGAACAAUAUAUUUUGAUGCGUAUUCAUGUGCUGUGAUUGAAUUUUUUGCCUUCUGGGACAACGCAAUUUUACCAAUCAAUUUGGUUUUUCUUGAAAUUAAAUAAUCACUGUGAUUUCAUGGGAAUUCAAACAAAUCUCUUGAAAUUCAUGAAUAAACUCUUUGAAAUUCUCUAAGCCCAUGCAAAGAGUUCUCUCACAAUUCAUGUGAAUUCUAUGAAACUUUAACUCAAAAUCCCUAGAAAGUGAUUUUUUUUUUCUCUCAAAUUCUCUCAAAUUCCAUGGAAUUAGAUUCUCUGAAACUCUCUCAAAAUUCCAAUUGAAUACCCACCCUUAAUAAAAAGGACUUCAACUUUAAUGAAAAAAAUAAAAGUUUAAUAUAAUAAAUGGUUCUUAAAAUUUACCCUCACCAUCAAGAUGAUCCCUAAAAUUGAAAAUCAAUCGAUGUAGUUCCUAAAAAUAACUGUCGUAAAUCAAUGUGGUCCUUCUGUUACAAUUCUGUCAAAAUUUCAGUUAAGUGCUGAUGUGGCACAUAAAUAGGCCCCACAAGAUUUAUUAGUUUUUAUCACAAAUAGUCCCUGAAAUUGACUCACACCAUCAAGAUGGUCCCUGAAAUUGAUCCAAACCAUCAAGAUGGUCCCUAAAAUUGAAAAUCGAUGAAUGUAGUCCUUGAAAAUAGGUGUCGCAAAUCAAUAUGAUCAUUCCGUUAUAAUUUUGUAAAAAAAAAAAAAAAUUGUUAUGUGCUGAUGUGGGUUUAAUAAUUAAUUAAAAAAGUUGUCUAAAUGCCUUUUUACACAAUAGAAUUUUUUUUCUUAUAGUAGGACCUACUCCAAAGAGGGAUCCCUUUCAUAAAUUCUCAAAAGCACAAGGCUUAACCAAGGCCUAAGAGGUUUGGAAAUAGUUUUCAAUCAACAAUAGACGCAUCUCGGUUACAACCUCAUUAUCUCAAGGCAAACCUCGUCAUUCUUUGAGUCACCAAACCACCAAGGAAGUCCCGAACAACCUUUCUAAGAUUAAGGUUGUGAGAAUGUUGAUCGCCUAAAUGUUAAUGGUGAUGUCCCAGAAGUCAUUGCCAAUCAGCCAAACUAUCACCAAAGGUGAUCUCGAUCUAGGUUCAAUUCGGUAAAAGGUGUCAAAGUGUAUAAAGAUGGGUGUAUUAAGAAUUUUUUUAGAUGUUAGACAACGAAGGAGGUAGAGGAAUGUGGAUUGGGAUCAAAUGUGAUUGCAUGACUGAGUUUUUGGGUUCACAACUCCUUAUAAACUAUUAAAUUAUUAAACCUAUUUGUAAUUUUUUUUAUAAUUUAAUUAGACUUGUGUGAUCCAUUUAUGUGUCACAUCAGCACAUAACAAAAUUUUUGACAUAUUAUGACAAAUGACUACAUUGAUUUGAGCUCUUGUAGGACUACAUUGAUCAAUUUUCAAUUUCAGAUAUCAUUUUGAUGUCGCGAGUCAAUUUCAAUGACCAUUUGUGAGAAAAAAAAAUGACAUAUGAGACUCAUUUAUGUAUCACUUCAGCACUUAAUAUAAUUUUUAACAUAAUUGUGACGGAAAGACUACAUGGAUUUGCAACACCUAUUUUCAUGGACUACAUUUAUUGAUUUUCAAUUUCAAGGACUAUCUUGAUGGUGAUGAUCAAUUUCAGAGACCAUUUGUGAUAAAAACCAUAUAAUAAAAAAUAAAAUAAAAUAAGUAAUAGAAAACUAACGUGUAGGAUCUCGUGCAUCCAUUACACACACACUCUCAUCCCUCCCGCACUAUUUAUGAAACUGACUAUUUUUAAAACUGAUUGUUUCUAAAACUGAACAUCGGUAUUCCAUUAUUUCUUAAAUUAAAUACUGCAUAUUUCUGAAAACUGAACCCGAGUACUAUCACCUAUUUCUUAAACUGAGCAUUGAUAUUAUCACUAUUUCUUAAACAGAACAUUGACUAUUUCUGAAAUUAAACAUGGGUAAUACACUAUUUAUAAAUUAAACACGGAUGAUUCUAAAAUCUCAUAUGUUCUUAGCACUGACACUUCCUCUAUUUGAUUGUCCAUGAAAGACAAUAAAAGUCCUCAUUAUCAACUUCAUCUUUAUAUUGUACAUGUGCAGAACUUGCUCUCCACAACUGCGUAAACUUAAACGGCCGACACUUGUAUUUCGACUAACUGAAUCAUUCAUGUAAGAAGAAGACCAUUAAAUUUUUAGUCAUAUAUUGACGUCGUAUGCAUAUAUAAUUAUAUUUUGUCAAGGUUGCAUGAUCAAAUGGCGGCCACUUUUUUUAAUUUCCCAUCUGGAGCUGACUAAGCCUUUGAGAGUGCGUUUAUUGCACCGAACUGUCUCGAACUGGACUAGUUACAAGGACUAAGCUAGAUUGGCUUAGACCAGACUAAGCUGGACUGAUUUAGUAAAACGUUUGGUAAAGUGUCAGACUAAAAAAAAUAUGAUUCUAAUAUUAUAUUAUUUAAUCUAUAUCGAUAAUAUUUUAUUAUUAAUUUAAUCUAUACUACUAAUAUUUAUUAUUAGUUUAUCAUUUUUCGUUUUCUAGAAUCAUCUUCUAGACUUCCUCUAUCCAAACCUAUCAUCUUUUACUCCGCCCACUUCCUCUAUCUAAACCUCCCAAAUACCCCACAGAACUAUAUUCGAAAUUUCUAAUAAAUCAAACCCUUGAAUCAAAACCCAAAAUCCUAGAACCCUCAAAUCAUAACCCAAAACCUUGAAGAAAAAAAUCAAAUCCUUCACUCAGAAAACUCUAUUCGCCAUGGCCGUCGCCUGUCAACCUCUCCACCUUUGUCUUCCAGCGAGGGCCCAUGCGGAUCAAAGGUGAAUCAAAGGAUGGUGAGACAGUGGUGAUGAUUCUGGGGUCUUGUUCAAAUGAGAUGACGACGAGAGAUUGGGUUUUCCGGUUGAGGUUUGGGGCGAUGAGAGAGUGGUGGUGGUCUGGUGGCGAUCUCGCCAAAGUUGGUGAGUGUAACCAAUGGUAACUCUCGGUGUUCGUGAGAACAAAGAGUAGAUAAAGGACGCGAUGCGAAGGAAAGGAAAGGAAGGUCUUAGCAAUCCCAUGGGUAUUGGGGUGUCUCGCUAAGAUCUCCUAGCGAAGGAGUUUAUCCGUGCGAGUCCCCUUUAGUCCCAUUAAACAUAAUCCCGGUACUAAACAAACAGAGGACUAGACUAAUAAUAGUUAGUCCAGACUAGUCCAGUAAUGCUUAGUAAGGGCAAACAAAUACCAUAGAAUUCUUUUGACUGUGGAGGGCCUACAUAAACUCAUAUUUUAUUAAAUUAUUAAAGAGAAGAAUGCAGAGUCUGCACAUGCAUUCACAUAUUAUAUACAAUUGUGGGCGCAUUGGACGCGCUUUCUUUGAUUUUUUUUUUUCUUCUUUCUCGUGUCCUUAUUAUUUAAUAAAAUUAUUAAAUAAUUUUAUUAUUAAAAUGUAAAAUUUUGAAGCCUUUUUCAAUAGCUUUCCCGCAUAUAAAAGAAUAUAAAACGAAUGCAAACAAGCCGAAUGAGAAGGGAUGUGAUAUCCACACCCUUUUUUACUUCUCCCACACCUUUUUAGUUUUCUGCCGUCGGAUCGAAUGAAUUAAAGAAGAUCAACGGACAGAAAUUAACAAGGGUGUGUGAGAAGUAAAUAGGGGUGUGUGGAUAGCACACCCCGAUGAGAAUAUACAUAUCUGAAUUCUUGUUUUCUUUAAUCUUUUUUUCUUUUUCUUUUUUUUUUCUUUUUUAUUUUUCCCUAUUUUAUUCCCUUUGAUGGUACAUUAUUUAACAUGGUAGACCGAAAAAACAGUCUUUAACGCAAAAGAAAAAGGUCAGGGGAAUACUGUACAUUGAGAUGGCGAUGGGGUGGUUAAUGAUCUGCCAUAUAAUGCAAUUGCAUUAGACUGAAUUACUUCCGACCCAACCUCGCCAAAUGCUGCUGAUGUUUCUCUGCAGCUGCCUUAUCAGCCGCUUCCCGUUUGAGUGCCCGCUUUGCCCGUCUCCCGGUUUUAUCCACUGCAGCCUCUUUCUUCCUAGGCUCACCAGACGAACUAGCACCCGGGUCCUGUAUGUUUGAUCUGCGUACAGGCCUUGCUUCUUGACGCCCACCCCUCACGUAUCCAUUAUCUCCCCAUCUUCGAUUACCAAUCCGGAUAACCGAUGAACUACUGAAGUAAGCGUCAUCUAGAUCAUCAUCCUCUUCAUCCUCAUAGGGAUAGCAAUAAUAAUCCUCAUGGCCUUCAUACACAUCUUCACGCUCCUCCACAACUAACGGCUCAAACCAUUUGGCUCUAAGGAGUAGGCAGACACUCUCCUCGAACAUGUAAUCUUGUAUGCUGUCAGAGCAUGAAAAUGUGAAGGGUAGUGUAACUAAGACAAGAGAUGCUUUCUUUUCUUAGGCAAGUCAAAAACAGCUUCCUACUGGGAGGUUCUCUCGUAAGUCAUAACCAAGUUUCUCCCUAUCUAAAUAUGCACAUAAAGGGAAACAAGAGGACUUUAGAUACCUGCCAUCAAGGGAACGAUGGACAUUCAGGAAUUCAAAUGGAUGUUUACACUGAGGGCAGGUGGGUUUUUGGCUGUAUGUCACCCAACGAAGAAUACAGGUUGCGCUGCACAUUAGGAAAAUGAAAAAUUAUGAAUCCGACAGCCCAAAGACUUGAUAAAACAUAAAUAGAGUCUGUGAAGCUUUCAUCCUAUUUUAUUCUUCAUGCGACUGUACAUAGUACGAGAAAAGACUAAUCGUUUGACUAAAGCCUGCGUUCCAAAAGGUUCAGAGUAGCGAUAAAUCUAGUGUUCUGAGUUCUCAAAGGUCAACAAGCACAUAAAAGUUUACAUGUGGAGGUGGAUAUAGAUAGCAAGAGAAAUGGAUACAACAACAACAACAACAAAGCCUUUUCCCACUAAGUGGGGUCGGCUAUAUAGCAAGAGAAAUGGAUAUAGAAACAAAAUAAGGAACACAGAAAUGUAUGAAGCAAAUAAAUACCAGAUUAUUAUCCUAGUUCUGAAUAAGAAAAACUUAUAAAACAGGGUAAUGUGAGAUAUUCAGAUUACUAUACUCAGGACCGGGGAAAAAAGGAAAGCGAUGAAAGAACACAGAUGACAUAAAUCAAAAGAUUGACUGCUCAUACGAGCACUCAUUCUCAAUAUCAUUCAAGACUACAACCUAAAAAGCACCUCCACCAUAGCUCAUAAACAACAUCAAGACUGGAAACCACAAGAGCAUAUAGAGCGUAUCUCACUAACAUACAAACAUGCAAAAACAGAAAACUAAGCACCCGUUUGAUUAAAGUUCUUGCAGUAAAAGAGAAAUGUUGGAUAUAAGUCAACAAUAUGUGAUAAUUUAUAUAUGCUAAUAAAUAAUAAAUGCAAUAGAAACUAACAAAAUAUAAACUAGAAUAUGAAUUAUAAAACAGACAACUUGAAGAUCGAGGUUUGCGUACCGCAACGUCCUUGAAACAGAAAUUUCGUCCCUACUCUGUGCUUGUAGUUCUACGGACGUCUGCUUCACCAGGAUUCAACGAUCAAGUUAAAAUUCCAGCACCGGAAAAUUUAACUUCUGGCGAAUUUAGUGUGGUUCUCUCAGUAAGAAGGUUUAUGAAUGUAGAAGAUGAAGUUUAUUAUUUCUGUGUUCUAAAUGCUAUGCAGAUGUAUGUAUAUAUAGUAGAUAGAUGCAUGUUUGCAACAGGUAUGAGAAUGGGGUGUGACUGUUGGGAGACAUCUCUUCAGAAGGGUGCUUUGCUCUGUGUUCAGAAAGAACUCUCAGACUUCAUCUGAAAGGAUGAGUCUUUUCAUAAAAAAAUAAUUAAUUAAUUAAAUUCGAAUUUAAUUAAAAAAUAAUUAAGUAAAUCCGAAAAAUAAUUAAUUAAAUAUUAAUUACCAAUUAAUUAUUACACCCCAAAGCCCAACCCCAAGGGUGAGCCCAAUUUUAGUCUCCAGGCCUCCAAUCACUUUCUUUAAAGGACAAAACCUUAUAAAGUGAUAAAAUCUUUUGGGAAUGGCCAAUGUGGGACAAGGAAAUUUCUACUCAAACUACUCAAAUUUCCAACAAGAAAUGCAAACUUUAUGGUUCUGAAGUGCAGAUUAAACCAGAGUUCCGGUGUUCAAAGGGUGGUUAACACAAGAGAAUGAUACGAAGAAAUCAAAUUAACUCAAGCAUCAACUGGCAUGGAAAAGACUCAUCUCAAAGUGCAAUGCCAAAGUAAAUGAGGUUUAUCUAGCUACUCCAAAACAAUUGACAAACAAAUAUAAAACAGUUCAUAAUUACCGUUCAACGAAAAAACUUUCACAAAAAAUUUUGCAAUAAAAGGAUAAUGCAUGCAUUAUGAUACUUAAGCGCAGAUAGAAACAAAGUCCAAGUGUUAAAAGUGUGGUAAAUGUAGAGAAUAUGAUAUGAAGCAAACAAAUUGCUUUGCAUUAAGUGGCUUGGGACAAAUUUAGUAAACACAAGCAACCUGAUAAGUAAAAGUUAGAGCAUGGUCUCAAAAUGUGAUACAGAAUCUAUGGAAUUUAUCUAGUUAAACAUAAAGAAAAUGACCAAAUGUGUCAAGACAACAAUAAAAUCCACUCAGAACAUGAGAAUGAGCCGCUAAUAUUCUAUGGGAAAUUCAUCUUCAUUAAUAAAAUCAAUAAAUCAUCAACAGAUGUGAAAAUUUCAAACAUAAAUUUUUAUCUUGAAUGUCUUUAAAGGUCGUACCCAGUGCUCAAGGCUCCCGCUUUACGCAGGGUCUGGGAGAGGUGAAUGUCGGCUAGCCUUACCCCCAUUUAUGGAGAGGCUGCUCCCAAGUCUCGAACACGAGACCUACCGCUCAUGGGCGAAGGCACUUGCCAUCGCACCAAGUGCGACCUCUUAUCUUGAAUGUCUUUACAGCAUUUAAAACUAAGUCAUGCAUAUGUCAAUGGUAGAAGUAAAUAUACAUCCACUAAUUUCAACGUCUUUCCAUUUCUGGUCAAAACAUCUAAAAAACUUAUUUCAUCAGUUCAUAAAUCUCAUGCUUACCAACCUCUUAUCAAUACAUCACUAUGAUCUAAUAUUUCAAUAAUUAUACAAAAAAAGAGCUAUACAUGUAUACCAAUCAGUUUUUAACUAAAGGAAACCUUUUAUGUUCCCGUCUUCUGUCCUUUUACAUGUUAACCUACAAACUUGUAUUGGCAAGCACCUUAAACACAUUGCUUUUAGCCUUGCCCUACAGUACAGCAGGUGCUAAUUGAUUUCGUUGUGUUUUCUCAGAUCACAAGUGCUCCAGGAAAGCACCUUUACCAAUAUUACUCACAAAACUCUUGAAGACCAUGAACUAUCAUACCACUAGAGACUACAAAUUAUUGUAUGAAAUGUUUAUGGUAAUCACUGAACUGUGAAAUGCCAGAAGCCUGGCAUGCCCAGCCUACCCCAUACAAAAACAAACCCAAGUAGCCCUUUUAAGAAAACUGAAUCAAGGGAUACACAUAUCGUGAACGAGGCUAUUGAGUUAUAAUCACCAAAGAUGUACAACGCCAAAACCAAAUGAUUAAACGACUAAAGCAGCAUUACAAAUACAGAAAACAGUUCCAGCGUCAAAUGCAUAAAUCAGAACUACGGUACAAAGAACAACAUAGCAAAGCAAUACUUCAAAAUUCCGGAAAAGCGGAAGCGUAAAUAGAAAGAUAAAGAGACUGAUAAGACAAACCAGUAGGCAUGCUCGCAACCUUUUACCAGAGCGGUGUCUUGAAGCACAAUCUCAUCCAAGCAUACUGCACAAACUCCAUCAUGAUUCCCACAUUUCUUUUCAACAUUUUCCUCUUUGCUCUGCAUUUCCCCCUGAAAUUUUUGAAAUCCCCAAAUUUAACAAACAAAAAAAAAAACCCAAAAUUCCAAACAAGCUGGAAACAUUGCCAAAGCUUUCCAAUCAGAUAUUCCAUUUCAAAAAUAUUAACAUUUGGCAACCUAGAAAAUGCAUGAAAACAUACAAGUACAGAAAUUCCAAUUCGACCCCAACAAAAUUUGCAUUGACCAGUUUCAGAUUCUAGGUGACCAGCAUCAGGGUUACGAUAAAAAUAAAUCGAUCGGAAAAUGAAGUUAGAUCUGGCCAGAAGAAGUACCUGAUCGUGAUGAUGUUGCAGGGUGGAUAAAUCGGUAAGAUCAUCGGUGAGUAGCUGAUCAUGACCGUCCAUGUUGAUGACUGAAGUCAUGGUGAUUAGAAUUGAUGAAUAGUUGUUCUGGUGAUCUAGCUUAAUUUCUAUGCUGCCUGAAAAAAUGAAGAAAUUGUAUAUAUACAGAUGUAUAUAUGAUAUUAAGUAGACGCUGGAGAAUUAUUCUGAUUCUUCUAUCCUACAUGGUAUAUACUACUACAGGGAAGAGGUUAGAGAGAGAGAGGGAGAGAGAGAUAGAGAGAGAGAGGGAGGCCCUCUUUUGGGGAUGAAAAGCCCUAGGAACAACAAGACGAGAGGGAGAAGGUUGUGGAUGGCAUAAAGAGAUAUUGGGAACCCAAAAGAAAUUGGGUCGGAUUAAGAUUGACACGUUCCCGUCUAGUCAUUAUUCACGCGGGCAUUAAUUGUUGUUUAAAUAGAAAGCUUAACAUAGUUAUAAAACUAUCUUGAAAUUAUCAUUUAGGUAUUAGACUGGGAUAAAAGAAAAAUUGAUAUGUCAAAGGUUGAAAACUAAAAAAUUCAGGAUAAUAAAUUGAGAUUUACUUAAUUUUUAAUUUUUUUAAUAUUUAACUUUUAACUUUUUAAUUUUUUUCAUGUCCACGUGGCGCUAGAUUGAGACAUGAUACCUAAUAAUCGUCCACAUGGAGGUCACAUUAUCGAUUAAUAAAGGUUCUAGUAAAAAAACUCAACGGAUGUCCCUAGAUUAUAACUUGAGGUUCCAGACUGGGACAAAAAUAAUUUGUUGUAUAAAAUGUUGAAAAUAAAGAAAUUUUGGAAUAUUAAAUUGAGGAUAAUCCAAAAUAAAUAACAAUAAAAAUAAAACACAAAAAAUAAAAAAUCAAUGUUCUAAUGUUUUAGGAGCGUGGACAUCUGGUGAAAGUUAGGCCAUCUCCAAUUGACCUAAUCAAAGGGCCAUAUGGCUAAAAAUAGGUUGGAAUGACACGAAAACUCUCCAACUAAGGGCUAGGCCAAAGGGCUUGUGGGCCCCAUCGGGCCAAAAUCCCAAAUCAGGCCAAUGGGCUGGCCAUUUCCAGUCAGCCAGCCUUCUAGCGUCAGAAUGUCAAGCUUGACUUUGUGGCAGGUGCAACAAUACCACACUUUCUUCGUUAUUAUGGCAAGUGGCACUCAAAAUAUAUCCGAAAAUCUUAUUUUAAUAUGGUAGUUUAAUUUAAUCAACCAUAUUAAUUCAAUUAAAAUAAUAAAUUAUUGAGGAGAUUAUGUUUGGCCUAUGGCCCUUUGGCCCUCUCGGUUGGAGAUAGAUUUUUUUAUCAAGGGGCUAUGUUUGACCUAUAACCCUUUGGCCCCUUUGAUUGGAAAUGGUAUAAAAUAUGGUAUGUCACUGUUCAUUAAAAUAUAAUUUCUUGCAGGUUUAUAGGGCUAAACAUGGCCCUUUGGCCAUCAUUCGGUUGAAGAUGGCCUUAGCUAACUGAUGGGCUUGUGAUCAAAUGUGGGAGUGUAUUAUUUUUACAUGUUUUUCCUUUCGUUUAUACUUUUCAACUUUUUCUUUAAACCUUAUCGUUUAUGUUUUCGAUCAUUCUUCUCAUCAUGCAAUGUAUCAUCGAAAUAUAAAAUAAGAAAUGUAUGAUCGAAAUUGUUUAUUCCUCAUAAAAUAAGAAAUUAAAAUGAUAAAACGAAAAAAAAAAUUUAAAAUAAAAAAAAAGUUGCUAGCAUUCUUUUAAUUUGUGAAAGCGUAGCUACCAAAAAUAUAUUCCAAAUUGAUUUAGGAACAAAAUAUUCACAACAUGUAAAGUUAGCCGUCUAAAUUUGACUAGUUGUUAUAGAUCAAUUCACAAUUGCAUUCCUUUAUUUAACUAUAUAUUUUAGGGAACUUUCAUGAAAAUGGCAUAGGUAAAGUUUAUUUUAACCAAAAACUAUGCUAUAACUUUAUUUAAUGAAAAAGACUUAAAUUUUAAUGAAAAACUCUUAAGUUUUAAUAAAAAUAACAAAAGAACUUAAACUUUAAUGAAAAAAGACAUAAUUUUAAUAUUCAAAAAAAUUAAAAAAAAAAAAAACAAACGCGUUGGACCCGCACCUCCUCACACAUACUGUUUAUGAAACUUAACGGUACUACACUGUUUAUAUAAAUUUACUAAACUGUUUAUGAAACUUAUUACCCUGUUCAUGAAAUGUACUACACUAUUUGAAACUUACUACACUAUUUAUGAAACUCACUACACUGUUUAUGAAACUUAACGUACUACAUUGUUUAUAAAACCUUGAGAAGAUUAUGUCUUUAGUAAUUAUAUUUAAAAAUUUGUUUUCAAUUACCAAAUUAAAAUUCCCUACAUACCUACAAUAAUUAAAUGUAGCUCCCCAUCCAAUUUCUUUAGCUUGGGUGUUAUCUUGGAGAAAUUUUUCCUUAUGCCUGUAACACAAGUGGUACACCACGUGUUAUUAUGUAAGUAGUGGGAAAUUUUAUUUUUUAUGUUAUUUAUUUUUAACACAAGAAUCUCACCAUUUGUAUAGAAACACAUGGUGUACCACCCCUUGUUCCGGAUACAUUGAAAAAUCUCUCGUCAUCUUAACUACUAUUAGAAAACAACACCACCAAAAUAAAACUAGGAAAUAUAAUUCAAUUUGAAGUAUUUCUCUUAUUCUAAGCAAAAUAAAUAUAUAAAAAAAUAAAAAAUAUCUCUCAAUGAUAGCUGACAACGGGGAGAAAAAAAAAGUGGAAAAGGGGGAGGGAGUGGAGUGGGGUGGGGUGGGGUGGGGUGGGGGAUACCCGCGAUCAGCGCAUGUGGUGUUUUUUUAUGUUUUUUUUAAUUUUUGUCUUUAUCAUUAAAUAAAGUUAGUAGAUGGUUUUGAAUUAAAAUGUAAAGAUUUGAAGCUCAUUUGAUUAGUUUUCCUUAUAUUUUACCCUUGACUAUAAUACAGAACUAGCAGAGAGCACACACUUUGUGUGUGUAAACAAUUUCUCUUCAUAAGUGCAUGUUUUGUUUAAUAUUACAUAAUUACUGUUUUGUCCUCCUUAUGUAAAUAUUGUGUAUCAAAAGUGAGGGUAAAAUUCGAAAAAUAAGUAUAAAAAGAGGGUAAAAUAAGAAAAAUAAGGAUAUGAUUGUCAUUUUGUCAAAAGAUACAAAAUUACUAUUUUGCUCUUCUCAUGUCAACAUUGUGUAUUCAAAAGUGAGGAUAAAUUUGAAAAAAAAUGGGAAAAAAAUUUGACAAGGGCUCUUCUCAUAAUAGAAUAGAAUAGAUUAAAUAAUAAAGAUAUAACUGGUAAAGAACCUAACGUUAGUAGAGGACAUGUACUGCAAUUUUGGAAUCUCCUUCGAUUGUCAAACAAAAGUAACUCAUGGGUCAGCGCCCAAUGUAAAAGCCUAUCCAAAGUACAUUUCGCUUAGGUAGAGCGAUAAUUUUAGUAGAUUAAAUAGUUAGUUAUAAAAUUUAAAAGCAUAGCUACUAUAGGACUAAAUUUUACAAUGGGUUAACCAUAUUAAUUUGAUUCAAAUUCACUUUUGAUGAGAAUUGCACAUAAAACCUCUCAAUUACAAACGAGGAAUAACAUAACCAUAUAAGUGCUAAGUGGUAUUGGCCAACAUUGGGCUUUCUCCAAUUACAAUUAGAAUUCCCUCAGGAAGGAAAACUGAAUUAGAAUUCCUACUUUGGGCUUUCUUCGAAGAUUUAAAACAACCAAGCAUCCCACAUUGGGCUUUCUACCAAGCAUCUCAAUUGGACAAAUCCCAAGCUACUAACUCACCAAAUGGACCAAUCGACUCUGUGUGCAAUUUUGAGGUUUAAUUACAUCCCUAGGUACUAAAGAAGCCCAACAAUCUAGUAAGUACCUAUAUUUUCUACCAAUUUUUUUUUUUUUUAAUACUCAUUGAUAAAAGUAUGAUUUCUAAGAUACUUGGUUGAGAAAAAGAAGAGGGGGGAGGGGGAUGUGUGUUUCCAUCACUUGCUUCCCUCAAAUCUUGUCCCAUCACUCUCACACAUAACUGUAAUGCAAGGGUGGCACUCAUACAUUCACACAUGAAUGAGGGCUCACUACCUAUAAACUUAGACAGGGACCAUCCUUGUUAGCUACAAACUUUUUAAACGGCUUAUACCAUCUCCAAAAGAGACGGAAGAAAAUGAAUUGAAAUUUUGAACAUAAAAUAAAAAUUCAUCAUCACUUCUACGUGAUAGAUUUUUCAUUCAAAUCUCGUAAACGAAGAGUUUAAUAUUAAAUUAUUAUUGUUGAUUUGUUAUGUGACUAAAGUGAUCAAACUUGGCUUAGUAUUGAUCCUGACAAUUUAGUAAAACCUAAUUCAAGGAAGAUUAUGAAUAUGUUGUCACGGCCCAGCUGACAAGGCGAAGCUCAACCAGACAUGUUGCCUAAUGUGGCCCAUGGCCUCCCUUAGCAUACGAGGCAGUAGAAGCCUAUAGGAAAAUGACCUAAUCCCUCGGGGACUUUCUUCAUCUGAAACCUGUUAGCGAGCUCUUAACUAUAAGGUUUUCCUUGGUGUAAAAACAAAUGAUCAAAUAUGAUAAAAAAAAAAUUACAAACCGUCUAUUUAUUUGCUACAGUCGAUUGAUUAACUGAUUUUAUUUUUUAUUUUUUACAAAUUUUUUUUUUUACGGAGUGACUUUUUAACCUAUAUUUUUAUAUUUGAGUAUAAAGUGUUAGAAACCUCUCUUGAUUAUGAGUCGGGUUAGUUAUUAAUGAGCUCGAGUCGUACUGUGGAUAGGCCUAUUAGCGUAGGAGUUACUCACAUAAGCUUUUGGUUACCUUUUUCUAUUGUUUCCACAUUGGCUUAGGUUUAGGUGAGUGUAAUGCACCAUGAAUUUAAUUCGUAUUACACUGUUAUUCCAAUGGUGAGAAUUUGAUACGAGUGAGUUUUUAAAUGUUCAAUGUGAGAUCCCUUACUUUUUCAUUUCCUCGAUUUUACGGUUUGUUACCUUUUUUUCUCUCUUGUUAUUUAUUGUAUAUGAUGAGUUCAAACUCAAAAAUAAGAAUCACUCUUAUAUCAUUCAAAUUUUCCAACCCACUAGAACAGUUUGAUUUUUAUAUUAUUAGUAUCACACUCAAUUUUCCGGCCAAUUAUAGUAGGCCUAAGGCCGAUAAGCUGCUGCUAGUUAGGACCAUGAAAAAAAAAACUGAUGUUGAUGCACAAAACCGGAGGUCUUAGAACAACGUAAAUCCGACCGUGAAUCUGCAAAAUAUGUAAAUAACACAAGAUGUAUCGUGGUUCACCCCAAUGUUUGGGCUACGUCCACACUGAUUAUUGUAUUUGAGAAGUGAGGGGAGUGAGGGAGAGAGAUUCAGAGCCUCUGAGGGAGAGAGUGAGACCUCUGAUGGCCUAGGAAUUGGCCUCCCUAAUUGUGAGGGUGAAGAGUCCUUUUAUAGAAUAAGGGAUUCUCACUUAUUACAUAUUUGCCCUUUCCUUUAUUGCAUAAUUACAUUUAAGUCCCCCGAGUAUUUGUACGAGAUUUAAAUACGGAGGCCCAAAGUAUCGUACAAAUAGUAGUCCCCCAAGUCUUCAGUCAAGAGAGUCUUUUGGUUGGAGACUUGAAAUUCAGUCCAUGUGUGGGCCGAAGUAGCUAGAUGUUGUCUUGAACUGAUGCUCGAUAUGAGGCGGUGCUCAAUCUGAAAUGAUGCUCAACUAGAAGUAGCACAUGCUGCGAGGCUGCUCGGCCUGUGGCUUACGUUGCCUUGGUUGGCUCGGCUUGUGGCGUUUGAAGGUGAGGGAGUCCUUUCUAUAGAAUAAGGGCUUGCUCCUCAAUACAUGAACGAUCGGCUAGAAUUGAUGCUCUCUAAUGAUGGUGAGGGAGUCCCUUUUAUAGAAUAAUGGCUCGCUCCUUAAUACAUAAAUAAUGGGCUAGAGUCCCCCAAGUAUUUUUCAUGAGGCUCAGUCGAGGCCCAAUAUAUGGUGUAUAGUGUGGUCCCCCAAGUCUUUGGUCAAUAGAGUAUGUUAGCUGGAGACUUCAACUUGAAUCCAUGUAUGGGCCGAAGUGGCGGUUGUUAGGAUGCGGUAUUUGUAUACCCUGUACUGAAGCUUUAUAGGUGAAGCUUUGCAAGUGAAGCUUUGAAGCUGGAGCUCUGUAAAUGAAGCUUUUGAAGCUAUAGCUUUUGUAAAUGAAAGCUUUUGAAGCUAGAGCUCUAUAAAUUGAGCUUUUGAAGCUAGAGCUUUUGUAAAUAAAGUUUUUGAAGCUAGAGCUCUGUAAAUGAAGCUUUUGAAGCUAGAGCUUUUGUAAAUAAAGCUUUUGAAGCUGGAGCUCUGUAAAUGAAGCUUUUGAAGCUAGAGCUUUUGUAAAUGAAGCUUUUGAAGCUGAUUGACAUGAGUGAUGCUCAUGGAUGUUAACAUGAGUGAUGCUUAUGAAUGUUGAAUGAUGGUUAUGAAUGUUUAUGUAUGAUUGACAUGAAUGAUGCUCAUGAAUGUUUAUGUAUGAUUGACAUGAGUGAUGCUCAUGUAUAAUUUUGAUGUACUGGACGUACUUUUGAUCACCUAGUGGGUGAUAAUAGCGGCAGGUUGCCGAAUAAUUGUGGAGUACUGGGCGUACUUUUGAUCACCUGGUUGGUGGUAAUAGCGGUAGGUUGCCGAAUAAUUGUGGAGUACUGGACGUACUUUUGAUCACCUGGUUGGUGACAUUGUAGCCCAUUAUUUUGGGCUUGCCCUUUUUUUUUUUUACCCUUUGAUGGGGUUUAUACAGAUGUCUUCGAAAGAUAAUAAAAAUAAAUUACAUCAUUCAAAAAUAAAUUCGACCAUCUGCUCAAUGGGUCACACCCAUAAUGCUAUCACCAUCGCAAUUAUGUCUGCUUCUUUUUAUCUUCUUUUGCUUUCUGCUUGCUUUUGCUUUUGUGGGAGUGGUUGAUAUGUCUGAGGGAUAAUGCAUGCUUUUCCUUUUCAUCUGCAGACAUACUCACAUGCAGCCUUUCUUUUUCUUGUUUUUUCUUUUCACUUUCUGCUUUGCUAUUUUCUUUCUCUUUUUUCUGAAAUAUUCUUUAGUAACAUCAUCUUUUUCUUUUUCUAUUAUGUUUCCACUGCCUCUCUGAUUUCUUGAGUAUGGGGUCCUCUGACUUGAGCACGUUCUCACCAUUUUCGUUGUCGGUGGUGUUACCCUGCUCAUUCAAAACUUGACUAGACAGCAACAUAUCUGACUCAAACUCCCAUAGUGGGAAAGCAUUAGAAAGAUAAAAAAAAUACAUGGGGUCGGACACGUAAUGAUGAUAAUAGAAAUGGAGUCCUGUCCAUGCACUCGGGGUGGGACACGUAAUGAUGACAAAGUAAAAUUCUAGCGUAAAAAAAAAAGGAAUCUUAUCUCAGCGGCAAGUCAGUGCAGACAAAAGAGAAAGAGUUUGUGAGGAGCUUGAGGCCGUGCGUUUGGCUGACAGACUAGUUUCCGUUGAAGACGGAUAAGCUGCUGCCGUUACUGGACAUCUUGGCGAAGAAGGUGAAGGGCGUUAGGAGGAUGAGAGAGUUGCUCACCACCAAGUUCCCGCCAAGGACUUUUUCGGUUAAGGUGGCAAUACCGGUGGUCCCCACGGUGAGAGUGGUGAUAACAUUCACAAAGUUCGUUGAGCUUCUGCCAACUGAGCAAUUAUUCACUCAAAUGUCAAGCCCCAGAUAAUUUCUUCAUGAAAGGCGAGGCCAAUAAGAGGAGGAACACAAAUCCAAGCCACAAAAACCAUCCUUCUUUUUGUCGUCGUCGUCGUGGCUGAGGCGGAGCAGUAGCCAGUCAGGGUCUUCCGUGAGCAAGCAAAACCACCACCAACACUGUGCUCCCCCGGCAGUGUCUGCAGCGCAAGACUCUUUUGACCCUUUUGCCAUUCCUAGCUGUUAUACGUGGACGAGCAUCGAGGACAAGUCUUGCAAACUCAGCGGCAAGUCCAUCAUUUUGUCAGCUGCAAAGGUCUUGAGCUGCUCAAGAACGGAGAUAUUGGAAGCGACGAAUUGAACCGCGGCAGCAGAAGCAUCGGAAUAAACAGCCACCUCGCACCUCACUUCUCUUUGAAUUUAGAGCUUUCGGCUCCUAAUGGGCCUCACAGAACCUAGGAAUUGCUAGAGGUCCCGGACGACAUGGUUGCAGACGACGAUGAAGAUCUCGCUAAAGGGUCUUUGCAUAGUGAUUUCCCGCUCCAGCAUGAGCUCUCUCCUCACCUUCGUUUCAAGAGCCCGCCUUCGUGCAAUCAAACCCCGUAAUAAUCUCCUCCCUGAUCCUCUCAUUCUCUAGCUGGUGCUCGAUCAUCUCGUUGUGACGGACCUCAGGUUGUGGAGCGGGUCGGAGACGAUGACAAAGCAAGCGCUGGCGUCUUCGAUGAGCUUGGCUUGCUUGAUGAUGUUAACUUCGAUAAUGGCACCGCUGUGAGGAGAUUUGGAGAUUUGGUUCCUGACUGAAGUUGUACUGCAGCGCGGCCAUGGCUGGUUCAGAGAGAGUUUGCGAGGGUCGGGUGACUGCAGUGAUGACGUAGACCAUGGUUUUUCGUGUCGUUUCCUACAGACGGCGCCAAAUGUUGAUGCACAAAACCGGAGGUCUUGGAAUAACAUAAAUCCGACCGUGAAUCUGCAAGAUAUGUAAAUAACACAAGAUGUAUCGUGGUUCACCCCAAUGUUUGGGCUACGUCCACAUUGAUUAUUGUAUUUCUCUGAGAAGUGAGGGGAGUGAAGGGAGUGAGGGAGAGAGAUUCAGAGCCUCUGAGGGAGAGAGUGAGGCCUCUGAUAGCCUAGGAAUUAGCCUCCCCUAAUUGUGAGGGUGAGGAGUCCUUUUAUAGAAUAAGGGCUUCUCACUUAUUACAUAUUUGCCCCUUCCUUUAUUACAUAAUUACAUUUAAGUCCCCCGAGUAUUUGUACGAGAUCUAAAUACGGAGGCCCUAAGUAUGGUACAAACAACUGUAAUUGCGUUGUUUUCAAUUCUACAUUUUUCUUUCUUUGUUUGAAUUAGGAUACAAGGUUUUUAAAACAUUCUAAUUUAGAACCUAUGGUUAAAUUUUCUUCAUUCUAUCAAAGUUAAGGGUGGGCAUAUUUGGACCCUUUGAUUCAGACCGUAUUACCUGGUUCAAUGUAGAACUAUAUGGUUCUUACUUUUAGUUUUUAAAAUGAUUCGAGUUGAACCGUGCUUGUGUAAAAAUAAGUUCAAAACUGAGUCUAUAUUUUUCAUGUGCAGGUAACUCGUCCUGAAUCGUCCAAAUGUUGUCUUAGCACUUGUUAUUUUAUUAGUGGUCUACAAUGAAGUAUGUGAUCCAUAUUUCCAUAUCUAUUUAACCCUAAGAAGUAAAACAACGACCAAACUUCUUCAUUUAGAACAUUUGUUGGUAUUGGCUUUGUUCUACGUAAUUCUUUCAUAACGAAAAAACAUAGAGAUUAUUUUUUGUGGCAAUUUUGACAUUUGAGCACCUGAAAAAAUAGAGAAGUUGUGAGGACCUAAAUUAUGACAAACGUUUCAGAAUUCAAGGUGAUUAAUGAUCGCGUUCAGAGUUGUGCCACUUAGAGGAGAUGAAUGGUGAAAAGAAAGUAUUUAAUAGUACUCAUGUAGCAAAGGUGCGAGGACAAGCUACCUUCUAAUGUUUGUGUCUUGGAAGUUGAGAUUGCAUCAGUCGCAUUUAGGGGGGAUUUCUUGACGAUAUAGGUAAAAACAAAGUUUUCAAUUUCAAUUCCCAAAUCUUGAAAUCAGAUCGGAUUGGAAGACAAUUUUUAAUUCGAAAUGUUUAGAAUCAAAUAAUCAUGAAAAUUUUAGAAAAUAAUUCGGAUUUCAUAUAUUUUACAACUUUUUGAAUAUUAUCGAACUUUUUCAUCGAUGCAACUUAUUGAAUGCUCUUAUUAUUUGGUUAAUGCUUGUGUAUAAAUUCAUUUAAUUUUAAGGUAUACUAGUAUGCUUCUUCUUUUUAAUAGGCUUAUUAUUUGCAAUGCCCCCCGGAACUCAAAAUUAAUCCCACACCUCUUUCACCCUAAAAUUCAAUUUGUGCUCUACUUUGGCGGUAUUAUGUCAAAAUAGUGCCAAAUGUGACAACCCGUCCUUGAUUUUACGUUUUUAUUAGUUUCAAAAGCAUGAAUUGACGAAAAUGCCCUAGAGGCAAGGACUUUGACUUCCGUUGACCAUCGUCUAGAGAAACGUAUGACUUAUUCUAUUGGCCUUUUUGCGUAGUACUCGAUGGUACGAACUUAUAGGCGAAAGCUGUUUGCGAGUCCGGAUUAUAACGGUAUAGUUACAGACGUUUGAAAUAGGUUACUUACAUUUUAGAUUAAAAAUUAUUUGAACUCCCACCUUGUGGGAAAGAAGCCCAAUCAGUUUCAAGGAAAGAAAAUAGGGACCAAUCAGAUAAAACAAAAGAAAGCCUUCAGCCAAUCAUGAAAAAGGAAAAAAAAAAAAAAAAGAUUUCUCCCCCCAUUCCCGUCGACGCUUCUACCCACGUCAAACCAGUUUCGACCCAGUUCCAAAUCCGGUCAAUUUUCGUCAUUUUUCCGUCAAAUCACCAUCAUCCAACACCUGCAACCUCUCCCUCAAUCUUUCCUCUACCAUUUCCGCCCAAGAUCGAAGGGUUUUAGGUCCCAUUUCGUGUAGAACUCCAUCGGAGCACCGGAGGUGCUUGACGGCGAUUCCUUCAUUCCAGCGAGUUUCACCACCCACCACCACUCCUAAUCAACUCCCCUUGGACCUAGGAACAAGGUCCAACCAGUGAUAGGAGUGUUGGGACAUCGGAGAAGUCGAAUCGACGAACACCCAUUCUAGGGAUUCCGGCGGAAUCGUGGUGAUUUGAGGCUUUUUCUAGCCAAAUUGGACUUGGCCACAGGUAUAAAACUUGAUCUACUCAUUGAGGUCUUCAUUUAUGUGAAAUUUGAUAAUUUUUAGAAAUAGUUGAUUUUUCCAGGCGAGUUGGGGCGGCUGACCGUCGUGUGUGGCGGCGACGUGUGGGUCGAGACCCCACCUGCCCAUCCUAGGCUAAUUUGGAUGCCUUGAUUCCAUAUGUGAAGUCUGAUUAACGAAAUUCCAUUGUUUGGGUACAAUUUCGCUAAGGUCCGCCACUUGGUCAUUAUAUGAAUCGACGAUCUGACCGUUAGAUCGUCACCAAACUUUAGUAGGUUAUUAUUCAUAAUAUUUGAUAACCUUGGAAACUUAUGGAUCAGGAAUCCAAUGUAUGGAUCUUCCCAAAUUGGAUUUGUAAGUUCAUAAAAUAAAACGUUGACCGCCACUUGAAAUUGCAAUUCGCAGAGAUCUAACUGUUGGAUCGUAAUGAAACUUUAGUAUGAUGUUUUAGAAGCAUAAUGUGGAUCUUUGGAAGUAACGGAUUGGAAAUCCUAGGUGUUGAUCUUCCGGAUCGAGUUACAUAGGGUUGUGGACCUACCGUCGAUCUUUGACCGACGGUUGACUUUGGUCAAUGAGUUUCAAAUCAUUUUAGAACGUCCUUAGGGAUGUGUUUUAUGUAAGGUACGUGUCUUAUCAAUAAGAAUUCUGACAUGUGAUUUGAUAAUUGUUCUAGGCGCCGAUCAUUCGUGACGCUUCCAUAUUCGUGCUAGGGAGUUGUUGCGCGGAUCUCAGGUGAGUGAGUCUUUUCCUUUUUAUAGUAUAUAUAUGAUUGAAAGUUUCCACAAAUGCUUUUAAAUUGAUUUAUGCAUUUUAUGCCGUGUCUUAUAUAUAUAUAUAUAUAUGAAUACUAUGAUAUGGUUGAGUUUUAGAUUGCAUCAUGGCAUAUCCACAUGCAUAUUACUUGCAUAUAAUUGUUGUGAAUGCUUUGAAAUACUAAGGUGAACGCGGGACACGCAGGUAAGUCCAGGUAAGGUUAUGUGGUGGAUUGAAAUGGUUGAAUCAAUUUGGCAUGCAUAUGUUCAUAUAAUACUCAUCAUUGCUACACCCCGGUGUUAGUGCUCCUGCUCAAGGCUAGGGCACAACCUUCACGUGUAUGUUCUCUUCCAGUACCGCACGCUCGCCUUGGAUCCAAGUAGGUGCUAGCCUGUUGUACAGACUACAUUUGGCAGUUCUGACUCGUAGGUGACCCGCGCAUAGCGCCAACUUCACGUGAUCGUAGCACUAUAAUGUUUAUUAUUACACCUAGCAUAUUGUACAAGUCAUAUUAGGUGACUCCGACUCGUGUGUUAUCAUAGUCUGAUGAGCGAUAGGUGCAGUCGUACAGGUCACAUUAGGUGACUCCGACUGACAUGCUAGCAUAGAUUACUCAGCACAUGAUCAUAUCUAUAUUACUGUUGAGCUAUUCUGCUGUGGCAUAUUUUUGGACUUACAGUUAGCAUGCAUUUGAUUUUCAUACUUAUACUUAGUAUGAUAUUUUGAAAACUAUACAUGUUUUACGGAAAGGGGUUAUAACAUUUUCAAAAAGGUUUUUAUACAACUUUAUUUCAGGCCCACUCACCCUUGUUUUUCGACCCUCCAGGUUUUAGCUGCUGAACGGUUAUAUCGACGAGGACUCUUAGUGAAUCUCAGUAUUGGUGGCUACUUCUGAGGGUAUAAUCCUUAUCCACUAUAUUGUACUUUACUUAUGCUUUGACAACAAGUGUGAAAUGUGUUCAUUCUCGCUCACUAGUGUACUCUUAUAUUUAGGCACUUUUAGGUUUAAAUUUAUUCACAUUUUCCACAUCACUACACUUUAUGGCUUCAUCACUUUCCAAGUGUCGGCCAGCACAGCUCGAUUCGGAGUCCUAGUGGACAUAUCGGGUUGGGGUGUGUCACCAAAUGUGCUGAGAUAUAAGGUAUUACGGUCAUUUUGGCCUAAUUGACAAUGUUUGACCACCAAAGUUGUCAGAACAUCCAACCAGAAGAUGCCAUGUGGUUCAUUUCUAUGUCUUCAACACCCACGUUGCUAAGGCUUAAAAUUUCCAUGUCUUCAACAGUGAAGUGAUUGGUGUCUAGUCAAAUGCAUGUCGGCCCAGAAUAAAGUAGCCCAUUUCUCCCGGUCAGCUUCAGUUACUUAACACAAUCUGCCUAAGUGCCGCUCCAACCCACUUUGUAUCCCAUCCGAGGUAUUCAUUGUUGUCCCCAAGUCGCCAUGUGGCUUGAAUGAGAUCUAAGUUGACUUUUCUCUAAAAACCCGUGUCAUAAAGAUGUUAGUCUGCCCACGUGCUCUUCGGUCAGCAUUUGAGGUCUAUCUUGGUCGACCAGUAUCUAAGUCAGUGUUCAGGGUGCUCAGUCGUGUAGACUUCGAAAGUUUGGAAUUCUUAUCCAAUGGAAGAUUAGAGAUGAUAGUCUCCCAAAGCUCUCUCCAUUGACACUUCAAAGCUAAACACGAUGAUGAUGUGGCAGAGGUGGAAGAAGAAGACAAGCGAUGUUGAUUUUUUCUUGAAAUUCCAAUAAAUAAAUCUCUUAAUGCCAUUGUCCUCACCAUUACCCUGCCUCCCUGCCAAUUCAAAUAUCAUCUCAAAAUUGAUUCCAGUAGACGUUAUGCACUUUAAGUUAAUUUUCUGUUUUUGUUUAUUGUUGUAGUAUAAGAUUAAAAACAAUCAUGUGAUUCUACUAUCAUGAUUAAACGAAAGACAAGAUUGUAAUGUUGUUUCAGUUCUACGAUCUAUGUAAACAAACUAAUUUAUCAUCACACUACGUUUUAGUUAAGAUAAGGUGGACGCGAGUGAUUGUUGGUUUGGAUUUGGGAUUACAUACAUGGAGAGUAAGUAUUUGUGUUUCUCUUAAUAGAUGAGAACAAGGCUAGUUUCGGUGUGGUAAUCGAAUCAAAAACCUUAUACCAAAAACUGAACCGAUAUUUUUGGUAAAGGAGAAAAAUAACCAAAGCCAAAUUGAUUUUUUCAGUUUACCAAAAAUCAGAAAAAUCGAAAACAAAAAUUUUAUAUUCAUCGAUUCAGUUAAACUGAUUUUUACCGCCCAAAGAUGCUAGCUAUAUCUCCAGAUUCGGCCCCAUUUCCUGUUUGAGGAAGGUGGUGUCCCCCAACCCUUCAAUCAAAAGCCCCAAUUAGAUUUUACAAAUCUCUAAAAUUAACAAAAUAUCACUAGAAAUCCCUAAUCGGCACGAACGCGUAGGCAUGAACGGCUUCUGUUGUGCUGGCGCGAACGAAUGUGUGGUCAACAACGAGAUGAUAAAGGAGUUGGUGGUAUGGAAUGACGCCAUAGAUGAGAAAUAAAGAGAGUUGAAGGGAUAUAGAGAGAGAGAGGGUCGAAGGUGGUGAGGUGUGGCCAAAGAAGUUGCAAACUGAUCGAGAAAGGGGGAGAAAGAGCGUCGAGAGAGGGAAAGAGAAGGUGUUGAGGUCUGGAGAUGAGUGAAGAGUAAAGACCUGCGAGAGAGAGAGAGAGAGUUGAUUAUAAAUGCAGUGUUGAGAUUCAAUCUCAAUGAAAUCCAACGAUUAUUAUAAUCCAUUUAAUAAUAUAUAUAAAAAAAAUAUUUGGUUCGGUCCGGUUUUAACCUACAAACGCUUCAUGAAAACUGAAUACCAUACUGAAACUUUUAGUAAGUUUCAGUUAUCGAAUCGUUUAGGAUUAUCGGGUUCGAUUUUUUGGGUUAGGUUUGGUUUUUUUUGGGUUUUUUUACAACCUUUUAACAACUAAUGUGAUUUUUAUGAUAAUAUGAAUUUGCCUAGAAACUGAGAUUGAGAAAAUGCACGAUUUCUACAUCACCAUUUGAAUGGGUUUGUGCUGGUUAGGAGGAGAGGAAAGUUUUUCUUUGGAGAUGAUUUUUACACAAUCUUUUUGGUUUCUCACACACCUCUUUUUAUGUCCAGCCACUAAAUAACUAUAACUAAAACAACAAACAUGAUUAAACAAGUGGGUGCUUAUGAAACUAAAAAUAGUUUGCAUUAUCAAUUUUCUUUUCAUUAGUGCUACUGGGACCACUCAGAUGAUGUGAUACCCCGUCCUAAAUUUGUCAUAUUCUUAUAUUAUCGAGCGUAUGAGAUUACCAAAUUUCCCUUGUAGCAUGAACAUUGACUUUUGUGGACCGUCUCGACGUAAUACUUGUGACUAAUCUUUUUUAUUUAUUCUUAUCGUACUCAUCGCCAUGAACAUGUAGGCACGAACGAAUUCGAAUUUGGAGUUAUAACGAAGAUUUAUGUUUCAAAACGUCGAACGCUUCUCAUAUAUUUUCAUAUUUCGUCUUUAGUGACCUUGUUUUGUGAGCCACUAGGGCCCACAUGUUUUCUCCCUUCCCCCUUCCUCGUGACCCCCUAUUCUCUCUUCCCUCUAUUAUUUUCUGAAAACCUCUCUCUCUCUUUCAAAAACUCUAUCCUUCACUCUCGGCCCUCUCAUUCCUCUCUCGAAAACCAACCCUCCUAGAGGGUUUUCACUCAAACAACAACACAUAACAACAACCUAGACUACACCACAACCUUCCCUCAUAGUCACUACGAGUUCUUGAACUAAGAAAAUAAAAGAAAACCAUUCAAAAACUCACCCAUGAGUUGCACUGUUCAAGGAACUUCUUCGACAAUUUCUCGCCAUUUCCGACUAAAGAACUCUAAAAAACUCAAGAAAAGUCAUUGUGCAAAUCUGGAAAUUUCCAGGUUGUGGUUGUUUGGCCACCUCUCGGUCCCCACUUGUUUCUGGCGAGUUCCCCAGUUUUCCUGCGGAUGAUUCACCUUUCAGGCCAUUUUCUAGCCAUCUCCGGCAACCAUUGAGCUUCCAAAUAGGUAUAAACUUUUUCUACACUUUCCUAGCUUCGUUUUGAUAUAUUAUGGGUUGAAUUUGGUUAAGAAACGAAGAAGUUACAAAGCUUUGAAAAUUACCUAAACUUCCGGCCAAAAACCCAGUUUCCGAUGAGUUCCGGCGGCUUAGCUCGGCUCGGCUGAGCGUUGACUUCUGGUCGGCGUUGACCAUUGACCUGUCCUAUUGACUUUUGACCGUUGACUUGUUAACGUUCACUUUCGGGUUGACUUUUGAGGGUUUUAGCUGGGACCCCUCAUAGACUAAUUUCGAAGUCCUGAAUCUGAUUUCGACGUUUGUUUUUUCAAAUUCAAUUGUUUGAGUAGAGUUUUAUUUAUUGGUCCCUUUAUGUGCUUAGGUACGUUUGUUAGUGGCGUUUCCGUCCUCCCUAGUUCACAAGGCUCUUCGACUAAGGAGUAUCUGUGAGUUGAUCCCUUCUAUAAUGCAUUAUUUUAUUACUAGAAAUGCAUACAUGAAAAGCAUGCUUUUAUGACUACGUUUUAUGAAACCUUUAUGAGUAAAUUGGAUUUACGCUUUAUGAAUAUCAUGCUUCACUGGAUUUACGUUUAUUGAGAUAUUCACGAAUAUGAUUUAAGAUAUGAUGUUUGAGCUAUUGAGCUCUAUUAAGAUAUAUACAUAUAUUUUGGAAAUAUUAUGUUCAUGUUUUUAUUGUGCUUAUUCAGUGAUUACUCAUACUAUGUGUCUACGGGCGAAUGAUACUCAUAUAUGGCUUCAGUCAAGUGCUGUAGGGGCCUACGUAUGAAUGAUAUCUAUAUAUGGCUUUGGUCGGGUGAUGUAGGGGCCUACGGGCGGGUUUCUGAUACCACUACUAAGCACACUUUAUAUGAUAUAUGUUUUAUGCAAGGUUUUAUGACACACUAGAGUUUUCGGAAAACCUAUUACAUAUUAUGCUAUUGAGUUUUCAUAAACUUUGGGGGUUAGUACGUUGAUGAAUAACCAUUUUAGUAUUACAUAUAUAUAAACUUGGUCCACUCAUGUUUUGUUUUACACCCCUGCAUCACUUAGAAUCGAGGCGUACAAUCCCAGUGUCAAGGCACUCCCACAUCGAUAUCUUUGAGUCCUUUUGGUGUAGGACCCCUUCCUUUGUAAUUUAAUUAGUAGUAUGCUCUGAACAUGUCAUGCAUCAUCAUCAUUAUUUUGUUGGCAGUUGCAUAUUAUUAUAUUAUUUUGUAAUGAUUGUAUUUGAAUAUUACAUUGUAUAGUUAUGCGCAAAAUUUUUAUGUAUGUUUUACAUGUUCUUAGCAUAUACAUUCAUAAAUGGCUUGCGUCACCCUCGGGUGUUGGCCAGCACGUGGCCAUCCCGUUGUCCUUCGGACACGGGAAUCAGAAUGUGUCAGAUGACCUAUUUCCCACAAGCUCAUAUUGAUAGGGAGUGAUUUUGGCACACAUCUUUUCACUUUAUGUAUGCCCCUAUUAAUUCUAUUAUUAGAAUAUCUUUUGUGGAUACAAUGGUUAGAAAUAAUGUACUUGUGCUAGUUGUUAACACUCAUAAUUGAGAGGUCAACAAAAACCAAUACGGUCGGCCCCUUGGUGGGCUUGGAUAAAGACUAUAAGAGAUUGACGACAAGGUUUAAGUGGUUCACCCUUAAAAAUUGGGCUACACCCACUAUAAUGCUCUGUAUAUAUUUGAUAUAGGCUACAAGAUGUGUUGGUUAUAGUGUAAUAUUUCUUUUAUCUUGUGUUGUCUCCCUUAUAUCAUCUACCAAUGGGCCCCAAAAGCCCUGGGUUCUCCAGUCUCCAUUGGUCUAGCAUGAAAAAUCUUAACAUGUAAACUUAACUCACUAAUGACUCCACCUUCAUUUAGUUGACACGUAGAGACAGAGUGACACUUGCUCAAACUAGUUACAAAGGUUCAUGGGCCAACAGUUACCGAGUGCUCUACUCGGUCUUAAGUAAUUGAGGAAACACCAACUUAAGCGCUUGAUCUGACAACCUUUAAGUGCCUUCAUAGGUUUCUGCUCUAGCCAAUGGCCAACAAGUGGCUUGGAGUUGACAUCUGAGUGGGUCCUUCUAUAGGGCUUCGUGCUAUAAAGUUGUAAGUUUGCCAACUCGCCUUAAGCGAUUGGAAAGUACUUUUUGAAUAGGUGCUCGUCAUCUUUGCUGAUACAUGAUCCAUGCUGUUGAGUGAUCAUUUCAUUAUGGUCGGGAUUUCUUUGUUUGAUCCUAUUGGGCUGGUUUUGUAAGCCCAACGACUUGGUCUUCUUUUCUUUCUUUGGACCUCUUCUAAGCCUAUAUUAUUUUAAGUAAAAGGAUCUUGUGUUAACACUAGUGAAAAAUAAUGUCCAUAAUCAUUUAUCAUAUUGUUUUGUUAUAUAUCAUUUUUGUUAUUGGAUUUAUUAUCUAUAGUUUAGUUAUAAUGGGGGUGAAAAAUAUUAAACAAGUGAGUUGACAUCGUAGCACUCUCUUAAUUGGGAAAUUUGGAAAAAUAACCAAAAUUAGAACUUCAUAUAGAAUUAUAGCAACCCUUUUAAAUUUAUGAUAAUUGUAAUAAAAAAAACUAAUAAACCCUUAAUGAUUAAAACUUUUUAUAAAACAAAUGCAAAGAAAUUCAAAGCCUCACCUCAACAACCUGAACAAUUCCAGCCCUCUCAAAAAGCUUAGCCAAUUUUGGUGAGAAGUUUUAAUCAUUAUUAAGCCCUUGGUUAUUUUUCCAUAUGCUCUUAACAGUUAUUCUUCUACAUUUCUCAAAAAUCGCAAUUUGUCAUCUCCUUCCCAUCACAACAAAACCCAAAGGUUGGAGCCUCAUGCACCGAUACAAUUGUUUUUGGAAGACAAUCAUAUCAUUCAUUCAAGGUAACCACUAUGCAGUAAGCUCUCUCCCUUUCUUUCCCUCUUGCAUUUCUCCUUGUUGAAGAUUGAUUUGGAUUUAAGUACACGUUAAAAUCAAAUUGGGUUUUGAUUUGUAACAAGAUUUAUAGAGAAAGGAUUGUGCUUUUUGCAGAUCAACUGUUUAUAGAUUUGAUAUCUUUGCAAUGGUGGGUGUAAUUGCUUUCCUCAUGGUUUAAGAGUAUAUUAGUCUUUUUAUAUCAAUUUUUUUGUUAUAAUUAUAAUAAAAUUAUAAGGGUGACUAUAUUCUAUAUGAAGUCCAAAUUUUAGUUAUUUUUUCAAAUUUCCCCUUUUAAUUAAUAGUUUAGGCACCUAAAAAUUAGACGGAAACUUGAAUGAAAUCAUAAGAAAGUAACCUAAGGCCUCGAAUUGACAGUAGAGUUAAAAUUGAAAAGGCCAAACUUAAAAUACAAGGAGAACCGGAGGAGGAUGCAUACAUACAAUUACAUGGACAAAGGAAUUUGAAGAAAAAAUUAAAAAAAUUAAAAAAUAAAAAGAGGAGCGAGAAGGGGAGGGGAUGACUUUAAGGAGAAUGUAGUGGCCAAAGUUCUCAGAUCUGGAGCGACCGUCCGUGACUAAGCUCUUUAGCUCAUAAUCUACUUUCAUCGUGCCCUGUGUAAAAGAUAGGCCCCCUCGACUAGGAUUAUUUCUAUUUCUCUUUUCAUCAUUUUCCCUUACAUUCUCUUAUUUUAUUUUUUUUGUUAUAAAAAAUUAAUAUAAAAUAUUAACGUGAUUUAAUUGUGAUUAUUUUCUUAUUUUAUCUUUCUCUUACAAUAAAAAAUUAAUAUAAAAUGUUAAUGUGACUUAAUCAUAACUGUUCAAAUAAGAGACGAAGGAAGAGAAAAAAAAUAAAAAAUAAAUAAAUCCUACUCCCUUUCUCUCUACCUCCCUCUCCCUCUCUAGCGUAGGUUCUUAGGCCGCAGCCUUUGCAGUUUGCACUAGAAAAGGCAUUUUCCUAGACUUGUCUUUUUUCAGUUUUCGCAUUCCACAUUUCAAACCCACGCGCACCGUAAACCAAACCAACCACUGACGCGCUAGCCCGACCUCGUAUUCCAAAAUAAUUUACGAGAUACGAUGCAUCGUCACAUGAUCCUUUGGGUCUAUAAAACAAGAGUGCAUAGACAAUAUUUCAACAAUUUUAUUUUAUUGGUGCAAAACGCUACUAGAGAGGUGUAUCUGUGUGAUGUAAGCUUUUACUCCUUCAGUUUAAAAGGGAUUGAGAUGGUACGAGAGUAGGUGUGUGGAGGAAAAAUAGGUGUUGCACUACUAAAGAGACAUACAUGUAACUCUUCAGGCCCUUUAAGAGAAGGAUCGUAAUUUUUUCAAAAAAUGAGAAUUGAUACCUACUUCACAUCGAACUUCAACGACCCGAACCGUAUAUUUUGUGAGUUCAAUUCAUAGAUAAUAUUUACAAAAUUUCAACUCAAUCUGAAACCAUUUACCUAUUUAAUUAUCACGAUUAAAUUUCAAUGUUAAAUGUUAAAAAACAAAAUGUUUAUCAAUUUCUUUAAACUCAAUUAGAUGUCUCAAAUAUUUUUUCGAUUUGAUUAAUAUUUUGCAAGAAUAAUUUAUGAGGUACAACUUGAAAAAUAAACUUCUCAAAUCGUUAAAGUUCAAUGCAAUUCAAGUCCCACAAUUAAUCUCUAUUCUUAUUAAAAAUAGAGAUUUUUUUUCUUUGAAGGCUUUCUGUGAGUCUUUAUUCUCGAAUUUAAAAGGAGGUAAAUGGUAGGAGAGUUGGCGCGUGGUGGAAAAGUAGGUUGGGGUGAGUUGGGAAGCAAAAUAAAGUAAAGGGAAAGAAAAAGGAAGGAGUGGCGGGUGGUUAUGUUUGCAGGCAACCUCGGCAUGUGCGUUCCCUUUACCUAGCUCCCUAGCUAGUCUACAUAUAGCCUAGGCCUAUAGUGGCUAUGCUACUCUAUAAUAUAAUCACAAAUAAAUAGCUCUUACACAUGCUUCCUUUGCUCCCUCUGCUCCCUCAGUCUCCGCGCGUGUAGCUGACACGCACCUAAAUAUGAUUGGAAGAACCACUAACUAAAUUUGAAGAGUUUAAUUUCUGCACACCUUUCUAUCUUUCUGCACAUUUGUUUGAUUUUGAGUCUUAUUUGUUUUUUAUUUGUUCAAUCCAAAUGAUUCUGAUUAGAGUUUAAAAAAAAAAGGGUAUGCAGACGUAAAUAAAGUGUACUGAACUAAUCUCCUUUAGCUUACAUGAAAUGUUAGGCCAUAUUUAACCGAAAGCUUUAGAGGACUAGAAGGUCGAAAAUAGUCUGAAAAUCAUCUUUAACCAAGGGCUAAGCUAAAGGGCUUGUGAGUCCCACAGAAUCUGAAAGGGCCAAAAGGUUGGUAGGAAUUUUUGGCUUGCUAUUGGUUAUAACCGACAUAAAUAAAAGAAAUAGUGUCGGUUAUAACCAAUACAAAUAGCAUGGAAAAUUUGAAUCUAACGGCUAUUUGAUAGAAAUAGUGUCGGUUAUAACCGACACAAAUAUGGAAAAUUUUGAAUAUAACAGCUAGCUGACGUCAGCUAGCUGUUAUUUUUUAUUUUUUAUUUUUUAUUUUUCUUUUACAUUUUUUUUUUUGGCCCUUUUUUUUAAUUCUUAAAAAUUCUAUUUUUUCCCUAUAAAUACCUAAACCGUUCAUUAAAUUUAAGUUCUAAUUUUUUUGGGCCAGUUACCGUUGUAGUUUUUAAAUUUAAGUUGUUGUUGGAUUUGAAUUUAAGUUGUUGUAUUUUGUAUAUUUAAAUAAUAAAUUAUGUUUGGCCCUCGGUUGGAGACGGUUUUUUGUGACAGAGUUAAAACGAGCCAUAUGGCCCUUUGACCCUCGAUUGGAGACGGAGGCAAAUACGACCCUGUACUAUUCAUUAAAAUAUUAAUAUCUUGGAGAGCCAAAAGGCUAAAACGAGCCCUCUGACCAACCCUCGGUUGGAGACGGCCUUAGUGAUUUGGUAACUUGUUUGCUUUGUGUUGUAUCUAAAGCUCAACAUAUAUUGGGUUCAAUUGGCAUACACAUUCAUGUUAAGUACUCGAUUUUUUUUGUGAUUUUAUACUUUUCGUGUGAAAAUUAGCAAAAUAGAACACAAAAAGUGUAAAAUUUUCACAUGGUUGUGCAAAUAAGGUGUGGUUUAAAAAAAAAAACUAAAAUCUAUCAUCUUUUAGGAAUAAGCCGAAAUUGAAGAUAAGAUGAGAGAGAAUCGGUUGAGGUAGUUUGGACAUGUGAAAUGAGGGCCUACAGAUGCUUCGAUUAGAAUAUGCGAUUACGAGACUGACGCUUAGGGCCAAAGGGGGUACGGGAAGACAUAGGAAGACUUCAAAAAAGACUAAGAAAAAAAUUGGACUACUUGGAUCUCAGAAGAAAUGGUACAAACUAAUCGCAAUGACGUUCUAGAAUUCAUAUCGCCGACCCUACUUAGUAGGAUAAAGCUUUGUUGUUGUUGUUGUGUUUUUGUAGUGUAAUCUUAUCAAAAGUCAAAUUCCCAAUAAUCUCAAAUACAUACAUGUUACAGUCCUAAUAGUUUAGGAAUGUGAUUGUGUACAUUCUAGGAAAUUCUUAUGGGAUUCUACUAUAUUUUAUCUUUAGAUAUUAUUCGAUUAGAGUUAUAAUCCUAUUGGGUAAGGAAUUAACCUUCCUUAUUACUAGAAAUAAAGGCACAAUGGGGUGAGAAAACACACAUUAGAAUUCACUCAAUUCUCUCUGUUUUAUGUUGCACCCUCUUUCUCAAUCUCUCUAUAAUUCUUGAGUCAAAUAGGCCUACAAUGACCAUGAUGCAUGGAAACAUUCUUUAUGUGUGUGUGUGUGUGUGUGUGUGUGUGUGGGUGUGUGUGUGUGUGUGUGUGUGUGUGUGUGUGUGUGUG
rnacentral:lncRNA from 1 species